rnacentral:lncRNA from 1 species
GCUUCAAAAGAGUACCCUCAAGCAUGACAUGGUGGUCAUUUAGAGCCUUGUAGCAGGCAGCAAGAACACGCUCUGUCACUGCAGCACACUUUUGAAUGUCAUGAGAUCCGUCAACAAGAAUUUCAGGUUCGACGAUUGGGACAAGGCCACAUUGCUGGCAGAUGGCAGCAUACAUAGCUAGCCCGUUGGCAUUUUCUUGGACUGCAAGCUCGGUAGGCUCAUUAGCACUGAUCUUAAGGACAGCACGCCAUUUAGCAAAGCGAGCACCAGCUUCAUAGUACUUCUGGCAUCGCUGUGCAAGGCCAUCCAGACCCUGGGUGAAAGUCUCGCCGUUGGUUCCAUUAAGCUCAACGGUACCCUUGUCGACCUUGAUGCCAGGGAGGACACCACCUUCCUUCAAAACAUCAACGAAGGGCUUGCCUGCACAUCAAAUAUCAAUAUCAGAAAUCAACAACCAUCCAUAAGCUCUUAAAAAGGAAUAACACUACCGAGGUUCUUAAUAUUAUCAAAGUAUGUCAUUUUAAUAAUACCCGAAGCGGUUUUUUGAUAAAGGGUUUCCUCGAAGAGAAUAACACCACUGAGGUACUGAAGAGCUCCUGGAGCAGUGAAGAGGAGCUCACGGAGAGCACGCCUGUUUUCUUCAAUAUUUUCUACAUUAAUGCUUGAAAGACGCUUGCCGAUGGUGCCGGUGGAUUCAUCAGCAGCAAGGAUACCCUUUCCAGGGGUGCCAAUGUAAGCAGCGUUUUUAGCCAACUCAUCUACAAUAUUUAAAUAAUUAAAAGAUAAGUCAUCAAUUCACGAUAAAGAACAGAGAUCCGAAUGUUUAAAAAACUUAAGUAGCCUAAGGGUGAAGGAUAAGGUUCACUAUCUCAGAUCCAGAAAGAUAUCAUGAUAUUAUUAAGCACAUCAAGGACUGAUAAUUAAAUUAAAACUUCAAAAAGUAUAUAUUAAAAAAUAUUACGCAGUUACAAAAAAGGGAUCGGAGAGAUAAUAUCCGAGCAGGUGCAUGCAGAUCUAGAUCUUCAAAAUUUAACCCCAAAAACAAAGACGAACAAAAUUAUAAUUAAUAUUAUUCAUUAAAAAGAGGGAAAAUCUAUUAUGUUCCUUUCGAUUAAAGAGCAGCGAACAAAUGACCAUACUUAAUACCACUGACAAUCAGAUCGCAAGAAAAAUGAAGCAGGCCUUAUAAGAUCCAAAUUUAUAUACCAAAAGAAUAUUGCUUUCAUUAAAGUGUAAAAACCACGAAGUCAACCAGAUAUAUCACUCAAUUAAUUUAGUUAAACAGUAAGUAACAAAGUUUUCUCGUAAAAAUGUCAAAACAAUUAACAUAUCAGACCAAAAAUCUAAAGAUCGAAAUAAAAAUAAAAAAACAAAGAUGGAUCAAAGAGAUUAAGAUUGUAAACAUAAAAUCAACGCCGAAGGGGAAAAAAGGAAGUAGAAAGGGAAGGGUAAUUACCGGCGUAUUUGCUAAUGAAGCAAGACAUUAUGGUUGAAUAGAAAAAGGAGGAUUCAAUUGAACAGAAAGAUGUUUUUUGGUGGCAAGGAAAAGAGAGCGAGGGGAAAAGGAAGAGGGGUUAGGGUUUUUAAAAGAGAAGGGUUAGGUUAAACUGGAAAGUAAGAGAGAAAUAGGUGAGGGGUGAUUUGGCUUUCUAGAUUUUCGGGUAUUUUUUCUUUUAUUUUAAUUUGUCGUCUUACUCUUUUCCAAGUUAGCAACCCAUGUACUACUGCCCGUUGGAUCUGUUCCUAACUUAUUCGUCCAUGGUUUUUCUUCUUCUUUCUUCUUUUUGCACUUUUACUCUUUUACCCCUCAAACUCCCACCUAACCUUUUUGUAUCUCUGCUCCACCUAACAUUUUCCAUCCUCGGCUUGGGCCUUUUUCUUCUCUUUAAUUUAUUUUUAUCGAAUUAAUAUUAACUAUUUUUACCAUAAAAAAAGGUUAAAGACUUAGGGGUGAUUGGAUGGGCGGUGCGUGUACCUGCGGUUAGUGUAAAAACAGCGGUGGCGGUGAGAUUAGACACUGUAGCGAUACUGUAGCGUGAGACAAAAAGUAAACUAAACGCACCGGACCGCACCUAAUCCUCCAUCCAAACCCACCCUUAAAAGUCUGGUCAUUUGAAACAACUGUGCAAUCAAGAAUUCUUUGCUACUCCACUUUCCGCUUUCCGCUUUGAUUUGAUUUAUAACGAUCUCAUCAAACAAGGACAAAUUUGAGAACCCACACACGAUCAGGCGAAAAAAAAUGAAGUUAUAUUUUAUAUGUAUUUUGAAAAUACAUUAAUCUAAGUAAUUCAGAUUAAAGUUUUAAGGGUAAAUUAUAUCGGGAUUUAUAGGUGAAAGUAUCGUGAAUAUUUUUGUAUUAUUAGUUAUAUUAUAUUAUAUUUUUUAUUAAUAAAUAAAUAAAUUAAUCCAUAUAUAUUAGAUUAAAGAAUAAAUUGAUAUUUCUAUUAAAAAUUUUAUUCAUUUCCGCUGUUAAUAAUUGAUAGAAAGUAUAAAUUGUAAAUUAAUAUGAGCACUAUUUAAAUUAAAAGUGAUGAUUUAUCAUCUUACAAAUUUAAUUAUUCAUAAGCAUUAUUCAAAUUAAAAGUGAUGAUUUAUCAUCCAAUGAAUACAUUUCCAUGGAACAUGUUUCUCUCAAGGAGUAUGUCCAAUAUGAAGGGUUAUGGCUCUUCAAAUUGUAUUCAUUGAGUGCAUAUAAAUAGAGGCAUUAUGGUGCUUACAAAUAUACAAUUACAAUCAAUCUUAUUUUCAAAAACUAGAGUAAGAGUUAGGGAAUUCCUCGAUUUUGCUAAUCAAAGGAAAUUCAAAACUUGGUUGUAUCCCAAGAGGACCUUUGUCUUAACCCUCUAGCAACUUUGCCGGGGGGGAGGGGAAAGAGUUCUCUUUGGAAAGCAUCAUUCGUGUCUCGAAGUCUACUGUUUAUUUCCAUACAAGUCUCUGGUUCUAUUGUCUCCACUCAAAUAUCUAACAAUCAAAGAGAACUAUUUCUGGAGAUGGCGACUAAGGCUAACACCACAUUUAAAGUGAUGAACCAAGAGUUUGUGAAACUUGACCGAUUUGAUGGUUCAAACUUCAAUCGUUGGAAGGACAAGAUGUUGUUCCUUCUUACUAUCUUAAAAGUGGCGUACAUUCUGGAUCCAAACCUGCAACCCGUGGAGGAUCCCGCCCCCAAUGCAAAUUCUGAGGAAAUUGAGAAAGUGGCUGAACUCAAGAAGAAGCAUGAAGAAGACACUUUCACAUGUUCAAGACACAUCCUCAACACCUUGUCUGAUCGAUUGUAUGAUAUUUACAUGUCGAUGCAAUCCCCGAUGGAAAUAUGGAAAGCUCUUGAAGAGAAAUACAACACCAAGAAACAAGGUACUGAUAAAUUUUUAAUGAUGAAGUAUUUCAAAUUCAAAAUACUUGAUAGUAUCCCGAUCAUGGAUCAAGUCCAUGAAUUACAAGUCCUUGUAAGCAGGCUUCGUGACUUGAAAGUUGUUAUUCCAGAAUUAUUACAAGUUGGGGCUAUCAUCUUGAAGUUGCCCUUAUCUUAGAACAAUUAUCGGAAGAAACUUCUACAUAUGGCAGGGGACUUCACUGUGGAGAAAAUACUUAGGCAUUUGCGUAUUGAAGAGGAAACUCAGAAGUGUGAUGCGAUGUAUCUUCCCUAAAGUUCUAAAGUGAACUAUGUGAGCAAGUCUAAGAACUCUCGAAAUGGUAAGCGAAAGGCCAUAUCCGAGACCAAGGACAUGCAAGACAAGAAGAAAAAACUCGCAAUUAUUAUAAUUGCAAUAAGAAAUGACACUAUAUUAAGGAUUGCAGACUUCUCAGAAAGAAGCAAUAUGCCACAACUUCCAAAUCCAACAUGGACUUAGUGGCCAUGGUUACGGAAGGGAUAAAAAAAUUGGAGAUUGGUGUGAUUACUGAACUCAACAUAGCCAUGACUGAUAAGUUCUGUAAUUGGUGGCUUGACUCUAGAGCUAUUAUCCAUGUGUGUAAUGAUCGACAACAAUUCAAGAGUUAUGAACUAAUGGCAAACCAUUAAGUGCUUAUGGGAAACUAUCAAUCUGUUAAAGUGCUUGGUCAAGGGACAAUGGAACUCAACUUCACAUUUGGGAAGAAAUUGACUUUGACUAAUGUGAGAGAAUUUAGUGUCUGCAAGUAUUCUAUGUAACAAGGGGUUCAAGAUUAUCUUGGAAUACAAUAAGUUGUAUUGCUUAAGGAAGAUAUAUAUGUAGGAAAAGGAUAUUGUAACGAGGGUAUGUUCGAGUUGAGCAUUAAUAUGAAUAAAGUUAAUUCUUCUACUUAUAUUAUUGAAUCUUAUCCUUUGUGGCAUGCACGUCUAGUACAUUUUAAUUUUAAAACUUUACAAUAUAUGCAAAAGAAUGAUUAUAUAAGUUUAAGUAAUGAUGAGUUUGAGGAUAAAUGUAAAAAUUUUUAUUCAAUAAAAAAUUACCAAGAAGUCAUUUCCUAAUAAGUGUGAAAGGAAUUCACAAGUGUUAGAUUUAAUUCAUUCGGAUGUUUAUGAAUUAAAUGGAACACUAACAAGAGGUGGAAAAUGAUAUUUUAUCACUUUUAUAGAUGACUUCUCUAGAUUUACUUAUGUUUAUCUUAUGAGAAGUAAAUACGAGGCUUUUGAUAUGUUUAAACGUUUUAAAAAUGAAGUUGAGAAUUUGUUUAGUAAGAAAUCAAAGUGCUUCGUAGUGAUAGAUGUGGUGAAUAUUUUUCAAAUGAAUUUAAUAUAUUUUGUGAGGAACAAGGUGUGGUACAUAAGUGUUUCGCGCCUUAUACUCCACAACAAAAUGAUUUGGCAGAAAGAAAGAACCGUACUUUAGUAGGUAUGGUUAACUCGAUGUUGUUAAAUGCUAAACUUCCAUAUAAUUUAUGAGGUGAAGCAUUACUGACUGCGUCUUAUAUUCUUAACAGAAUACCAUUGAGAAAAUUCAAAGUAUCUCCCUAUGAGUUAUGGAGAGGUCGGAUGCCAAACUUAGAUUAUUUCAAAGUGUGGGGGUGUUUGGCUUACUAUAGAGUUCCCGACCAAUAGAGAACAAAGUUAGGUCCAAAAGCCGUCAAGGGUGCAUUUGUUGGAUAUGCCCAACACUCUAAGGCUUAUCGUGUUCUUGACUUAUGUCAAAUACGAUAAUUGAAACAAGAGAUGUUGUAUUCAUUGAAAAUAAAGUUUUCAAUGAUUCAACAGAUUCAGAAAAAGAAUAUCAACCAAUGAUCUCAAGUGAUCAAACCAAAAGAAGUCUUUGUGAUAAUAAGGAUACGGAACGGAGGAAAAGUCAAAAAGUGAGAAAAGUAAAGGACUUUGGUCCUGAUUUCAUUUCCUCGCAAUCUCUAGCAUUCCUUGUUAAGGGAAAUAGAGAAUCCGUAAUUAGGAAGAUCCCCAUAAUGUUUAAUGUGGAUGGUGAUCCACAAUCCUAUGGUGAAGCCAUGACUUCUAAGGAUGCAACAUUUUGGAAAAAUGCGAUCAAUGAUGGAAUGGAUUCAGUAUUAUCCAACAAUACUUGGAUUCUAGUUGAUCUUUCUCAAGGAUCGAAGCCCAUCGGGUGUAAAUGGGUGUUUAAAAUGAAGAAUACUCCAACAGGGGGUUCUCCAAUCUUUAAGGCUAGGUUGGUGGCUAAAGGAUUUAGGCAAAAAGAAGGCCUAGAUUAUUUUGACACUUAUGCACCAAUGGCUAGGAUGACCUUCAUUCAAAUUUUUAUAGCACUUGCAUGUAUCCAUAAGUUAUAUGUACAUCAAACGGAUGUUAAGACGACUUUUUUGAAUGGUGAUCUAGAAGAGGAAGUCUACAUGGAGCAACCAGAAGGUUUUGUGCUUCCUAGGAAUGAACAUAAGGUGUGUAAGUUGAUCAAAUCAUUAUAUGGUUUAAAACAAGCGCCUAUAUAGUGGCAUGAGAAAUUUGACUCGGUUAUCUUGUCAUAUGGCUUUUUACAUAAUGGUGUAAAUAAAUGUAUUUACACUAAAUUCACCGAUAGGUAUAGUGUAAUUAUUUGUCUCUAUGUAGAUUAUUUGUUGAUUUUUGGUAUGAAUAUGGAAGGUGUUCGUGAGACCAAAGAGUAUCUAGCCUCGAAAUUUAAAAUGAAGGAUCUCAAUGAGGUAGAUACAAUUCUAGGUAUAAAGGUAAAAAAUCAUGAAAAAGGCUUUGCACUAAGUCAAUCUCACUACUUCGAGAAAGUAUUGGAAAAGUUUAAACACUUGAAUAUCAAGGAUUCGAACGCUUCAUACGAUUCAAACUUCAAGUUAAGUGAGAAUAAUGGUAGGGCUAUAGCGUAACUUGAGUACGCCAGCGCAAUUGGAAGUCUAAUUUAUGCAAUGCAUUGUACUAGACCUGAUAUCACAUUUGUUGUGUGCAAAUUGGCAAGAUUUACAAAUUUUCCUAGUAUCGAUCAUUGGAAAGACAUUUGUAGAAUUUUUGGCUAUCUUAAGAAAACAAAAAAUUUGGGAUUAUUCUAUAGUGAUUAUCUUGCAGUACUAAAAGGUUACUCGGAUGCAAGUUGAAUUACAAGUCUAAGUGAUAAUCAGUCCACAUCGGGAUGGAUUCUUACAAUAGGAGGUGGAGCCAUUAGUUGGGCCUCCAAGAAAUAAACUUGCAUCUCACAUUUAACUAUGGAAGCUAAAUUUAUAGCCUUAGAGGCUACUGGCAAGGAAGCGGAAUGGCUAAGAGAUCUCUUGCUAGAUAUAAAGUUGUGGCCACAACGUAGAUUUGCCAUUUCCAUAUAUUGUGACAGUGAAUCUACCAUGACUCGGGCGUACAAUAAGGUGUACAAUGGAAAGUCUAGACAUAUAAGUUUGAGACAUGAGUAUGUGAGACAAUUGAUUAAGGACGGUGUGAUAACUGUUACCUAUAUUAAGUCAAUUAACAAUUUAACGGAUCCAUUAACAAAAGGUUUGUCAAGGGAGUUGGUUAAGAGUACCACCACUAAAAUGGGAUUAAAAUCAUUCUAAUUACAUCAUUGAUAAUGGAAACCCUACCUUGUUCCAGCAAAAAUUUAGUUUCAAGGUUCAAAGUGUAAUAACAAGUUAUCGAAUGACAACGUACACUAAGAAUUAGGAUUUAGUGUUUAUAUUUUAGGAGGAUGAGUUUUUUUAAUGGAUAGACAUUAAUUGUCAUGAAAUCCACUUAUAUGGACAUGAAGUGGUGCUGCUUCAACGAGAUUUUCUUUAUGGUUUUCUCCCGUACAUGUUCAUGAAACGAGAUGAGCACAUGGCCAUAACAAUGCUAAAGCAAAUUUAAAUUCUUACUCUAAUUUUUUUACGAUUAUGUGUGAAUUUUUUUCGGUAUUAACUUUAAGAGUUGUGGUUCAUGCAACUACCCACCAUUCACUUUGUUGAUACUCUGAGAGUUUGCAUUAAAUGAAUGUUCAAUCUGCGGACACCCUUCUUUAUGCAUAAUCGCUGUUUACUUAUUUUCUGGAAUUAGCAAUCUAGUUGGGGAUUGAUGGAAAGUAUUGUAACCCUAAAAUUUGGGCCUAGAAGUAUUGGGCCUUGAGCAAGGGAACGGUUAGGAAACUUUGCACAAAAAUAUGUCUGCUUUAGUGGUUAAGGGUCCUGAGAGGAGUUGGAAAAGUCCUGGGUUCAAACCUAGGCUUUAGCAAAAAUUUUGGUUUUAAGUGGAUAAAACUCUGGAUGCUUGGAUGUAGGCCUUUUAAAUUAUUGUGUUAAAAAAAUGUCAUAAGGAAGCAUGUGGUCUAGUCGUUGUGGCGUCAUUUAGGUUACAAGGGAGUUUGGGUUUAAGUUUUGGCUCUUGCAUUUUAUUUUUAGUUUUCUCUUAAAUGAACUUGAACACUGGCACUUAGGCCUUAUUAGUAAUAAUGCUUGUUAUGUGUCACAAAAAAGUUUGUGGUCUAGUGGUAAGUGGUGUGUUCAAGGUUGCAAGGGAGCUCAAGUUCGAGUCUCAUGAUGUGCUAGGGAGUAUUUAUUUUAUUUCCUUGCAGCAUGAGAAGUGGAGUUUGACCGAAACCCUGUCAAGUGAAGUUUGAAUUGGCCUUGGAGGGUUUUGUGGAGCAAAUUAAGGAGGAGAUUGGGGAGAAAAUCAAGGAAAUUCGAAAAUAGGAGGUUGGUAGGGUGCUGUAGUCGAUUGGGACUCUAAGGCUUAGUGAAAUUCGGCUAAGGGGAAAGGAAGGGAGUAUUUUCGGCACUAGGCAUUUUUUUGUUCAGUUUUGUGGGGUUUUAGAGGAGAGUGUCAAUUUUUUUUUAGGUUUUUACCAUUCGAGGAUUUCUUUCGGGUUUUGCUUUUUAGCUAUUGAGGUGACCAAAAUUGCUGCUAUUUCCUUCUUUUCUACAUUUGCUGAAUAGGUAACUUUCUUUUUGGUUUCAUUUUUCUUUCUCUGUCGAACACCAUAUUCUAUUUUCUCUACUCUCCUAAUAGUGCCACAUGCACUUCUCUUCUCUCUUCCCUCCAUUCUUCUAUUUCUUUCAAAGCUGAACCUACUCAUCGUCUUCUUCUUCUUUGCUUCCCACUCUCCCCAUCCCAACCAAUUUCUUCAAGGCUCUUUUGUGUACUUUCAGUUACCAUCCUUUCUCUAUUGUGCCUGGCCGAAUAUACCUAAGCUUUUCUAAUUGAUUUCAUCAUCAUUAAUUGCGGGUGUUAAAAUCUCGAGAACAGAAAAGAGGAUUCUCUAGUGUGUGGAGGCAUUCCAAAUCUUCCCUUCACUAACCGUUUGAUCGUUGGGGUAAGUUGGUUGGUAAGCUGAAUAUGCUGUGAUUUUGGUGUUGGAUUUUUUCUUAAAUCAUAUUCAAAUAACCAUGUCCGUUUGAUAAAAAUCGCUACUUGAGCAGAUGAUCAUCAAGAACGUGGAAUCGUGCUUUGGCUAAGAAUCUUAGAAGAGUAGGCCAUAUUUCUUAUAAUCGUGGUAGGUGAUGAUUGUUUAAGUAUGGUUUAAGUACUUGAAAAUAUUGUUUAUUGAAGGGCUGACCAAAUAUUCAAAUCAAUGUAGGUUGGUGCCAAGAGGUGUUUCGCUAGCUUUCGUGAAAAUGUGUGUAACCACACUGUCUCUUUUGUGAAUCGGCAAAACCCGAAAAGUCGAAAAGCCAAAAAUACGGCGAUAGAGGCCACAUAGGCGUGCAAACGCUCAUGUUGUGAAUCGAGCCCACGAAACAUGGUGUUAGACUAGACUGGGCUAUGUAGUUCGCAUAGUCUUGAUUUGAUUGGGCCUAAAUGGGCCACAUGAGUGUGUGGGUCCACUUAGGCCGAAUAUAAGCCUUGGGCCCAUUUACACUGUUGUGACCAUUUAGGUUAUCUGUGUCGCUUGAGACGACUGUAGACCUUCGGAAAGGUUGUUAAAUGACCGUAAUACCCCUAUAAGGUAAAAUGACCGAAAUACCCCUAUAAGGUAAAAUGAUCGUAAUGCCCUUGAAGGAUAAAUGAUUGAUUUGUGCUAUGGUUUAAUUGACUUAACUGUGAACGAUAUGUCUGAUUCUGAGCAUGGCAUACUGCAUGAGGCUGGGAUUUUGCAUUGGAGGAAGUGAUUGAUAUGUGAGGGUCGCACAGGUCGCAUGAGACGACUGUGGACCCACUAAUGGCUAUAAGCCAAUUGUGUGAUUGGUAGCUCUGCUGCAAUAUUGGUUAGUGCUGCAACCGGUGCUACAUAAGGAGUGUAGGGAUAGGUGGGUCGAUUUAAUCCCUACAGGAGUGUAGGCAUAGACAGGAGAUAGAGUGCAAAGUUGGUAUGGGUAUUUAUACAUUGCAUAUAUUGAUUCUGAUAUUGAGAUGGGCUUAGGCCCAGAUAUAUGUGAUAUGUGCCAUUUGAUUUGGGCUCAGGCCCAACCGAGGCUGAUAGGGGCUAAGGCCAUUUGCCAUCGUUACCGUAAUGGGCCUACUGUUACUGUUAAGGGCUCAGGCCUAGACUGAUUCUUUUUCUUUAGUGAGGGGAUUACACACUGAAUUUUCAUAAAUUCACCCUGUUUUUAACAUUUUAGGUAAUCCCCAGCGUUAGACGGUUCGGAGUUGCAAGGGACUCGGAGAGGCCACACAACUGCACAUGUUUUAUUCUGUUUUGUUCAUUUACUAAAGCACUUUGAUUUUGAUACGAGUUGUAAUAAGGCCUCUAUAAUUUCUGGAUUCUAAAUUUGGGAUUUGAUGUGAUUGUGAUUUAUAUCUACUAGAAGUAGAACACGAUUUUCCAAAACAAUAACUAUUUUCUAACAUUACAUUUCUGCAACUCAUUUUUUUUAAAAUAUCACGUUUUCAUAAAUCAUUUGUUUUAAAUUAAGCUUCCACAACAAUAAGGUUUUGAAGUUAACAACUUUUCUUUAAUAAACCUCGAUUAAAAAUAGACAAAAGCAAAUUGAGGUUUUGUACAAGUUUUAAAUUGCAAGAAGUUUGAAAAAUCAAGAAGGGUUUCCAAUGAAAACAUGGUUUUUGAAAAACACUUCAAUGUGACAUGCCAGAUUCGGGCCUAACUUCUAGGCCGAGUUUGGGGUGUUACAAGUAUAGAUUGCAAAUUAAUAUGAUCACUAUUUAAAAUAAAAGUGAUGAUUUAUCAUCUUACAAAUUUAAUUAUUCAUAAGCAUUAUUCAAAUUAAAAGUUAUGAUUUAUCAUCUAAUGAAUACAUUUCCGUGGGACAUGUUUCUCCCAAGGAGUAUGUCCAAUAUGAAGGGUUAUGGCUCUUCAAAUUGUAUUCAUUUAGUGCAUAUAAAUAGAGGCAUUAUGGUGCUUACAAAUAUACAAUUACAAUCAAUCUUAUUUUUAAAAACUAGAGUAAAAGUUAGGGAAUUCCUCGAUUUUGCUAAUUAAAGGAAAUUCAAAACUUUGUUGUAUCCCGGGAGGACCUUUGUCUUAACCCUCUAGCAACUUUGUGUGGGGCAAAUAGUUCUAUUUGGAAAGAGUCAUUCAUGCCUUGAGGUCUACUGUUUAUUUUACAUACAAGUCUCCGGUUCUAUCGUCUCCACUGAAAUAUCCAACAACAAUUGGCCCAUGUACGUCAGCAUGAGAUACACAAGACAUGUCAUACAUCAUUGUUUGGAUAUUUCGUCAACCAAGUCGGUUUUGAGAUGGAUUAAAUUUUUAAUAGAAAUGACCAAUUUGCUAUUUAAUCUAAUGUGCUAGAACUAGUUUUAUUUUUUUAGUUGAAGGGGAAAAAUGCAAUCUGACUCCUAAUAUAAAGGCCUCCAUGAUAUUUUUACUGGAUUUACACAAGUAUUAGUAAAUUACUUUUUUAUCAUCAACUAUGAAAAAUUAUUCUUUCUCAAAAGAAAAUUUAUAAAAAGUUAUUUAGAAAAAAAUUACGAAAAAUUAUAAUAUGACAUAGUUAUUUAUAAAUUUGACAUAAUAUAAAUUUAACACUCAACAUUGAUAUAUUAUGUCAAUUUAGUCUUAAUUUUAAAAAAUGUAACCCCCAACGUUUGCACAUCUUUUGUUACAUUUUUGUUUUUAUUUGUGACAUUUUUCACCUAAAAUAUUAAAAAAAGAAAAAUAAAUUUAUGUGCUAAAUUUUAUUGAAAAUAUACCAAAAAUGAAAACAUCCAAAAACUCGAUAUCUUUGGAUUAGAAACUAACAACUAAGAUAACUUGGUCUCCACCGACUCACUUUUCAUUAAUUUCAUAAUAUUCACACUUGAAUUGUUCGGCGUUGAUUUAAGUGAGUUGCUAUUGUUAUUAUUGUUGUUGUUAUUACUAUCUCCAACAAACACAAAGUACCUCAUCAAUUGUUCAAUUAACUUACUAUUAAAAGAAAAAUGAAAGUCACCUUUGAAAUCAUCAACAUUUAGAGCUGAAGCAAUGAGCCAUGUCCAAGAGUGAAUAAGCUAAAUGACUUGGGGAGUUAGGAGUUCAAACAAAGUCAUGAAUAAACUCGCAUUAUCAGUCAUUGGAUUCAACAUCAAACAACAUAUUUCAUUAAUAAAUAGGAGUAACUAGAGUGCUACCAUUUUAUCCUUUUAUAACAUUGUCUUUACGUUUAACUUUAUGGCAAAAUGACAUAACAACAAUAUUGUUGUUACUUUAUGGUAAAAUGACAUAACAACAAUAUUCAAACAAUAGAGCAAACAAACAAGAAAACAAGCAAACCGAAUUUUGAAAAAUACUUUAUUAAAUUCCUCAAAAAUAAAAAGUACUCACUUUGCUAAUUCAACCCAAUUUUAAGUCCAACAACUUCAAAUUAUCUAAAGCUUUGAUUUGCUUCACCAAUGGUGGUUAACUCAAGCUAACAAAAAAUGAACUAUUGUCAUUGAGAGAUAUUAAGUUCUUAGGCAUUUGAAGUAUGAGAAAAGCAACGUAGUUGGGGAUUAUCUAGUUUAAUAAUAAAUAUAAUUUUUUUUAAAAGUAUUUUGUUUUAUUACAAAUUUACACAUUGUGAAUUGAAUUAUAUUUUUUUAGAAAAAGGUAAGAUAGACUAAGGUCAUGUGUAAUUGGAGAUGGCUAUUUUUUUUUAAAAUUAAUACUAAAUUGACACAAUAUAUAAAUGUUAAAAACUAAAUUUAUAAUUGAGCCGAUUUUUAAAGUUGCCAUGUCAUCUUUUCAUUAUCCAUUUAAUGACUGGUGAUCAAAAUAGAAAAAUCAAAUAGUUAUUUUGUAACUUUCCAUAGUUGGAUGAAGAAAAAAAACUUAUUAAUAGUUGGGAUUAGUAAGGGUGUUCAAACGGUCAAAAUGAAAUACUCAAAAUUUUGAAACCAAACUAAAGUUUUUUGAAAUUUACUAACCAAACCAAAUUAAUUUUUGGUUAAUUCGAUCAGUUAACUAAAUAACUGGAAUUGUACAUGUCUUUUUUAUUCUAACAAAAUUGAAACAUGACAAAAAAUUUACAAUGACAAUGUUUUUUUUAUUUGUUUUAGUGCAAAAAAUUUUAAAUGAAAGAAAAAACAACAAAUAACCCAAUGAAAAUGAUAUGGGAAAAAUAAUAAAAGGACUUCAUCUUGAAUACUGAAAAGAAAGAUUGUUGAAUCUUAAAGUUAAAAGAAAAAAGUUGGAAGAAGAAUUAAAUGAUGAACAAAACCAAAAUGUUUACGGUUUGUUUAAUUAUUUUAGAGUUUUUUUUCAAAUUUAAUUUCAUUUUAUAAUAUUUUUUUACCUAUUUUAUGAAUAUUUAUAAUAUUGGGUCUAUAAUGAAAGUCUCAUAGAUAUAUAAUGUAUAUUAUUAAUUUUGGUUAAUUAGUUAAUUUAGUUAGUUAUAAUAAGUGCUCUUAUUCGAUUCGAUAAUAGAUCCAAGUAAGAGAUGUUACAUUCCAAUUUUAUUCACUGCUAUAACCUUUGAUCACUUAAUUCCACUUUUGAUAUGAUCAUCAGGGCCCAAUCUCAAGCCCAUGGGCAUGAUGGGCUUAGUUUCUCGCAAGGCCUAAUAACUCGAUCUAAAUCAAAGCAGAGGAAAGUCAAAUUAAAUGUACUAGCCCAAAAGUUGGUGAGAAAAGGCUUUCAAGAAUUAGAAUUUGAAGGUUCAAAUAGCCGAGACUUUAUGAGGCCCAAGAUUGCAAGCCCAAGUGGGGAACCUAGACGAAAAGUUUAAAUAAGCUUAUGAGAGCUUAAGAUGUGAAGAGUGCAACCCAAACACAUACCCUUUUAAGUCCGAGCUCAUUUAGAGUUAUUUUUCUCAUUUGGAAUCACUUAAUUGUAGCACUCUCACCCGACCUGAUUCACUGAGUCCGAGUUUCGGGUAUUACUAACAGAAAUCUUAAAGAAAUUCUGAAAACCAUUGACAAAAACUCUUUACUGAAGACAUUUCUCAUUAAUUUGAUUAAAAUUUCAUAUUAAAAUAACAAAGGAAAGUAUUUCCAAUUAACAUAUUGUAACGGGCUUGCUAAAAUUUUAUUACAACUCGUAGGUUAUAAAAGACAGAAUCUAAGGGUAUAGUCUUUCUAAAAAUCAACCCUUCCUAUAUGCCCACUGUAUGCAUAGUAUCCCCACUUGCUGCUACUCUGACAUAUUCCUGGCAUCGUCUCCUUAAAUACUUUUGUAACACCUUAUACUCGGCCCAAUCACUGAGUCUGAGUAUUAGGAUGUCACACCAACAUCACACAUCAUACACAUUUCGAAUUGUCUCAUUACUAAACUAACAUCCUCUUAAGUUUAGCAUUUGUACGAAUAUUAAGGUAUGCAUACUCUAAUCAUGAUUAAAACAUGAUAAAUAAUCAUCAAAUGAUCCUAUAAUACUAAUUAAACAUGUAUCGAAACCACUUAGCAAAAUUUUCAAGACAUUUAAGUAGCUAUCGAUACUGAAACUAAGGUAUCGAUAUUUUUCUCAAUUGGUAUCAAUACCGCUUGGAAAAUCGAUACCAAAAUAACAUUCUAUUUCUCACCUAAAUUCGAAGCACAAGAAAAUAUCGGUACAUUUCAGCAAGUAUCAGUUUUAUUACCCCGAGUAUCAAUACUCAUGAUAUGGUGUCGAUACCAAAUUACUAUAUUGACUUUCUGCACAUCAAAAUAUCAUGGAGGUAUCAUUUUUAAAACCUGACUAUCGAUACCUCUACGCUAGACAUAAAAAAAUACUACAUGUUUAAGCAUUUAGAUCAUUCUAACUUGUAUCAAUACAACAUGCAACUAUUACAUUAUCAGAAAAACAUCAAAACAUCCAUAAUAAUAGUUCAAAGCCUUGAAGAAAUGCCCGAAAAUGCAAAUGAUAUAACAAAUUUUAAAUCCUUGAAAUCUAAAGCAAUAAAUUCAUGAAAACAUCCCAAUUAUCAUGAAAAAAACUAGCAAAAAAAAUCUACUACAUUGCCUUUAUUUCCCAAAACAUAAACGAAUGAGUAAACACCUAGGAAAUAAUAUCAAAGUCUUGCUUGGGUCACUCCCUCGGAACCACACCGCUCACAUUGCAACACUAUUAAUUUGUAAUGGUUUAAAAAUGAGUGGGUGAGCUUUACCUUCUUAGUGAAUGCUUAGAAUAACUACCAAGCAAACAUGUCAUCAUGCAUUAGUAAACAACUAAAUAGCACAAUUACAACAGUCUCAACUUAGUGUCAUAUUAUACUUGUUCAUGCAAUAUUCAUUGGUUUUUUAACAUGGUAAUCAAGUACUCAUUUACAUAUUAUUCACAUACUUAUUUAGGCAUAUAUCAUAAUACAUAGAUUUACAUUUUAAGAUAAUUUGACACUUGAGUUAUGAAAUAUAAAGUGGGCUCUAUCACCACACAUCGAAUAUAAGGAUCUCCAACACACCAAAUGACUCAUAGAGUCAAACAUAUCCCAAAAGUGAAGCAUAUACCUAGCACUCUUCAACACGUCAAUUAUAUCCCGGUGAAUGGAGCUUAGCUCACAUUCCCUUAUCUCUCCAAAUCUAUCACGGUCUUUAAUGCCCCAGAAACACAAAGUACUCACAAUCAUAUGGCAUGCCAACUAUAUCUAACAGUCUCAAAUAUCACAAGGCUAAAAUAUCCGUCAAUAAACACACAUAUUACUUACCAUUUUUUGCACUUUCCACAUUUUAAUCAUAACAUAGCCAUUGUCACAUAGCACGUAUAACAUGCCCACAAUCAAUUAUUUCACAAUAACCAUCAUAAGUUUACUACACAUAUAACAUUUUAAUCCACAAUGUCACAUCACAUUCUCAAAUAUAGUCAAGAGUAUGAGGAAGCUUACACUCGAAAUUAAGAGUAGGGGUUUAAACUACUUCUAAAUUCCCAAUUAACGCAAUGAAUUGUGUCCAUAAGAAGUGAUUCUAAACAUUCACCAAUGAUGCUUUCGCCGAGAAGCCUUAAGCUCAAACUAGCCUUUCCUGACUUGUAAAUGGUCCUAGCAAAUCUGAAGCUUUGACAUAAUAAAUCACACAACAACACUAUCAACAAUUAGCAAAGGACUCACCUUAAGCAAUCAAAAACAUAAGUCUAAGCUAAGUUCUCAAGUAACUGAAACCUUCGACAUAACAAACUUAAAUUCCAAAUAUCUCGUUCUAUACUUAAUAAUUUUUCCUAAAACUGAUUCCGUUCAUCUAAUUAUUCACUUACGACAGAUUCUUAACCUUUAAACAACACAAAACUACUCAAUUCAUGGUAUCAAAAUUUUUGACAUGUUUCUGGAAAUUUUCAUGAAAUUUAUUUAAAACCCAAGAAAUAUUUAACGAAACUUCAAAUUUUAGAAACCUUCUAAUCAUCAAAACUAAUUGAAAAAUACUUUGAAACCAUAUUUUUACCCAAAAUCUCAAAAUCCACUAUUAACGACCAAAGUUUUUGCUUUUAUUUAAAACAUGCGAUUCGAUAGCUAAAAACUAAGUUUUAAAGACUAGAUAACAUUAAAAACUAACUAGUGGUUACCUUUGAUAGAAGAAAAAUGAGCUUUUGGUUGAAAACCCAAAAAACUCACAAACUUGACAAUGGAGAAAACUAUGGUGUUUUUGAGUGUUUUUCUUAGAAUUCUAUGAUAAUUUAAUGAUGUGAGGGUGAAAGAAAUAAAUUGAAUUAGGAUUUGAAGAACAAAAUCAAAUGGAAGAGGCUAGGGAGAUCAACGGACGACACAACAAGAUGAAAAGAAACUAUCGUGAAAAUAAAACUGUAGAUGGGGGAUAUUAGGUUGAUUUCAAAUUUUGGUUUAACUACUUCAUAAACACACAUAAGUUAGCCCCUUUUACAAAUUAGUCCUUAUUUCAAAAUUAAGUCUUUUGAACAUCAUUUUCAAAAAUUGAUUUAAUUUUCAAAAUGCCAUAGACAAAAAUAUUUUCGAGCACUAUGGUAACAAAAUUCCUGAGCUCACUAAAGCUAAAAUCCCUAAAAUAUCCUUAGAACUCCUAGAACCAAUUUUAGGGUGUGACAACUUACAAGAACGCGUCAAUACUUGAACCAUAAAUAUAACACCAGUAAGUUCAGAGGAACUUAGUGAGUUAUGAACACAUAUUACCUUUCAACUUUUCUUGAUAAGUUCUUCAUUUUGAAUAUUUGGACCUUCCACAUCUGUCUUUGGUGAAUACCUUCACAGUGUCAGUUGUAUACUAUCAUACUUAUAUGCCAUUUACCAUUCGUACUAUAUUCUCAUUCAUUCUACUACUUGACUGACUUCAGGUCUUGACAGUUGGAACUACCUUCUCUUUCUCUUCAAAUAACUUCCAACAAUGAAUCUCGAAUAGAUAAUCAUAUAAACUAUCCUUGGCGGAUACCACUUACUGUUCAUACUUUUAGCGGAUAUCAAAACAUCAAAAUAUCACAUAACAUGAGAAUGAGAAUAACAUACUUUUCAAAUCAUUGAUAAUCAUAACCAAACAACAUACUUUUCAUAAAAAUAGUUGAUUCAGAAUCACUUACUUGUAUAAUCUAUUUUGACGGAUUUAGUCUCUUGUUUUUGAAUACUUAAAGUAUUCGCAUAAAACAUAAAUCAAAUAAUAAUAUUUUAUUUAGGCAUUAUUAAUGAUAUAUAUAGCUUGUAUCAGGUUAGACCCACACCUGAAUUCGUAUGACUCGAUAAUAAUAAUUUCAUUUUCUGACUCUAAGAAAGGAGAUCAACCCUUGAAUCUUAGUCAAAAUAUUAAUACCUUGUCAAUAUAUUGACAUUUUUAAUAAUAUUUUCAAAUAAAUGAUUAAGUUGAAUCAUUUACUUAAUCAAUGGUUCCAAUGAAGGAUGGAGUAUAGAUCAGGGGUUUCAAAUAAACAUUUCAUGUGCGAACAAGAAAUACCCUUGUUAGAAUCUUUCAUAAAUGAGAACAAAGAAAGAAAUAAUCUAAUCGAAUGAUUUACCAGUACUUAUGAAAGAAAAAUAAUAAAAGAAAAGGGUUUAUUACAAAUAAAAUAAUAAAAUAAUAAAAGAAAAAGGUUUAUUACAAAUAAAAGGGUUUAUUACAAAUCUAAUCGAGGGUAAGGAGGCUCAACGAUUCUUGUGGUGAUUAGAUUAAAUAGAAGGGUUCUCAACUAACAAAUAAAAUAAUAAAAGAAAAAUGAUAUAUUAGAAAAGAUUAACAAUAAAACCUUUCAAGAAAAUUGAGAUAUGAAGUGUGAAUAAUAAAAAGGUUUAUUACAAAAUAGAGGAGGAGAAAAGAAAGAAAAUAAUGAAAAAUGGUGGUGGUUGAUGGCGCUGGUACGGUGACGGUGCGAUGAUGGUGGUGACGAUGGAGGUCUAGUGGUGGAGAUGUGGUGGUGAGAUGGUGGUGUGAUUGGCUAAGAGUGGGGGAGAUGUGGAAGAAUUAAGGAAAAAAGAUUUGUUUAGAAGGUUAAAUGGAAGAGAAAUGAAGAGAAUAGGAGGAGAAAGGAGGUGGGGUGGCCAAAGAAUGGAUGAGAUAAUCAAAAUGAAAAAAAUAAUGAGAAUGAAACUUGUCUAGGUGCAUUGGACGACAUUCUAUGGUAAGGGAGACAAAAUGAUAAGUUGCGGGGACAAAAGAAUGAAAAAGAGAUCAUGGGAGUGAAAAAGGGGUUUAAUGAAGGAAGGUUGACUCACACACAAGGAAAGAAAGCUCUGCUUGCAUGGUAACAAAGGUGGACGACAAGGAGGGUUUUUCCCAUGUAAAAGUUUCCAAAACAAAAAUAAAUAGAGAAUAAGGAAACUUGAACCUACGACCCUUAGGAAAUUUAUUUAAGCUCCUAACUACUAAACCAUUUAAUUCUUUGUUCACGCUCUUACAACAAUUAUUUUAAAAACAUGGUGUGAUCUUUACUAAGGUUUGAAACAAAUUUGCACCAAAUAGAAAUUAAUGAGAAGGAAGGUAUUCAAACUCAGAUCAUCAAUGACAGCUCCACCACUACUUAAUCACUAUAAUUGAUACUUAUCUAUUGAUAAAUGUGCCAAGGUCAUCUAAAAAAUAUUUUGGGCAUGACCACUCUCGGUUCAUUAACCCAAUUUCUACUAACUUAGUUUUUGAGAUGUAACAGGUAUAGUAUUUCUAAACAUCAAACCUUCCUAUACGCCCACUGCAUGCAUAAUAUCCCCACUUGCUACUACUCUAACAUAAUUCUAGCAUCGUCUCCUCAAGUACUUACACUGACGCAUCAAUACCUAAAACAUAAAUAUAACACCAGUAAGUUCAGAGGAACUUAGUGAGUUUUGAACAUAUCAUACAUUUUAACUUUUCUUGAUAAGUUAUUCAUUUUUAAUAUUUGGAAUUUCCACAUCUGUCUUCAGUGAACACCUUCACAGUGUCAGUUGUAUACUAUCGUACUUAUAAGCCACUUACCAUUCGUACUAUAUUCUCAUUCAUUCUACUACUUGACUGACUUCAGGUCUUGACAGUUGGAACUACCUUCUCUUUCUCUUCAAAUAACUUCUAAAAAUGAAUCUCGAACAGAUAAUCAUAUAAACUAUCCUUGGCAGAUACCACUUACUGUUCAUACUUUUGGCGGAUACCUAUACUUAUAGUGAACAUAUCAGAUUCCAUCAGAGCUCAGAAGAAGAUAUAUUGCUAUACCAAUACAUUGAAAGUCAAAUUACUUAGAAUUCCACAUUAUUAGCAUAAUUAUUCAAAUUGGUGGACUCUUUCAUCAAAUUCGCCCAUAUACUAAUCUGACAAAUAACAACGACGGAUACCCUCUUCUAACAUGUUUAAUCAUACUUCUUUUCAAGAACUUUCCUUAAGACUUAAUCGAUUUUAUCACAAAACCUUUUACUUUAGAGCUUCAGUUAGAUCAUAUCCUUUUUAUACACUUACCAGAAUACGCCAUUAAGGCCAAACAGGGUAUGCCAAAAAUGCGACAUACAGAUUACACCAUAAAGGAAUUAUACAUAGUAUGUUACAAAUCUAAUAGAAUGCCAAAAAGGCCAUAUUAUAAUGUCACAAAGGCUAACAAAAUGCGCCAUAAAGGCCAAAUUAGAGUAAGCCAUAAAUGCUAGAAGUAUGCCACCUAGGCAUCCAAUAACUAUCGUGUUUCCUAAACUUACAUCAUGUGAGGUUUGCCCAUUAUCGCCUUGGGACACAAAAAAACCCUAGUCGAUAAAUGUGGCUUAUUUUCCCUUUUCAGAAUGUGCCAUGACCAUAGACUUUCUUCAAAAUUUACAUGUUAGAGUUCAUGUUUACUGUCCCGAUGGACUUCAUCGUAUCCCAUCGCGGUGACCAAACUCACAACUCAACCUCUCUACACUCAUAGACACCCCCAUUUCCCAAACAAUUUCAAUCAUAUAUUACACAUUCAAGUAGACUAAAUCAUCUUUUUAACCAAAGCAUACUUCAUUACAUACUACACACAUCAUCAUCACAAUCAUAUCUCAUAGUACACAUUCCGAACACAUACACUUAGUUGCUCCACAAAACCAUAUUCACUCAUCCACAUGGUUCAUUAUGUUCUAGACUCACAGGGACCAAUAUCAAAGAUACAUACUUAUUAUAAAAAAUUAUUCAUUUACACACUCCUCAUUUCUGAUACAUCAAUCAAAGAAAACUUUUCUAUAAAAAAUUUCAUGAAUAGAUAUUACGAACUCACCUAAGACUCACCUACUACAACUAUCAACUUCAAACUCGGACAUCCAAUUUGAACCAACAACAAUUGCUUACAGAACCUGAAUUCAUCAUUAAACCCAUUUACAAAUAGAUUGUUAACAUUUCAAUUACAGAAAAUCUUCAUGCAAGGCUUCUCAUUCGUAACUUACUACCCAUAUACUUCAUAGCAUCCUUAUUCUUAACAUGCAAAGUUACCAGACUUACCAGGAGAUGGAACGCCUCCGUCUCAUUCAAGAAUCGUUAGCUUUCAGAUCACAUAAGAAAAGGAACAAAAAAUAACAUUUAAUACUUAUGAAAAGAAAGAAUCAAAGAAUUACUCUAAAGGAAAUAGAAAACCCUCUUACGAACCUUUCUUACACAUAUAUAUAAUCCACUCUCAUUUAGUGAAAUUUGACAAUGUUACCUCCAAAAUUUUAGAAUAUUCCCUUAAUAAUGUCCUAUGGAAUCUAAAAGAAACAUAAAUGAAAAUCUUUUUCAAAUGCCAUUUUUCUAAUCUGUUUAGUUGGUUUAUAACCAUAUUUAGUUACUGAGACUCGCCCUUCACAGUACUGGAACAAACUAGGCAUAAUAUACAUUUGGUAGUGACAUACACAAAGCUUACUUUUCCUAUAUAUUGCAUUCAUUCUUUACUAAAGAACACACCAAAUAUUGAAUCUUGAUAUACUUCCCUAAGUGAAUACUCAAUUCACCUGAAGCAUUAGUUCACCAGAAGCUACCAUUUGGCAAACUAAGUUCCGGAGUGCACUAGAAUAGAUAUAUUCUCAUCUAUGCACCUAAAAUUUGGGUUAUCCAAAUUUGGGGUGUGACAUUAAAUAUUAUUUUGGCCUUUAUUGUGUUUAACCCAAUGCUAAUGGUUUAAUUGUGUCUUUAAAGUUAUCUAAAUGUUAAUAAUGAUGUAAUUUAAUCAGUUACUCAUAUCCAUUAAGCAAUGGUCGAAUUGUAGAUGCCUUUAGCUAUAAUCCUUUUAUGUGUUUUUAAAGUCUUAGGAGAUAAUAGUUGAAAUUUAAUUCAAAAUAUUUUGGAUAGAUGCCAUUUCUUAUCCAUCAAAGCUCAAACUUUUGAUGACUCUUGGCCGUCUAUGUCUCUGUAAAUAGCCAUCCUCUUUCAUUUGUAAUCACUUUUUGAUCUAUUAAAUCUAUAACACUCUUUGAGAGUUUUCUUUCAAGAAUUCAGUGCUAAUUAUUUUUAGUAGAAAAUUUCAACUUCAAGUUUUUUGAAUUGUUGGUGGAAAGUUGUAAUGACACGACAGUGGUGUCAGAAACUUCAGUUUCGAAUUGUCAUUUCUGUGAACUGUGUUCAUGAAUUUAAUAUUUACAAGGCUAGAAGAGAAGUAUAUUAAAUUUUGGUCUAAUAAUUUUUUUAAUUGAUAGUUAAUUAAGAUGAAAAUGUAAUUAUCAUAAGGUUAGUGGUAUCAAAAAAUGUGGUUCUGGGACUCCCUUUUUGUAGACCGAGAUUGUAAAUAUUUUUAUUAAAUAUUUGUGGAGCUAUAUUAUAGGUGAAUUGAAAUUUGGAUAAGUAAUUUUAUUGAAUUAGUGAUUAAUCAAGGUAUAAGAACUAAUUAAUAAAAGUUUGGCAAUUAGAGAUUUUUAAUUAGGAAUAAGCAGCAGGGAUUAAUAAGGCAAUUAUACCUUAUUAUUUAUAAUGGACGGUUGUGGCAUGUUUUUCCAAGAAAUUUGUUUAAAAAUUUUAAGUAAAUUAAAAUUAAAGAAAAACAUAAAAUGACAUAUAAUCUGUAUAUGAUAGUUAGGAGGGGGAAGAAAUGAAAAAUGAUUACUUUUAAAAUGUUAAAUAUCAUGAUGGUGGGGGUGCAUGAAAGGCUAUUGGUGGACGAAUAAACUAAGGUGGAGAAAGAAAGAAAGGAUAAAAUUUUCAUUUCACCUCAAUUGGCUUUGAUUUUUAUUACUCGGGGCCGAUUCGAAUGGAGGAGCUAAGGGGAGAUUCGGCUGCAUGGGAGAUGAAAUGAAGCAAUUAGGUUGUUUAUGUAAGAGUUUAAAGCUCGCUAACAAGGAGGAAGGAGGACCAAUUAGUAAUGGGAAGGCCAAGGAUUUGGUAGUUAAAUUUGGCCACGAAAAUUUUUUGUGAUUUUUCUUAAAAAUCCUUUAUUAUUUCCAUGCUUGAAAAUCUUAUCAAUUUUACAUGGAUGAUUUGAUGUUAGUUACAUGGAAAAAAAAAUUUCGUUGCAAAUUACAUGGUUGCUAUUGUUUUGUAUUGGUGAAACUUGUUUAUUUCAGAUUUAGUUGCUAUCCAAUUAGUGCAAAAAUUUCCUGUUGCUCAAGCAAAGUAGAUGUUGUUGCUGUUCAUUUUUAUACUUUUAAUGCUCUAUUUAAGCACCGAAAUUGAAGUGCUUAAAUGCUAUAAAUUGAAGUGUUUAACUACUGUAAAUUGAAGUGUUUAGUUGCUGGAAAUUAAGAUGUUUUAUCGCAGUAAUUGAGGUGUAUAAGUGUUGUUAAUUGGGAUUUUAAAGUGUUGUAAGUUGAGGUGUUUAAAAGUUGUAAAUUAAAGUGUUUAAGUGCUGCAAAUUGAGGUGUACAAAUGAGUUUGAAAUUAGUUAUUGCACUGCAUUUUUGGUGAUCAAAUGUUGUCCAAAAUAAGUUAUAAAAAAUCCAUUUAAUGUUAUUUUAAAACAUGCUAUGUUGUCGUUGUAAGCUGUCCACAUAUUCGUUUAUGAUGUCCAAAUGAUCACAAAUAUAAGUCAUAUUAUUGAUGUAAAAGAAUUCGUUGUAGUGAUGCAAUUUAAGUUGCUUGAAUGUUACAAAUGUAGGUUGGCUAAAUGUGCUUUCAUGUUAAUUUAUUACUCUAUCCUGUUGUUGUUUAUGAUGGUACAAAGAAAGACAUAAUAAGAGUGUUUAUGGUUGAUUAACUACCCUACAUGGUUGUUGUCUCAUGCUGCCCAAAUUGGGACAAAAAUAAGGGUGUCAUUGCUGAUUAAGUGCUCUAUAAGUUUGUUAAUUUUGUGCUGUCCAACAUGGGAAAAAUUAAUGGUGGUGAAGUUAAGUUGAAUAUACAAUUGGUAUAUUUGCGAUGUUGUGGAUGUGGUUUGAGUUGCUAAGAAAUGAAAUGACUAUAAAUUAAAUAAAAUGGUAUGAAUUGUUGUAAGGAUGAUAGUUGGUUGAGAAGCUUGUAAUGCUUGAUAGUAUUGCUUGUAUUAUUAGAUCUGAAUGGUGUCUCUUGGUGCCAAUUAAGGCAAGGUAAUAGAAUUGGUUUUGGUAUAGAAUGUAUAGAUGAAUUGUUGAAGAAUUUGGUUAGUUCUUAUAGGUCUAUUGGACUACCUAAAGGUUACUAUUAGGGAAUGUUUUGAGUUUGAGCAUGAAAUUUGAUACUUAUUGGACCAAUGAUGCACUACACGUCCAUGUAACACCCCCAACUUGAGUCCGUUGCCGGAUUAGAGUUACGAGGCAUUACAGAUUAAAACCCAACUAAAAUUUUUAUUAUUAUAAAUUAUACUAACUCAACCACGAAAUUUCAUUCCAUAUAUAUAUACAUAUAUAUAUAAACACAUAACCAAUUAAAAUCAAACAUGCAUCAUAAAUCAAAUUACAUAUACUAACCAUCUCUCAAAAUUUCAACCAUAUCAUUAUCAUUUACCUAAUCAAAAUUUAUUAUCAUUCAAAUUCUUAAAACAUUUCCAAACAUAUAUGAUUAAAUAUCAAAAUCCAAACAUAUAUCCAAAUAUUUAUUUGUACACAUAUUUCAUUUCAAGUUACUAACUAUACUACAUAUUACAACAUAGGUGGUCUACCAUAUUUGGACAAUUAUUAUACAUCAAUUUGAACAGCAUUUAUAUACCAAACUAGAUAGCAUUUUCACACCAAAAUUUGGACAGCAUAUAUACAAAAUUUGGACUACAUUUAUACAUCAAAAUUUGACAGCAUAUGCAUAUAUAAUUGGACUGCAUUUAUACAUCAAAAAUUGACAGCAUAUACAUAAAUAAUUGGACUGCAUUUGUACAUCAAAAUUUGACAGCAUAUACAUAUAUAAUUGGACUGCAUUUGUACAUCAAAAUUUGACAGCAUAUACAUAUAUAAUUGGACUGCAUUUAUACACCAAAAUUUGAUAGCAUAUACAUAUAUAAUUGGACUGCAUUUGUACAUCAAAAUUUGACAGCAUAUACAUUCAUUUACUCUAUCAAUAAGCCAAACGUAAUUAAUCACCAACAUUACAAGCAUACUUCAAUUUAUAAAUCAUCCCCUAUAAUCACUUAACNNNNNNNNNNNNNNNNNNNNNNNNNNNNNNNNNNNNNNNNNNNNNNNNNNNNNNNNNNNNNNNNNNNNNNNNNNNNNNNNNNNNNNNNNNNNNNNNNNNNNNNNNNNNNNNNNNNNNNNNNNNNNNNNNNNNNNNNNNNNNNNNNNNNNNNNNNNNNNNNNNNNNNNNNNNNNNNNNNNNNNNNNNNNNNNNNNNNNNNNNNNNNNNNNNNNNNNNNNNNNNNNNNNNNNNNNNNNNNNNNNNNNNNNNNNNNNNNNNNNNNNNNNNNNNNNNNNNNNNNNNNNNNNNNNNNNNNNNNNNNNNNNNNNNNNNNNNNNNNNNNNNNNNNNNNNNNNNNNNNNNNNNNNNNNNNNNNNNNNNNNNNNNNNNNNNNNNNNNNNNNNNNNNNNNNNNNNNNNNNNNNNNNNNNNNNNNNNNNNNNNNNNNNNNNNNNNNNNNNNNNNNNNNNNNNNNNNNNNNNNNNNNNNNNNNNNNNNNNNNNNNNNNNNNNNNNNNNNNNNNNNNNNNNNNNNNNNNNNNNNNNNNNNNNNNNNNNNNNNNNNNNNNNNNNNNNNNNNNNNNNNNNNNNNNNNNNNNNNNNNNNNNNNNNNNNNNNNNNNNNNNNNNNAUUUUCUCAAUUUAGCACUAAUUACUCAAAUUCACCAAAAAUUCAGAGACAAAACAUGCUAAUCUUACAAUUAUAUUUCAUAUUUCAUCAACUAGCAUCAUGAAACUCAAACAUUCAUCAAUGGCACAUUUCAAAAUCAUCAACAAUUCACAAAAUUAAGACAUGGGUUUUGAAGUAUUCAAAGCAACGAUCUCAAAAACGUAAAAAUUAUCAAAAAAAAAAAUCAUACUUCAAUCAAGCUUACAAGUGCCGAAUAUAUUAAAGCUUUUAAACAAUCUUCUUUGUUCUUAGUUUAGGCCAAAAGAUGGAGAAAUAAUGCUUUAAUUUUAAUAUAUUAAACAUACACUAACAUUAAUAAUUAGUUUACUUUAUUAACCUUUAUAUAAAUAAAUAUAUACAUAUAUAUAUAAGGCUAUACUUGUACUUUGCCACCCACGAACUAUAUUUUGGCCUUAUUACAUCAUAAAUACUCCAUUUAAUAAAGACAACAACAAAUUGGUUCCUUUAGAUUUAACCCCUAAAUUUUCGUUUUACGCGAUUAAGCCAUUUUCUUUAAUCAAUCUCUCAAACGAUAAAAUUAAAACACGAAAAUUUCAUACAAUUAAAUUCACACAUCAUAAACACACAAAAUAAUAUUAAAAUAUUUUUCUAAUUCGGAUUUAUGGUCCCAAAACCACUGUUCCGAUUAGGGUCAAAAUUGGGCUGUUAUAACUCUCCCCCCUUAGGAAUUUUCGUCCCCGAAAAUCUUACCGGUGAAUAGGUUUGGAUAACGUUCUUUCAUUGUAUCUUCUGACUCCCAAGUUGCUUCUUCAACUCUGUGUUUAUGCCAAAGUACUUUGACUAAUGGAAUUUUCUUAUUUCGUAAUUCUUUAACCUCACGAGCCAGAAUGCUAAUCGGUUCUUCUUUAUAUGACAUAUCAGAGUUAAUUUCAAUCUCGGUCGGACUAUUCACAUGCGAAGGAUCGGAUCUGUAUCUACGAAGCAUCGAAACAUGGAAUACAUUGUGAAUCUUUUCUAACUCAGAUGGCAACAAUAAUUUAUAAGCAACCGACCCGAUACGCUCUAUAAUCUCAUACGGUCCAAUGAAUCUCGGACUUAAUUUACCUUUGUGACCAAAUCUAAGUAUUUUCUUCCAUUGGUGAAACUUUCAAAAACACUUUGUCCCCGAUCUGAAAUUCUAUAUCUUUUCUUUUCAAAUCCGCAUAGGAUUUCUGAUGAUCUGAUGCUGAUUUCAGACUGUCCCGAAUCACUUUCACUUUCUGUCCAGUCUCUUUAAUCAAACCGACCCCGUGUAUCUUAUUUUCACUGAGCUCGGUCCAAUAUAAUGGUGUACGACAUUUACGACAGUACAAAGCCUCGUAAGGUGCCAUUUUGAUACUAGAUUGAAAGCUAUUAUUAUAAGCAAAUUCAAUCAAAGGUAAGUAUCAUUCCCACUUACCUUCAAACUCUAGAAUGCAACAUCUCAACAUAUCCUCAAGUAUCUGAAUGAUUCGCUCAGAUUGACCUUCUGUUUGCGGAUGGAAAGCUGUGCUAAAAUGUAGUUUCCUACCUAAAGCAUCUUGUAAUUUCUUCCAAAACCGCGAUGUGAACCUCGGGUCUCUGUCCAAAACAAUAGAAAUAGGUACACCGUGCAAUCUCACAAUUUGUGAAACAUACAAUUCAACAAGUUUAUCAAGUGAAAAAUCAGUACGAACUGGAACAAAGUGAGUCGAUUUUGUUAAUCUAUCAACAAUAACCCAGAUUACAUCUUUCUUGCUCGGUGACAAUGGCAAACCGGAUACAAAAUCCAUUGUGACUCGGUCCCAUUUCCACUCGGGAAUCAUAAUAGGCUGAAGUAAUCCAGACGGCACUUGAUGUUCGACUAUAACUUGCUGACAAAUUAAACAUUUCGAAACAAAGUCAGAAAUGUCUCGUUUCAUACCGUGCCACCAAUAGUGUUGUUUCAGAUCGUUAUACAUUUUCGAACUACCUGGAUGAAUAGAAAAUCGACUAUUAUGAGCUUCAUUCAAGAUCAUCUGAAUUAACUAUGAACUUUUCAGAAAACAUAUUCGAUUUCUAAAUCUCAAACAAUCCUCAGCAUCAACUAAAAACUCUGAAUUAGCUUUUAAAUCACAUUGGGCCCAUUUUGCAAUUAAAUCAUCAUUGGCUUUCUGAGCUUCAUAAAUUAGUUGAACAAAUAACGGUUUUUCUUUCAACUCAGCUACUAUCGCACCAUUACCAGACAUAGCCAGAUACGUGUUCAUUGCACGCAAAGCAAAUAAUGACUUUCGACUUAGGGCAUCAGCAACAACAUUAGCUUUUCCCGGAUGAUAGUCAAUAACAAGCUCGUAAUCUUUUAGCAAUUCUAACCAUUUGCGCUGUCUCAAAUUUAGAUCUUUCUGAGUCAUCAAAUACUUCAGGCUUUUGUGAUCGGAAUAAACAUGACAUUUUUGCCAAACAGAUAGUGGCGCCAUAUUUUCAAUGCAAAUACAAUAGCGACCAAUUCCAGAUCGUGCGUCGGAUAGUUCUUUUCGUGCGACUUUAAUUGUCUCGAGGCAUAGGAUACAACUUUGCCUUCCUACAUCAAAACACAGCCCAAACCAUUUAAAGAUGCAUCACUAAAAAUAACAAACUCUUUACCUGAUUCUGGCUAAACUAAGACUGGAGCUUCAGUCAAAAGAACUUUCAACUGAUCGAAACUUUUCUGGCACUUUUCUGACCACUCAAACUUAACGUCUUUUCGUAGUAGCUUUGUCAUCGGGGUCGCAAUCAGGGAGGACCCUUUCAUGAACCGUCUAUAAUAACCUACGAGCCCUUGAAAGCUUCAAACUUCAAAGACAUUUCUCGGAGGUUUCCAAUCAAGUAUAGCUGAAAUUUUACUCGGAUCAACCCGAAUACCCGAUGUUGAUACAACAUGACCCAGAAAACUGACUUCGCGUAACCAGAACUCCCAUUUACUGAACUUUGCAUACAAUUAUUUAUCUCGCAAAGUUUGUAACACAAGUCUCAAAUGUUCGGCAUGCUCAGUUUCGUCACGAGAGUAGAUCAAAAUAUCAUCUAUAAAUACUACCACAAACUAGUCUAGAUACUGUCUAAAGAUCCGAUUCAUCAAAUCCAUGAAAAUAGCAAGUGCGUUAGUAAGUCCGAAAGGCAUAACCAAGAACUCAUAAUGUCCGUACCUCGUUCGGAAAGCUGUCUUUGGCACAUCAGAGUCUUUAACUCGCAACUGAUAGUAACUUGAUCUCAAAUCUAUUUUUUUGAAAACACUGAAGCCCCUUUAGCUGAUCGAACAAAUCAUCAAUAUGUGGUAACAGAUAUUUAUUCUUUAUAGUCACCUUAUUGAGCUACUGGUAAUCAAUACACAUUCUCAUCAUUCCGUCUUUCAUUUUCACAAAUAGAAUUGGUGCACCCCAAGGAGAGAAACUCGGUUGUGCGAAAACCUUAUCUGUCAACUCUUGCAACUGUGCUUUUAACUCUUUUAAUUCAGUCGGUGCCAUACGGUACGGAGCUAUCGAAAUUGAAGUCGUCCCUGGUACUAACUCAAUACAAAACUCUACCUCUCGUGUAGGCGGCAAACCUGGCAAUUCUUCGGGAAACACAUAUGAAUACUCACACACAACUGAUAGAGAUUCAAUCUUCUUUUCGGUCACUUUACUAUCAAGAACAUAUGCAAGAUAAGCUUCACACCCUUUCUUCACAUACUUUUGAGCCAACAUCGAGGAUAUCACUGCUAGUAAACCAUUCAGAUCAUUAGAUUCAAUCCGAAUAAUCUCGUCAUUCAGGCACCUUAAAUUGAUAGUCUUUCUUUUGCAGUUAACCACAGCAUCGUGUAAAGUCAACCAGUCUAUACCCAAAAUUAUACCGAACUCGUCAAAUGGUAACAACAUCAAAUUAGCCGAAAAACACAAAUCUCGAAUCAUCAAGGGACAAUUCUUACACACUUUGUCGACCAAAAGACACCGGCCCAGGGGGUUUGAUACUUUAAUUACAAACUCAGUAGACUCAACAAGUAGAAUCUUACUGAAUACUAAGGUAUCACACACAUAAGAAUGAGUCGAACCAGGAUCAAUCAACGCAAUAACAUUGGAAUCAUAAAGAGUGAAAAUACCAGUAAUGACGUCUGGGGAUGAAGCCUCCUCACGUGCGUGAAUGGCAUAGGCUCUAGCAGGUGCGCGUGCCUCGGAUCUAACAGCUGUAUCUUUAGUCCCCCUCUAACUGCCACUCAUAUUACACGCGUUUCUGGGUGGUCUACCCCUAGCUGCAGUGUUACCCGAUCUCGUAUUCUGUACCGAAUUUUGAUCCGAUAACUCUGGGCACUCACGAAUGAAAUGAUCCCUCGAUCCACAUUUAAAACAGGCUAGAUCAUGCAAUCUGAAACUACCGGAAUGUCGUUUAACGCAAUGUUCACACUCGGGUUGAUUUGAUCUGACAUUACCCACACUCGCUACUGAAGUAGCUCUCGAGCUCACAGGCGGUCUUUCCCAAUCUCGUCGUGAAUACCCCGUAACAGUCUUUGAACGGCUAGUAUCAUCUCGAAAAUUCCUUGAGGUCGACUGAAAUGACUUAGUAAAUGAUCUUUUACAGGAAUCUCUAGCUUCAAAGUCAGCUUUUCUCUUCUCUUUUCCGAGCUCCUCGGCUUUACAAGCUCGUUCAACAAGUACCACGAACUCUUUUAUCUCAAGUAUGCCAACUAACAAUUUAAUAUCUUCAUUCAGCCCAUCUUCAAAUCUUUUACACAUAAUAGCUUCAGUCGAAACACACUCUCGGGCAUACCUACUAAGUCUCACAAACUUUCGCUCAUAUUCUGUCACUGUCAUCUAACCCUGUUUCAAUUUAAAAAAUUCCUUGCGUUUCUGAUCAAUGAAUCUCUCACUGAUGUAUUUCUUACGGAACUCAGUCUGAAAUAAUUCCCAGGUCACUCGCUCUUUCUGAACCACCGAUACUAGCGUAUUCCACCAGUGAUAUGCAGUGUCCCGUAGCAAAGAUAUGGCACAUUUCAAGCACUCAUCAGGGUGCAAGAUAACUCAUCAAACACUCGAAUAGUAUUAUCGAGCCAGAAUUUAUCUCGCUCGCAUCAUCAUUAUCAGUGGCUCUGAACUCUUCGGCCCCGUGUUUUUGAAUUUUAUCAACAGGAGGCUUAAGUAAUCUCAUCGGAUCACUUACUUGAGGUAUAAUAGGAACCGAAGAUGGAUUAAUCGGGGGUGGAGGUUGUUUUGCAGCCGAAUUAGUCUGGAUAUAUUGAGUAAACCAGUCGUUCAUCAUUUGGUAGAAGGCUUGUUGGCCUCUCCAUCCUGGUUACUCGAGGUCGGUCUAGAAUCUACCGGCUCUGUCCCUUGCACAGGAGCAGGCGCUAUACUCUCAACAUCAUCAGCUACGGCUCAAUCGGGAUCCAUUACUAUAUGAAAACACAUUUUUAGAUGUCAGAAGUCAUCACACCAUCUCAGUAUAAAAAUAUGGCAUGUAUAGCUAGACUCAUACAUGCUACGUUAGUCCUAGAAUCGACUAAACCGUAGCUCUGAUACCAAUCAAAUGUAACACCCCCAACUCGAGUCCGUCGUUGGAUUAGAGUUACGAGGCAUUACAGAUCAAAACCCAACUCAAAGUGUUUUUUUAUAAAUUAUACUAACUCAACCACGAAAUUUCAUUCCAUAUAUAUAUAUACAUAUAUAUAAACACAUAACCAAUUAAAAUCAAACAUGCAUCAUAAAUCAAAUUACAUAUACUAACCAUCUCUCAAAAUUUCAACCAUAUCAUUAUCAUUUACCUAAUCAAAAUUUAUUAUCAUUCAAAUUCUUAAAACAUUUCCAAACAUAUAUGAUUAUAUAUCAAAAUCCAAGCAUAUAUCCAAACAUUUAUUUUACACAUAUUUCAUUUCAAGUUACUAACUAUACUACAUAAUACAACAUAGGUGGUCUACCCUAUUUGGACAAUUAUUAUACAUAAAUUUGAACAACAUUUAUAUACCAAACUAGAUAGCAUUUUCACACCAAAAUUUGGACAGCAUAUAUACAAAAUUUGGAUUGCAUUUAUACAUCAAAAUUUGACAGCAUAUGCAUAUAUAAUUGGACUGCAUUUAUACAUCAAAAAUUGACCGCAUAUACAUAAAUAAUUGAACUGCAUUUGUACAUCAAACUUUGACAGCAUAUACAUAUAUAAUUGGACUGCAUUUGUAAAUCAAAAUUUGACAGCAUAUACAUAUAUAAUUGGAUUGCAUUUAUACAUCAAAAUUUGAUAGCAUAUACAUAUAUAAUUGGACUGCAUUUGUACAUCAAAAUUUGACAGCAUAUACAUUCAUUUACUCUAUCAAUAAGCCAAACGUAAUUAAUCACCAACAUUACAAGCAUACUUCAAUUUAUAAAUCAUCCCCUAUAUUCACUUAACUACUAAAUCCAACCAAAUCAUAUAUAUUUCAUAUAUAAUACAUAACCUAGACACUUAACAUUACUUAUCUUAAUGAAUAUAACAACUUAAUUACUUCAACCACAUAAUUACGGAAACACUUGAAUGAAAUCACCAAGCACAUAUAUAUAUACAUUACCAUAUAAAUACUAACCAUAAAAUACUAAUCCAUGAUGAAAGUAUGCUUAAACCAUAAUUCACCCCAAAACCGAAGACAAAUAAGAAAAUCAAGCCAUUUUCGCAUGGCUUAAUAUUACAUCAUCUAAAUUCAAGCAUUUCAGCUACGCUAUACAUGCCAUAGGAUCUAAUCCAAAAUUUACAAAAUACCGAGAGGAGUCGAUAGUGUGAUAAUCUUCUCUGACGAUCCCCGAGCUCAUAACUAACUUCCAAAAUCUAUAAAAAUGAAGAACAACAUACACACAAUAAGCUAUUUAAGCUUAGUAAGUCAUAAGCAAACAUUAUUCAUUUUAACAUUAAUAUUAAACCAAUCAAAUCAAAUAUAAAUAAACAUUUAACUUUAAUAGCUUAAUGCACAAAUACUCCAAUUAUUGUAUAAUUAUCAAAAUAUAAUUUAAAAGCUACAAUAAUAAGCCAAACUACCAAUCACUUAUAAGCACAAACAUGCUCACAUAUUGUUCAUAUAUCAAAUAACUUUGUAUCAUCAAUUCAAUAUACAACUUACCUUAAUUUCAUAGCAUGAUAUAAAUACAUACCUGAACACUAUUAUUGUUUCGAUUUCACAUUCGGUCUUCCCUUAACAUUGCCUGUUGAACCGUUCAGAAUUAAAAAGGAUACACGGAUAAUUAAAAAGCUAGUACAAUGCCAACAUCCCAGAUGUAGUCUUACAUGUAAUCACAUACCGAUGCCACUGUCCCAGACAGGGUCUUACACGAAAACACAAGUCGAUGUUGACGUCCCAGACGUGGUCUUACACGAAAACACAUAUCGGAGUCCUAUGUCAUGACAAAAGUAUCCUAUCUAUUCCUAGGGUUCGUACGGGGCUUUUAGGCAUUGAUUAUCGAUCGAAUCGAACUCGAAAGAAAAUUCCUAUCUUAAUAAUCAUUUUCGGCCAAAACAUAUAACAAAUAAAUAAUUUAAUUUAUCACUUUUCAUUUAUAUAUUCUUGAAUUUAACAACAUUUAAAUGCUUAUCGACUUACCUCGGAUGUCUUCGACUGCUAAAUCAACUACUCGACCACUUUUGUCUUUCCCCGAUCCAAAUUCGAUUUCUUUAAUUCUUGAUCUAAAAAUAUUCAAAUUAAGCUUAUUUAAACACCAUUCUAUUCAAUUUACCCUAAAAACACAUGAAUGGGCAAAUUACAAUUUUGCCCCUAAAAUUUCACACAUUUUACAAUUUAAUCAUUUUUGCUCAAAACACAAAAUACACAAAUUUUGACUACACUCCUUGAGGGCCGAAUAUUCCUAGUGCCUAUACAAGCUCAUGCAUUUCAUUUAUUUCACAUUAUAGUCCUUCAAAAAUCUAUUUUCUUAAUUUACCCCUAAUUACUCAAAUUCACCAAAAAUUCAAAGACAAAACAUGUUAAUCUAACAAUUAUAUUUAAUAUUUCAUCAACUAACAUCAUGAAACUCAAACAUUCAUCAAUGGCACAUUUCAAAAUCAUCAACAAUUCACAAAAUUAAGACAUGGGUUUUGAAGUAUUUAAAGCAACGAUCUCAAAAACGUAAAAAUUAUAAAAAAACAAAAUUCAUACCUCAAUCAAGCUUGCAAGUGCCGAAUAUAUUAAAGCUUUUAAAAAAUCUUCUUUGUUCUUAGUUUCGGCCAAAAGAUGGAGAAAUAAUGCUUUAAUUUUAAUAUAUUAAACAUACACUAACACUAAUAAUUAGUUUACUUUAUUAACCUUUAUAUAAAUAAAUAUAUACAUAUAUAUAAGGCUAUACUUGUACUUUGCCACCCACGAACUAUAUUUUGGCCUUAUUACAUCAUAAAUACUCCAUUUAAUAAAGACAACAACAAAUUGGUUCCUUUAGAUUUAACCCAUAAAUUUUCAUUUUACGCGAUUAAGCUAUUUUCUUUAAUCAAUCUCUCAAACGACAAAAUUAAAACACGAAAAUUUCACACAAUUAAAUUCACACAUCAUAAACACACAAAAUAAUAUUAAAAUAUUUUUUUAUUCGGAUUUGUGGUCCCGAAACCAUUGUUCUGAUUAGGGUCAAAAUUGGGCUGUUACAGUCCGUGUGACUCUUGUUUUGAACAAUUGCUUUAUUAUCUUGAAAAUGUUACAAUUUAGUCCUUGUUUAUUCUCGAAACGUCCGUAAGCUAGAUUUUAAACCUGUUUUUGUUUUUAAAGCAUGAUUUGUGUCAAUGCAAACGAUUAUUCAAUGAUUAAUUGAAUUUUGGAGUUUACAGGUCACAAAUUUGGAGAUGAUUAUGUGACAACUAGUUGGUAUGACUAUAAAUGCAAUACUGAAGGAUUAUGUUCUUAUAAUAUAAUUUAACUUAUUAAGCUGCUUACAAACCUUUUUUAUUUUAUUUUAUUUAUGUCUUUUUAUAGUGUACUUCAUGUUAUAAUAUUAGUUAUAGAAAUGCCACUGAGUUGAUUACUCAGUGUUUAAUUUGAUUUCCAUAUGCAAGUUGGGUUCAAUCGUGUGUAUUCAUGGUUAUUAGCAUCCAACAAAAAAUCUCACACUCAUAGAGUGGGUGAAAUUUUUUGUUAGUCUGGUCAGUAUGUACUUAUAGGGUUUUAUGUGAUAUUAAGCUUAGUUGGCAAAAUAUUUCAUACUUUGAAAUAUUCUAUAAAUUGACAUACAUAAUAGUUGUUAAUGGUAUGUACUAUGUAUUUGUUUUAGUGUUGAUGUUGCUAUGUGAGUUAUUAGAUGAGGUUAUAAUGUUUUUAAUUUGAAUCAAUAUAUAUAUUUAAUAAGGAUGCAUGAAAUGAAAUGAAUAAAGAAGUUAAUAGUUGAGAUAUUGGUAUACUAAACAGGACAUGGCUUUGGGUCUAAAUGUAUGAUUUGAAUUCAUUAUGGAACGAUUGAUGUUAGUUGCUCCGACAACAAAUGUGAUAUCUCAUUCCUCGGACCCAACGAUUGGGUCAGGUAAUGGGGUGUUACAAAAGUUCUUCAACUUUUGGGUUUUCAAGUUUAUACUUGGAAGGUUAAUUUUCAUUCUUUACCAUUAGUUUUUUUAUUGAAAUGUAGUUCUUUAGGGGGACAAUCUUCCAUCAUACUCCUUUUCCAAUUCUAUUUCGUUCUUUUAUAUUGUGUUACUAAUUUCACAUUGUAAUCUUUGUUUCAUUUCUUUAUGUUAGCUUUGGGUUCCAUUAGAUUCAAACAAGCCUUUAAAGUCCAAGUUGUGUUUAUCUUUCCAUUUUUAUUUAAAAUCGCCUACAUCUUGUCUCAUUAUUUCUUUAAAACAUUUUCAUUUUAUCUUAUUUAUCCCUUGUUUAAUAUUAUCAUUUGUUUCCUUUCAUAUUAGCACCAAGAGCUUGAAAUAACAAAUCCUUAUCCUUGGGCAUCUACGAACCUUAUCCGUACUACUCAACCUUAUCCUUUCCCAUUCUUGUCUUUCAUCUUUGCUUUAAUUAUUUUGUAGCACCCCACAUCCAACCCGAACAGCAGAUUCAAAUGUAAGAUGUCACAUCUAUUGCCGGGACAAUUCAAACUACUUCAUUAUGUCAUGCUAAGUAAUUGAGUUUAAAACAUUUUAAUAAAAUCAUGGUAAAUGAACAGAUUUGAUUUUAAGACUUUAAAUUCAUACUGAAAUCAUUUAAAAUUGGUUCUUAGAGGUUCAAAGUUGUCUAGGAUUAAAAAUGGGCCUCGAAAGGUUAAAAGGUUCAAAAUAGUACAGUGACCUUGUACAAGACACUAUGGUAUCAAUACAAGUCCCCAAUUGCAUUGAUUCAAGUCUCUAGUACUAUAGCUUUUUGCAUUCUGACCUACUUGUUGCGUUACAAGAAGGCCUAACUACUAAUACAACUAUCCCAUGACUCUAAUAUUACCUUAAAACUCACUAGUUUUGACGCCCACACACUCCAAUAUCAAUACCUUGACUUAUAGGGCUCAAGAAUUUGGUUUAAAACAUUAUAUACAAUUAUCAAAACACCUCUAAACAUAGUAGCAUAAUCAUACUUCAAGAAUAACCAUUUACAAUUUCUCUAAUCAUUAUAUAAGACUCACACAAUCUCCUAGAUUUAGAUUCAUGUCAUUUACUUAUCAAUUUCAAAUUAAACAUUACAAGGGAUUUAUUGAGCUGAGAUAUGCCUUUGGUUGCCAACAAACCUCAAAGAAAUUCAAACUCACUUGGUACUUACGCAUGCAAAACAAACAUAUCCGCAUACUGAGCAUUAAAAGCUCAAUGGUACUAACACAAUUUGAUUUCAAUACACAAAAGUAUCAAGUAAAGAAGUAUACUAUAUUAACAUUAUAUUAUGUCACUAAACCAAGUACGAAAUUGUUCAACAAUGAUCAUAUAUUUGCAUAUCAUUAUAUCAAUUCACCCUCAAGGUAUUUAACUUGCAUAAUCAAUGGUCUUUCAUGUAUCAUUUCUCAUUGUCAUUAUGUAAUCUGUAAUCACAGGUCAUUAUACUAAUGCACCAUUUCAUCAAACACGUAUCCAAUUUUCGAUGCACCUUUAGGGUAUUUUCAUCAACAUAUUCUUAUGAUCAUUCGCAUAUCAUUUUUCCUAGCUUUCAUUAUAUAUACACAUAACAGAUUCAAAAAUAGGAAUUCACCUUUAGGAUAUUCAAAACAAUGUUACCUCCAUAUAUACACCUAACACAAGGUCACAUAUAUCUUAUUAAUCAAGUUUCAUUUAUGUAUAUCAACCCUUUUUAACUAUAUGCAAAGUCAAGUACAAAUACCUGAAUUAAUCCAUCAAUAUAAGUUCACGAUCUUCUAAAAAUUAAAGCUAAUGAUAUGUAGAAUUCAUAUAUCAAUAUAUGCUCACCACCCUUUUAAGAAUUGGAGCUAAUGAUAUGUACUCAACCUAUCCAGAAUUAGAGUAUUACUCUUGACCCCUUUGGGAAUUGGAGCCAAUGUUUUGUACUCGACCCCUCUAGGAAUUAGAGUAUCAUUCUCUACCCCUUCGAGAAUUGGGGAACUCAGGUCCCAUCCUCUGGGAAUUAGAAAUUAAAUAAAAUGCGCUUAGCACUAAAAUGUUCUCAAACAAAUCGAAUCCUAAAAUAUACAAACUAUACUCGUAUCUCUAUUCGACAUCGUUAAUAUGACUUUCCUAAUGUCAUUUAGCCUUAUAACAUAAUUCAAUAUGGUUCACUUCAUAAUAUCAAAUAUAACUCAUCCAAGAUCAUAAUAAAACCUUUAUACACUUACUAACAACUUACGUUACAUGUUCAAAUCAACAAAUCAAUAGCACACAUUCUUGUCAACAAUCACCACUAAUGCAAUAUAUAUACAUUCAAUUAUAUAUAUGUUUGAUUACUUGUAACUUUAUGUAAAUAAUACAAAUUAUAUUAGCACGAGUUGAAUAUGUUACUCAUGUUUUACCAACAAUUUUAUUUAAUUACUAUUUGAUUAAAUAUGCUUAGCUAUUGAAUAUUAUUUAUAGAGUUAAACUUAACUUUUAAUUGGUAUAUAUGAUAAUUAAUAGAUAAAAUAUUUUAUCUAUUUCGUGCUUAAAAUUUUAUUCAAAUUAAAACUCAAAUUUAAAUAAUUUUUUUUAAAUUGAUCUACCAUACUUAAAUUAUAAAUUUAUUUAUUAAAUCUAGAUUAUUAAAUUAUAAGUUGAGCUUUACGUAGACAUUUUUAAAUACUUAAAUUAUAAAUUUAACUAUUAACUAUUAAAUAUUAAAUUAUAAGUUGAGCUUUACGUCAACAUCUUUUUAAUAUUUAAAUUAUAAAUUAACUAUUAAACCUAAAAUAUUAAAUUUUAAGUUGAGCUUUAUAUUAAUAUUCUUUUAGCUAACUAUUAAUUAUAAAUUAAUUUAUAAUUAAAUAUUAUUAUUUAAUCAAUGGUAAUGAUAAAUACAAUGAUUAUAAAUUAUAAAUGAAUUUUUUUUAAGAUUUUAAGAUGUCAAUUUAGUAAUAUGAUGAAAAAAUAAAGAUAUUUUUAUUGAUUCAAAAGUUUUUUCAAACUCGUGCUUUUAUUUUGGAUAGUUUUAAAUGAAAGACAAACAUGGUAAGUUGAAUAUCUCAUUUUAAAUUUUUUUUUCAAAAUUUUUAAUAAAAUAAAAUCAACGUAAUAUUGUGAUAAUGAGCUACCUACCUACUUAUUGUUGGGGAUCGACUCGAUUAAGCAACGAACAAAUAAAAACAGCGGAAGAAAUUGAGAAAGUAAAUACACAAAUUUAACGUGGAAAAACCCCUCCAAAGAGGAUAAAAUGUAACAUCCCAAAAACCGGGUUUGAAGAAAUUGAGUUUUGAACCCCAGAGUGGUUACGUUCUGAGUUUGAGUUUGGAUUUUGAAAUUUUGACAAGUGAAUUUGAUUUGGUUUAGUGGUUAAAUGUUCUGGUUAUGUAUGUGACAUUUUGGGUUCGAAUCCCAUCUUUUGAAAUUUUGCUAUUUUGACUAAACUCUAUCUUUGGACAUAUGGGUUAUAGGUUAUUUUCGAUCAAAUGAUGACAAGAAUGAGUUUGCUAGUUUAAUGGUUAAGCUUUUGUAUACCCUUUGGUCUUGUGUUCGGAUCUCCGCGAAUGUAAUAUGAAUUUUUUUUAUUUUACUGCCUCGUGAGGUAACUUUGGUAGGUUUUAAAUUAAUCUAAGUCUCUCAACUUCUUUUUUUCCUGCUAUAUUUUUUUUGUUCUUUUUGUUCUUAACUAUUGUUCUUUUCUCUUCUCUUUUAUUUGUCAAGUUCUUCCACCGACGAUUUUCUGUUGAAUCAUUAUGGCAUCGGUUCUUGUAACUUCCUUACACUGUUCAUCUAUAAUCAGUCGUGUAAGUAUUCUUUGUCAAGUUCCAGCGUGAGUUUGUUGUUGGAUGGAAUAGCGAUUUAUUUUCUGUGAGGAAAAUGUUGACUUGCGUAACUCUUUGUUAGGCGAAGGUCUCAAGUUUAACGUUCUCUCAAUGACUUAAGGUAUUCAAAAUUGUAGUUCGAUUAUCGGUGUUGGGAUCACUUUGGCUGCUUCUACAUUGAAUUUGUAUCAGGUGGGUAACCCAAAACCCAAAUUUAUGCAAUUUGUGAACGCCAGAAAUCAUGGCCUUCGACACCACACGAUUGUGUGUUAGGCCGUGUGGUAGGCUGUGUGUGUCACACGGCCAACACGGCCAAGGACACGGGCGUGUGUCCAGGCCAUGUGUCGAGCCUUGUGGUAGACCGUGUAGGCACUAUUUUGGCCAACAUCGCCAGGGACACGAGUGUGUGUCUAGGCCAUGCUCAAGACUGUUUUACAUUAGAGGCAUAUAGCCCAGCAACACAGGCGUGUGUCCAAGCCGUGUGUAAGAAUUUAGGGAUUAAGUCACAUGGGUGUGUACUAGGUCAUGUGAUAGACCGUGUAACUCACUAUUUUAGGUCACACGACCAUGUGAUAGGUCGAGUGUCAAGCUGUAUGUGACAGUAAAGGGGCUACACGGACGUGUGCUAGGUUGUGUGGACCACACGGGUCAGCUACCCAGGCCGUGUGGAUCCACAUGAGCGUAUAGGUCAAGAUUCUAAAAUUUUCCUUAAGGCCGUGAUCGUCAUUCGGAUCGAACGUAGGCCUUCUAGAGGGUCCGUAUGAUCUGUAUUAAGCUACAAACCUCAAUAUUUAUUGAUCUGUUAGUGUAUAAUCUACUAUAUAUAUGUGUGUCCACUCUGAUAUAAGUUAAGUAAUGAUGACUUGCUAAUGUAUAGUGUGCCUCUGUUUAGAUGUGUUAAGGUAUGUGCCUUAUCUAGGUAUGUUCCGUAUUCUACUAAGUUUGUUGGUGUACCUUUGCGUCGCUCUGUUGCUUAAGAAUAUGUGAUAUCAGAAUAUGUUAAAUUAAUUGGCACUGAUUCUGAUGCUGAUUUGUAACCAUGCAUGUGACUUUGUGGCAAAUCUGAUCUGAUCUGUUGAAGUUUAAUAAAUUUAUUUUACAAAUCAUGGACUUCCAUGCCUAUUGAUUCUGUUGUUGUACAAUAGCAUGACCUACAUGUUUAUCACUCUUGUUUUGUGUGUACAUGCCAUGACACAUGGCAUAGGAUUUUGGAUGAUGUUAAAGAAGUAAGAUUUUGUACUGGCAGUUUAAUGAUCUACGUAUUUAGUAGCUUGACCAUAUAUAUUCGAUUUGGUAGUUUAACUGCAUAUUGAUAAGCCAUUGUUGUCAGGCAACCUGGGGUGACGGGUCAUCAUUGCUGGGUAACCCGAGAUGACUUUAGUGGUGUGUUUUGGGUGGUUGAGUUCAUAGUGGAACUCUAAUUUGGUGUGUAGUGGAGUUAGGUAGGACGUUUUUUUAAAAAAUCUACAUUAUUUUUUUCUGCAAAUACUGCAUUGGCAUAGACUCACAUCCUCGUUUUUAUUCUGUUAUGUUCGUAUCUAUUCUGUUAUGUUCUUUUUGUUCUGUUGGACUAUCAUUUUUAUAAUAUCAUUGAUAUUCUGAUCUGUAUCGUUCUAGGUAUAUGAUUUGUUUCAUUCUGGUUAUAUGAUCACUAUUAAGUUCUCUGCAUUACUUCGAAUUAUAUGUUCUGUUUUAUUGAUUUGUAUUUGGGGUUGGUUUUACAUUGUGCUUUGUAGCUGACCCUUUUUGUCUUAUUCUUGUUUGUUUAGGUAAAUCUCUGAUUUAGGAUCGGACGGUGUGUGGAGCUCAGAUUAUUUUUACCCUGAUGUAAAUAUGUUUUAAUCUUUUUUGGUUUGUAAUCUGUUUCUUAACUCACCUUGGUUUUUGCUAAUCUAGUUAGUAACUGAUAAUUUCUAACACGAAAUUAUAAAAUCACUUAAGUCAAGUAAAAUGGAUUUCGAUUUUCAAAGUUAAGACCCCAAAAAUAUUUUCAUUACACAUCAAGUAAUAGUUUGAGUGUUUUCUAAAAUAUUGUCGAAACCAGAUUUUAGUGUGUUCAUGUAACCCCUCCAAAUUUGGUCUAAACUUUCAGGCUGGGUUUGGGGUGUUACAUUUUAUGGUAUCAAAGCCAGAUUUACAAAACUCGACUGUGGUUUUCGAGUUUAGAACUAUUUUCAAAAAAUGUUUUAAGUAAUUGAAACUUCUGACUGACUUUGUUUAAGGCUUUUUAAAAGUAUGUGUUCAGAUUUUGAUUAUUUUUGAGUCUAUAAAUAGAAAAUCCAAGACUCCGAUGCCGAUCCUGUAACUAUCUCUACCUUAGCUAAAACUGUGGAAAUUCUGUAAAAAUCUCUAUUAAAGCUUCAGACUUAGUAUUGUUAAUAAACCUAAGCUAACUCAUAAAAUUCUGAAACUGUAGACUAGUAUGAUACGUAUACGUAGCCUUGUUGUGUGAGGGUGUGUUAGAUAUAGCUGAGCGACUCAAGUUGAGUCCUUUAGUUGGGGUAAGGAGCCCAAUUUGACAAUUUAUGAAUUUGGUAGGACGCGGGAGUCUGAGGGCGGUAAUUAGGAAGCGUAGGGACCUAUGGUGCCUCGGGCUGUGUUUAGUGACUUGCAAAGGUCGAUGAGACUCAAAUUGAGUCUAUGGGUCGAGAGUCUGUGAUUGAGCGACUCCAAGAUAAGAGAGUGCGUGCUAUUGAUUUGAACUUGUGACUAAAGAAUCAAUAGCGAUUUUUGUGAUGUGUUUUUGUGAUAAUUUACGUUGAUGUAUAGAGAGUUGUUAGAAAUAACAUUUGGUUUUGUAUUGAAUCUAAGCUGUGUAGUGUCAGCAUGGUGGUUUGUUUGGAUAAGUACAUUGCAAAUUUUUUGGUUUAAGGACUGAUGAGACUGUAGGAAUUUUGGCGAUGAAAUUCUUUUAAGGGGGAGAGAGUUGUAACAUCCCAAAAACCAGGUUAGAAGAAAUUGAGUUUUGAAAUCUAGAGUAGUUACGUUCUGAGUUUGAGUUAGGAUUUUGAAAUUUUGACAAGUGAAUUUAAUUUGAUUCAGUGGUUAAAUGUUCUGGUUAUGUAUGCAAGGUUUUGGGUUCGAAUCUCAGCUCUUGAAAUUUUACUAUUCAGACUAAACCCUAUCUUUGGACAUAUGGGUUAUAAGUUAUUUUUGAUCAAAUGAUGACAAGAAUGAGCAUGCUGGUUCAAUGGUUAAGCUUCUGUAUACCCUCCGGUCUUGUGUUUGGAUCACCGCAAAUGUAAUAUGAAAAUGUUUUUAUUUUGUUGCCUCAUGCGGUAGUUUUGGUUGGUUUCAAUUAACCAAAGUCUCUCAAGUUAUUUUUUUCCUACUACGUUCUUUCUAUUCUUUUUGUUCUUGACUAUCAUUUUUUUCUUCUAUUUUAUUUGUCAAGUCCUUCCACCGAUUGUAACAGCCUAUUUUUAGUGAAAUUGAAACAGUGGUUUUGAGACAAAAAAUCUGAAGUAAAAAUAUUUAUUUUAUUAUUAUUUUAGUAUCUACGGUAUGCUAGUAGUGUCGUAUAAAAAUUUUGUUAAGAAAUUUUAUCGUUUGCAUGCUUAAUUAAGUAAAAAUGACUAAAUCGUAAAAGGUACAAAAGUAGAGUUCUAAUACUUAAAAGUAUCUAUUAGCUAUGAAAUUAAAUUUUUAGGGGAUUUAUGUGGUAAUUAGACCAUUUUUAUUAUAAGUGGACAUUUAUGGACAUGAAUUAGGUGAUUUUAAUGUUGAAAUGCAAGGUUAUUUAUGUAAAUUAAUAAAUAAGUUAAGUAAAAAUAUCAUAAACAAAAGCUAUCAUCUUUUUUUUUAUUCCUCCACCAACAAAAUGCUAGGAAAAUACCAUUAAAGAAGUUUGAAGGUUCGGCUAUGUCUUAUGGUUGCAUGUAAGUGAUUCUUGAUCCCGCUUUUAAUGAUUUUUAUGUUUUUGGGAUCAUUGUAACUUAAUCUAGCUAGACCAGGGACUAAUUUGAAAAAUUGUUAAAGGAUUAGGGUUUUUCCAUGAAUGUGUUUGUGUGAUUCUUGAAAUUUUAUGGAAGAAAAUUAAUCCUUGUUGUUAAAUAAACAACUUUUGUGCAGUAAUUUUUGAUGAAAUUAUCAUUUAGGGACUUAUGUGUAAAAGUAGUAAAACAUCAUGAUGAAAUUGUGAAUUGAUGAGUGGUUUGGGUUGGUAUGAGUCCCUAUGUAAAUCGGCAAGCAUGAUAUAAUGAUGAAAUUGCAUAAAUGUUAAUUUAUGAGCUUAAGGAUUAAAUUGUAAAAAAAGUUAAAAUAAUAGGGGCGAAAAGGUAAUUUUGCAAAAGUAUGAAUUUUGGAUUGAAUUUAAUAGAAUGAAUAUUAUAUGUAUUGAAUUUUCUUAUUUAGAUCAAGUUAAGCCUUAUAUAGGUCUAGAUCGAGGGAAAGAUAAAGUCGUAGAUUAGUGAUCCUAUUUCGUCGUCUUUGCAUUCGAGGUAAGUUCGUGUGUUAAAAUAGCGUUUUAAUGUUGUUUGAUUUAAAUGUUAUUAUGCUAUUCAACAUGAUGGAAAUCCAACAAUGUUACGAUGACUAUCGAGUCCCAUUUGAACCUUAGGAAUAUAUAGAUUACAAAUGACAUGUCAUUAGGGUUACCAUGUUUCGGGUGUUAGUCUUGAAUGUCCUAUCGAUGGCCGAGUUUUAGCAUUUGUUACAGAUCCUCGUCAGUUUGUGUGAGCAGCAUUAUGUAGCUAUAUUCUGACUGUCAGCUUGUGUGAGUAGACCCAUUUAUGGCUCGAACGAGCAUCGAUGUAAAGGAAAAGGAAAGGAAAUGGUUUCGACCAUGUGUUAGCACACUUUGUGUGAGUUUCCCGUGUAUCCGAUAUUAUUCUAAGUGGUUCAACAGGCAUGAAAAGGGAAAGAACGAUAAAUGUUCCAAAUGCUAAGUUAAGAACUUAUGAAAAGGUAUGAAUUAUUGAUAAUUAAAGCAUGUAUAACUAUGUUUAUGAAAACUAUGAAUUUAAGUAUGCCAUGUUCAUAAAACUUAUCUUACCAUGAGAUGAUUUUUCUAAGUUAUGUGUUUAAUCACUAACUUGUGUUGUUGAUGAUGCUUAGGUUUGUGCUAAGCUAUGUUGGAUUGAUUCAUGUCUAUUUUUAAGAUUAUGCAUUGAAAUGGUAAGCUUUGUUCAUGAUUUACGAACUUACUAAGCAUUAUAUGCUUACGAUGUUGUUCUUUUCUAUGUUUUAUAGAUUAUCAGAAGCUCGAUUAGUUUGGUAGCUCAUCAGAGACCUAUUUACACAAUCCAGAGUUUAUAUUGGUAGAUUUUGAUGUUUUGGUCAUGGUUAUAAUGGCAUGUAUAGGUGAAUUGUAUUUGAUGAACUAGUUGUUAUGUUUGGCUUGUAAAUAUGGUAAUUUGGUUGGUAUGCUUUUGGCACUUUGAUACUAUAAUGGUUCAUGUUUAUAUGGUCAAAUUGAUGCAUGGUUUUAUGAACAAAGUGAUAGGUGUUGGCAUGUUUGCAGUGUGGUCAAUUGUGGUUAGUUUUCGUAUGAAAAUAGGUUAGAUAUGAAUGCUAGAUGAAUGGUCAAUUUAACAUAUUUUUGGAUAGAUUUGAUAAAUUAUGAUUGAGGUGCCUUAAUGACAUAUAGGUUGUAUGGAUUUAUGGUCUUAUUAUGCAUGUUUUGACAUGUUUCGGUACCUUGUUCAUAGAAGCAUUUGGCUUGUAGGUACUUGUUGGAAAUGGGUGAAAGGAAUGGCUUGAUUUUGGCCUAUUUCUUGUCCACACAGCCCUGUGACACGGUCAUGUGUCCGCUGUAGGUUUCAAAGGUUGCAAGUCAGACAGUUAUACGGCCUAGCACACGGACGUGUGAGAACAUUUUGAGAGUUAAACGGCCUGGCACACAGGGUGUGGCUUGGCCAUGUGACCCAAGUCAGAGAGUUACACGGGCUGGGACAUGGCUGUGUUUCCCUAUUUUGAAUGUUACACAGCCUGAGACACGGGCAUGUGUCUCAGCCGUGUGAGGCAUAUGGCUUGGCCACACGGCUGUGUGACCCCUGCGGUGUAAAUUUUUACAACUUUUUCCUUAAUGUUUCAUAUGUUCCCAAUUUAGUCCCGAAUCGUUUCUAAAGUAUUUCUAAGGCCUCGGGGGCUCGAAUAAGGGGUGAUAUGCAUGUGUUUGAAUGAAUUAGGCUAUGAUUUAUCUAAUGUUUGGAAAUGAAUGUUUUAAGUUAUGUUUUACAGUAAUGCUCCGUAACUCUAUUCUGACAACGGAUACGGGUUAGGGGUGUUACAUAGACGAUUUUCUAUUGAAUCAUUGUGGCAUCAGUUCUUCUAACUUCCUUACAUUAUUCAUCUGUAAUCAGUCGUGUAAGUAUUCUCUGUCAAGUUCUUGCGUGAGUUUAUUGUUGGACGGGGUUGUAAUUCAUUUUAUGUGAUGAAAAUGUUGACUUGCGUAUCUCUUUGUUAGGCGAAGGUCUCGAGUUUAACGUUCUCUCGACAGCUUAAGGUCUGUGAAAUUGCAGUUCCAUUAUCAGUGUUGGGAUCACUCUGGCUACUUUUACAUCAAAUCUGUACCAGGUAGGUAACCGAAAACUCAAAUUUUUACAAUUUGUGGAAGUCAAAAAACAUGGCUUUCGACCACACACGGCCCUGUGGUAGACUAUGUAGGCACUCUUUUGGCAAACAUGACCAGGGACAUUGGCAUGUUUCUAAGCCGUGCUCGAGACUUUUUUGCAUUCGUGACACACAAGCAAAGACACGAGCAUGUGUUCAGGCCAUGUGAGAGAAUUUGGAGAUUAAGUCACACGGGCGUGUACCAGGUCCUGUGAUAGACUGUAUAACUCACUGUUUUAGGUCACAUAGCCAUGUGCCAAGCCAAGUGUCAAGCUAUGUGUAACAAUAAAGGGCCACACGAGUGCGUGCUAGGCCGUGUUGACUAUAAAGGCCAGCUACCCAGGUCGUGUGUAUCCACAAGAUCAUGGGAGUCAAGAUUCUGAAAUUUUCCUUAGGGUUGUGAUCAUCAUUCGAUUCAAACGUAGGCCUUCUGUAGGGUCCAUAUGAUCUGUAUUAAGCUAUAAACCUUAAUAUUUGUUGAUAUGUUAGUAUAUAAUCUACUAUCUGUAUGUAUGUCUAUUUUGAUAUAAUUUAAGUAAUGAUGACUUGCUAAUGUAUAAUGUGCCUCUAUUUAGAUGCGUUAUGGUAUGUGCCUUAUCCAGGUAUGUUUUGUAUUCUACUAAGUUUGUUGGUGUACCUCUCUGUCACUCUAUUGAUGAAGAAUAUGUGAUAUUUGAAUAUGUUAAAUUAAUUGGCACUGAUUCUGGUUCUGAUUUGUAACCAUGCAUGUGACUUCAUGGCAAAUCUAAUAUGAUCUGUUGAGGUUUGAUAAAUUUGUUUUACAAAGCAUGGACUCUCAUGCCUACUGAUUCUAUUGUUGUAUGAUAGCAUGAUCUACAUGCUUAUUACUCUGAUUCUGUGUGUACAUGCCAUGACACAUUACGUGGGAUGUAGGAUAAAGUUAAAAAAGGAAGAUUCUGUACUGGCAGUUUAAUGGUAUGCGCAUUUAGAAGCUUGACCACAUAUAUUUGAUUUGGUAAUUUAACUGCAUAUUGAUAAGCCAUUGUUGCUGGGAAAACCAGGGUGGCGGGUCACCGUUUUGGGCAACCCGGGAUGACUUUAGCGGUGUGUUUUGGGUGGAUGAGUUUGUGGGAGAACUCUAAUUUGGUGUAUAGUGGAGUUGGAUAGGACGUCUCUGAAAAAUCUGCAUUAUGUUUUUUUGCAAAUAUUGCAUUGGCUUAGACUCACAUCCUAGGCUCUGUUCUAUUCUAUUCUUUUUGAUCUUUUUGUUUUGUUGGACUAUCAUUAUUAAAAUAUUGUUGAUAUUCUGAUCUGUUGUGUUCUAGGUAUAUGAUCUGUUUUGUUCUGGUUAUAUGAUUGCUAUUAAGUUCUCUAUGUUACUUCAAAUUAUAUGUUGUGUUCUAUUGAUUUGUUUUGGGGCUGGCUUUACGCUUUGCUUUGUAGCUCACCCCUUUUGUCUUAUUCUUGUCCUUUCAAGUAAAUUUUUGAUUUAGGAUCGGAUGGUGUGUGGAGCUCGAAUUAUUUUACGCUGAUGUAAAUAUGUUUUAAUUUUCUUGGGUUUGUAAUAUGUUUCUUAGCUUGCCUUACUUUUUCUAAUCUCGUCAGUAACUGAUAAUUUCUAACGUGAAACUACAAAAUCACUUAAGUCGACUAAAACAGAUUUCGAUUUUCAAAGUUAAAACCCCGAAAAGAUUUUCGUUACGCAUCAAGUAACAGUUAGGUGUUUUCUUAAUUAUUGUUGAACCCAGAUUUCAGGGUGUUUGUGUAACCCCUCCAAAUUUGGUCUAAACUUCUAUGCUAGUUUUGGGGUGUUACAUAAAAAAUAUGUUAAAAGAUAAUUUUACUAUAUUGGAAAAAUAACGAAGAGUACAAAAGAUGGAGAUAAAAAACAAAACCCUAAAACCCAAAAAUAAAGAACCCUCAAAACAUAAACACAAAAUUCUCCAAAAGUGUUAUGAGUUAUAAUAUUUUAAUGGGUGUGUUUGCUAAGGUUGUAAAAGACCCUACUUAUAGGCUAAAUUUGUAGGUCAAAUAAAUUAAGCUAAUAAAUGCUAAAUAUAUUAUACUAAUAAAUACUGAAUCUUGUAGAACGAAAAUAUAUUUUGUUUAACUUGAUUUGCAAACAAUCUAUUAUUUAAUAGGAAUUUGGGUCACACAACUCUAACAAUCUCCUCUUUGACACGAAUUCUCACAACGCUAUCUUUUCCAAAGCCCAUCACUGGCCUAUCUUGAAUUAUACAACGAAUUAACUAAGUUGAAUAUGUGCUUAGAAGCUGGAAGACUUCCAGCCUUCAACUUGUGCACUGUCAAAUCAAAACUAACCCGGGUCUGAUUUUCACGAACACAGUGCCUUAACUUUUCAAAACAUGCAUCCAAAAGAGAACCUCUCUUCAAUGAAAUGGUCAUACAUUUUUCCCUCCUAUGACCAAGUUGCCUCUGCUCCAAACAAGUUGACUUUGACUCCGUAAUGGACAAGGGAUGUCCGAUUUCAUCGGUCACUAUAGAACUUUCUAGAAUAUAAAGGUUGUUGGUCCUUUUAUCUUUAACAAAACGAGAACCCCAUGAGACACCUUAAUGCUGCUCGACUCGAUGUUGAUUCUGCAACCUUUCGAGUCUAAAAUACUCAAAAGAUGAGAUUCUUUCGUAAAUCAAGUAUAUAUUUGACAUCUGAGAGUGACCUAAUCGUCCCAUCCUGCAUCAUAAUUUUAAUAGUACUAAUAUCGAUUGCCUUACUAGAUAAAUAGUUUCCCAUGUACACAACUCCAUCUUCAACCGAACUAGGAUCUACUUAGAUGUAAUCUUGAAGCUAUCGCUCGUUGAUAUUAACAAAAAAUCAUCAUCACUUUCGUUAGCCGAAUUAACACUAGCUACAUCUUCCUCGUUACUUUCAGCAGCCCUUUUAUUUCACAGUUUAUAACAAUCUACUUUGACGUAACCUAACUUCUUACAAUAGUGACACAUUUUUUCUCAUUUCUUUGAUGCUACCAAAAUGGAAGCUUGCCUAUCUACCUUGCUAUCUGAACCAAAAUCAUUGUCAAGUUUGUCUUUACUCAACAAAUGACCCUUCACAUCUUUGAACGAAAGUUUUUCUCUGCCAUAAAUCAGGGCCUCCUUGAAAUACUUGUAUGAAGAGGGUAAAGAGCACAGUAAUAGCAUAGUCUGAUCUUCAUCGUCAAUCUUAACCUCAACAUUUUUUAAAUCAUUCAAAAGAGUAAUAAAUUGACUAAUGUGACCUCUAAGAAGCUCAUAUUCGUUCAUGCAAAACGUAAAUAGACAUUUCAACACUAAACGGUUAGCCAGAGACUUAGUCGCAUAAAGAAUUUCUAAUCUUUUCCACAAGCCAGAUGAGGUUUUCUCCAUCAAUACCUCAUACAAUACCUUAUUCGAGAGGCAGAACUAGAUUGUAGACAGGGACUUUUCAUCAAGAUCUUCUCAUUUUGUUUCAUCUAGAUUCUCAAUUUUUUCUCGGUAACGACCUUUUACAGGCCAGUCUGAACUAGAAUUGCCAUCAUCCUAACUUCCCACAGAUUGAAAUUUGUGACACCAUCGAAUUUCUUAAUGUCAAACCGUGUUGCUGUCAUAUCUGAAUAGGCUGCUCUACGAAAAUUGAACUUUGAUACCACUUGUUGGAGAUCGACCCGAUUAAGCAACAAACAAGUAAAACUAGUGGAAGAAAUUGAGAAAUUGAACACACAAAUUUAGCAUGGAAAAACCCCUUCAAAGAGAAUAAAAAACCACGAGCAAAAAUAAAUUUACUAUAAUGGGAAAAGAAUGAAGAGUACAAAAGAUGGAGAUAAAAAAAACUAAGCCCCGAAACCCGAAAACAAAGAACCCUCAAAACAUUAACACAAAAUUCUGUAAAAGUGUUAUGAGUUCUAAUAUUUUAAUGGGUGUGUUUUAUGAGGUUGUAAAAGAACAUAUUUAUAAGUGAAAUUCGCAGGUCAAAUAAAUUAUGCUAAUAAAUGCUAAAUAUAUUAUAUUAAAAAAUACUAAAUCUUCUAGAAAGAAAAUAUAUUUCGUUUAACUUGACUUGCAAGUAAUCUCUUAUUUAACAGGAAUUUAAGUCACACGACUCUAACACUUCUAACAUUUUUUAUUGAAAAUUUUAUAUUAAAUAAAAAAUUAAAAUAAUUAUCAAACAAAAAAUAUUUUCAUCUUGAAUGCAAUGAAAAUUUCUAGUUUAUACCCUAAGUAACGGAAGUGAAGAUUUUAAUAUAAAAAUGUAGACAAAAUGGUCCAAAUUUUUUUUGCAAAUAAAUUUUAUAAGCGAUUAUACAAAAAUAAAAAUAUUAGAAAUAUAGGUUUAUUGUUAUUUGCACAAAUAGAUGCCCGGACAAUUAUAAACUAAAAAAAAAAAAAAUUCUAUUUUUAAAAUUUUAAGAUAUAUAGAAAACACAAAAAUUAACAAUGUUAUCUAGAAAAAGUAUAAAUUUAGUUAAUGAUUUCAAAAUUUAAAUAGCAAUUAGGAUACUAACUAAAUUCAAAGAUUUAAAUAUAAAAUAACUCAUUAUAUAAUAGGAUUUUAGUUAUGUAGACUUAUCUAAAAAUAUUAUUUUCGACACUUAAAAAAGUAUUAUUUUCGGAUCACCAAUGUAGUUAUUUGAGGAGCGAGCCGAAUUGUGACUUCCAAUUUGAUUUGCGUUGGUUGGCAAAAGCACAUGCAUCUUCAACCAAAGCAUCAAAGUCAAAACUUGGAGGGAAAAUAUUUGGUAUAUUAUUAUUGAAAUUAUAAUCGCAUCUCAUAUAUUCAUAACCGACUGAAAAGCACAUUAGCGUGGAUCCAACGCAGAUUGAGCUUAAAAAAAAUUGGUGUGGUCCAAUACAUACUCUCAUCUUGUGAGUAUAGUUUUUUUCUUUUAAAAAAAGUUUAUUGAUAAUUUAAUGUUUAAAACAAAUCUUCUGUCUUCUAAAACAUGAGCCCAUCAGCUAUCAUGAUAACUGCAAUGAAAUAUUUAUUAUUAAUUUAAAUGCGGCGUGCUCCCACCAUCUUUUUUCAAUAUUACUAGAGUAUGUCAGGUUUUGUUUUUAAAAAAAUUAUAUAAAUAGUAAUAUAAUUAUUAGUGUAUUUCUAUUUUGGUCAUUUAAAUUUAACUUUUUUUGUUAUAGUUACUAAUAUUAAAUUUUAUAUUUUGGUCACUCUUUUAUUAAAUCACUGACAAAAUAGAAACAAGCUAAUAGUUAAAUAACUAUUUAUACUUUAAAAUAUAUUGAAAAAAAUAAUAAAUUAUCAAUCUAUGACACAACUAACACUAUUUAUGAAUUUAUAACAAAAACUAUGGUAAAAAUACCACAAGGGCCCUUAUACUAGGUGUGAGAUUGCAUUUUGCCCCCUCUACUCAAAAAAGGGCAAAUUAGUCCCUAUACAUUAGAUCAAAUAGCAAACUUAUCAUUUUUGUUAAAAUUUUCAUCCAUUUAUACUGUUAAAAACUAACAUAGUUGAUAGAAUAACCAAAUAGAGACACAUGGCAUGCCACAUGUACCUCGUGCUAACAUACAUGGACUAGUUUUUAAUAGUAGAUAUGGAUGAAAGUUUUAACAAAAAGGACAAAUUUACUCUUUAAUCUAACGUACAAGACUAAUUUUCCAAUUUUUUACUAGAAGGGACAAAAUGCAAUCCAACUCUUAGUACAAGAGCCUCCACGGUACUUUUACCCCAAAACUACAUUAACCCAAUAAAUCACACACUCAUUAUAUGAUUUUUCUAUAGGCAAAUGAUUUUCGUACAAAAUACUACUGUACAAAAUGUAUGGAACCCAAUUUUUGAGUGUUUUUGUGACAAAAACACCCUUGAUCAAAAUUGAAAUUUUAAUACCUCUCUUAUCAAGAUAAAUAAUCAUUAGUCAUAUUUUAAUGUGAAAAAUGGACUAAGCUCCCACUAAUUUAUUAUCUUCUAACAUGCAAAACACUUUUUGCAAUUUAUAUCCUUUCCUAAGGAAUAUAUAUCUUUAACUAAGAAAAAAAAAAAAGGUUUUCCCUUCCCAAUUUCCAAUCGUUAGCCUCUUAUCCCCUCAUCUUACUCUAUUUUUUAAGGGGGAAAAUAUUUAACUGAAAUAUUAUUCAUCUGUGAAUUGCUUACAAAAUAAAUUUUCAAUUGUCUUUAAUUGCAAAUAAUAUUCUUCCUCUUCUUAUCUAUAUUUUUAUUGGCAAAAAUAUUUCAAAUAUUUAUUUUCUAAAAAGAAAAUCCUUAUCUGACUAUUUUUUCUUAAGGUGUAUCUGAACAAUGAAUGAUCAAAAUCAAAUGAAGAAGUUUUAUGUGAUUUUUCGUGGGAAGAAACCAUGCAUUUAUAGUUCAUGGAAUGAAUGUGCUCCUAAUGUUUAUAGAGUAAAGAGAAGCAUUUACAAGUCAUUCAAAAUUCAGAUGGCUGCAGUUGAAGUAUUCAAGAUGUUCUUAAGAUUGAAUCGGAGGAGGACGAGGAGGAGAGGUCAAGCUUUGAACUUUCUGUAGCAAUUCGAUUUUCAGUGGUGUAUGAAAAUGCGAUUUCAAAAUCUCAUUUCCGUAAAUCGAGUCUUUACAUAUAAAAUAAGAAUAUUUACAGAGUUAUUAUAAAACAUAUUGAAUUUCAAUUAAGUAAUUUAACCAAAAAAAGUAGCUAAUUAAAGAUCAGGGACCAAAUUGUAAAAGUCCAAUCGAUAGUGAUUUUUAAUUAACAAAAGACUUGAGGACCUAGAUAACAAUUAUCUAAAUGACCAAAAUGGUUAUUUAACCAUUGUAUAUCAUGAAUUAGUGGAUGAUGAUUUAGAAUUCCACUUUGUUUAGCUAAUGGUUAAUUAAGUAUAAUAAAACAUUAAUUUAGCUAAUUAACUAAGCUUAAUUAGAAAAAAAAAUCCAAGUAUAAAAAGGAAGAUAAUGGGAAGAAAGAUAAGAAUGCUCAUCUUCUUCCACCGUCCAAAAGAAUAUAGAAAUAGGAGAAAGUUUCAAGCUUUCACCCAUUCGGCCAUGUCCAAAAUUCAUAGAUAAUAAGUUAUUUUUCAUGUAAUUUUUAUAGAUUUAUGAUCAUGGAAGUUUAAUUUAACUAGCCCAUGUAUCAAUUUGUUCAAUUUUUGAAAUUUUAGCAAGUUGCCAUUGUUGAUAAAUUGAUGAAUUAGACUUGAAUUUGAUAGAUAUUUAGCUUAUAUUAUGAAAAGGGCUAAAUUGUAAAGCUUAAUAAGCUUGGUUGUUAACUUUGUAACAUUAGGAACCAAAUUGAAUAAAGUGAAAACCUAUCAUGAAACUAUGCUAUGAAUAGAAAGUCUAAGGUCCCUAAUGAGUGAAUGUGAAAUCAGAUUUUAAUCCGAUGCUAAAUAUCGGAAUAUAUGCUUAUCUCAAGUUUAAGUACUAAAUUGAAUAAUGAAAAAUAUGCUUGACCUUAUAUUUGAAUUUGAAUCAAAUGAAUUUUGAUAUUGUUCCUUUAUUAACAAUUGAUUAUAGCUAAAGACGAUGCCAGUCCAUCAAGAGGGAAAGGAAAACGAGAGUCGUUGACGAGUGACAUAAGAUUUCGAUUUGUGCUUUUAUGAUUCGAGAUCAAUCAUUUUCUUUGUAUAUUCAUGACAUAUUUCAUGAUUGAGUAUCGAGGUGAGAUAAUAAUGGUCGUUUGAAUUGAUUUUCUAUGAUUGAUGUUAGCUUCAUUGAUUAAACCAAAACCGCCUAGAGGGGGUGAAUUGACUUUUAAAAUUUUGUGGAAGCUAGAAAAAAAAGAUUGUAACGCCCUAGAAUUUUUAUUUUUGUUCUUGCAAAAGUGUGACACAAUUAUGUAUUUGCUUUAGUGGUUAAGUGUUCUGGCCGUGUGAGAGGUCCCAAGUUCAAGCUAGGACUUGGGCAAAUUUUGGUAUUUUUAUGAAUAAGCUCUAUCUUUGGUCAGUAGGCUUUUAAGUAAAAGUUGACAAAUAAUUAGUAGAAUGAGCCUGUUAGUCUGGUGGAUAAGUGGAGUGUUGUUGUGAAGGAGGUCUUGUGUCCAAUUCUCUGUGACGGCGUGGAGACAGUAUUUUCGCUCCAGUUUCGGCUGAGAGUUGUGUUGGGGCAAAAUUCUGAGUAGUUGUAUUUUAGUGGGUUAAUAGGGAGUGAUUUUAGGAGAUAAUGGUGGAGAGAUUAUCAGAAAAUAAUAUGAUUAUCUUUUUGUUGCAGAAAAAAAAGUAGAGUUUUAGUUUUCUCUCCAAUUACCUAAACUUUUUUUGACGAUUUCUUCUUCUUUUUUCCCUCCUCUACUGAUUCUUUCCCUUAGUUGCUGCCGAAAUUUCCAUUAUUUUUCCCCUUCCGUUUCUUUCUUUAUUUUCCAAUUGAUUUGGUUAUUCAUCAUUGGUUGCGUGUGUUCGGUAAGUAACGGUUUUGUCUAUUGUUAAUUGUUCUUGGUUAAUCUCUGAAAGGGGGAUUCCUUUUUGGUGUUUAGGAGUUAAUCAAUGGGCUGGUGGUUUUGAAUCGACGCUGUGAUUGUGCGAAGUCGUGGUUACUCAAGUGAAGUAACGGUUUUGUUAGGUUUUUAGUCAAGUUCCUUCCAAAAUUGGUUGAUUAGAAAUGAAUUAAGUGAUUAAUCUAGAGAUUUGUUGGUCGAUUUGUAGGUUCUAGAGGCUUAGGAGUGCUUACGCAUGAGAAGCGAUACUAGGUAUGUACCCGAAAUGCAGAAAAUGAGAUUUAGCAAAAAAUUGAAAUUGCUUGCUGUCAAGAAAUAAGAGAAAGAAGAGAAAAUGAUGCGAAAAAUUGUAGAGAAAGGAAAUAAGGGUGUUAUAAACUUGAAAAUCAACAUUCUACACUAAAAUAGUUUUGGACAUCAGUAGUAGUCUAACUUUGAAAAAUCAUCAAAAAUAGAGGAAAUUGAGUUAGAGGUUGAAUAAAAUACUCAAUUAAAUUUUAUUGAGUCUAGUUUUUCAUGGAAGAAACAGUGUAAGCAAUGAAAUUGUAAGUUAUGAGAUAUAAUGAAUUUUCUAAGACAAGGUCAAAAUGGGUUUGGGUUCCCCUGUUCUGACUUUGGAAAAAUCAUUGAAAAUUGUAAAAAAAUAAUUAGAGGCUUAAAUUCUUAAUGAUUCUAUUUUCAAGAGAAACAAACAGAAACAUCAUCCGAAUUCCGUACUAAGAGAUAAAUAAUUUUUAUUAAGGAAAGUUUGAAGCUGUCAAACAGCAGAAUCGGGAUAGAUUUGAAGAUUUUACUGUACUGAUUUGAUAAACUAUAAAAUCUAAAAAUUUUAUGGUAGAAAGGUAUUUGAGUCUAGUUUCGAAAACAUCACGCGGAUCUUAAUUUGGAAUUCUGUAGCUCAAGAUAUAAAUAAUUUAGGGACAAUGACUCAAGUAGACAGCUUUGAAUGAACAUAUAAGUAAAUAGUGAAAACAUAUAUGAAUAUUUAGCUAGCAUGGGUACAUUAAAAGUGGAUCACAAGGGCAAGGCCAAUUUGGGCUGAGUGGGCCACAUGGGUAUGUGGGCCCACACGUGUAGACCACAUGGGCGUGUGAGCCCAUUUUCGUUGAAUUGAUUGCUAAGGUUACACGGGUCGCCCAAGUCGACUGUGGACCUACUGUAGGGUCGGUAAGCAUCACUUAGACCCUAAUUGUACAAACUAACUAUUUGAUUUAUAUAUGUGUUGCGCUUGAUGAUAGUAUGCUUAUAUACUGAAUUGGUUAUAUGUAUUGAUGUCCUGAGAUAGCAUGUCCUGACUUGUAUGUUGCAUUGCAUGGGGUUGGGUUAAUUAUAUUUGGAGAAAGUGUACUAAAAGGCUUUUAAGCCUAACAUACUGGUCGCUCAGCUUCAAAUAAUUGUUUUGUGUCGCAUUCGGUACUACUUGGAGUGUAGGGAUGGGUGGGUUGAUUUGAUCCCUACAUGGAGUGUUGGGUUUGCCGGAGAUGGUGUGUGGAGGUUGGUUGGGUAGGACUUUGUUACUGAAUACUGUAUGACUGCUACUAAUACUGCGAUGGGCUAAGGCCUUGCUGCAUAUAUUGAUACUAUACUGAGAUAGGCUAAGGCCCAAACUGUUACUGAUACUGAAAAAGGGCUUAGGCCCAAGACUGCUUUAACUGUGCACUGAAAAAGGGCUAAGGCCCUAUUGUUUGUUUUCUGUGGAAUUACACACUGAGUUUUCGUAAACUCACCCUUUUUGUUAAAAUUUGCACAGUUAAUCCCCAGAUCUAGACGGAUCGGUGUGACGUAGGACUCAGCGGUGACCACGGUUUUGGACUUUCAUGGUUUUUGACCCAUAUUUAUGAUAAUUGGUUUUAUUUCUAUUAUAUUUUUUACUGGCUAAGUUUUUGGGUUGUAAUUGGACUUUUGGACUUUGGUUUUGGGUUUUAAUUAUCUUUACCUUAUGGAUUACAACUGUUAGUAGUAGGAAGCCUCUGUUUUUAGAAGAAACAAAUGUUUUUCCUAAAAGCACGAUUGUUUAAUCUAUUUUAAAAUCUUCUGCAAAUGAAUAACGUUUUGAAACUAUCGAUUAAAUGAGCAACACAAUUUUGGAACUAAUAAGAUAUUAAGAUAAGGAAUUCAAUUGAAAUGGUUUUAACGCGAUGACACAAUUUUCAAACAUCCUAUCGUGUGACAUCGCUAGAUCCGGCCAUAACGUCUAGGCCAAGUUUGGGGUGUUAUAUUUAGUGGUAUCAGAGCCAAGUAGCAAAAAUCGGCUGUGGAUUAUGGGUUUUAAAUUUGGUCAUUGAAAAAUUGGUUUUUAAAAGAUUUGAAAUAUUUCUACUGGGUAUGUGGUGCACCAAGUCUCUGGUGCCGAUCUUGUAAGUGUUCUAAAACUGAUACAUGCUAUGAUAUUCUGAAACUAGUAUAUGUUAUGAUAUUCUGAAAUUACUGUAGGUAGUAUAUUGUGAAAAUACUCUAGUUGGUGUAUAUUGAGACUGUAGCAAAACUGAUAGAGACUGCGAUUUACGAAAAUCACUCUGAAUUACUCAAACUGUUAACAUUAAACAUCUACUAGUAAAUACUGAAACUGAAACUGAUGCAUAAAAAUUUGUAAUACAGAUAAAUCCGAAUAGACAUGAGAGCACGAGGUAUUUGUAGACGUGGUGCUCAAGGUCGAGGUAGAGGCCGCAGGGGGAUCGAUUUGAGUCCUCUUCCCUGGGUAAUAUACCGAAUUUGGACACGAGUGAGACGCCAGUGUUGCCCGCUACUGAGACUGAGUCUCAUGAUCGUAUGGCUGGGGAUAACACAUUGUCUCAAGAUAUGUUGAGGAUAUUGGAGAGGGUCGUUGGUCCUAAUAUUGGAUCAGGGGGCCGUGGGUCAGUUACGGAACGACUUCAAUUUAAUAGAGCUGAGCUUCUGAGGGGUGUCACUUGGGUUGCCCUUAAUGUAUUCGAGUACUGGAUUGAGGCCACGGAGAGGAUCAUGGAUGACCUAGAUUACACCUUCGAGCAGAAAUUUAAGGGUGCAGUCUCGCUGUUACGUGAUGAAGCUUAUCAAUGGUGGCUUACUGUUAAGGAGGGCACUCGGCCCAAACGUCUGACCUGGGAGUUCUUUAAGAUCGCCUUCCAGGGGAACUAUAUGGGAGAUAGUUAUGUUGACACCCGUAGGAGGGAGUUUCUGAAUCUAACAUAGGGAGAUCGAUUAGUGGCUGAGUAUGAGGCCGAAUUCCUAUGAUUGAGCCAUUAUGUGAGAGGUAUGGUGGCGACUGAGUAUGAGCAUUGUGUUCACUUUGAGGAUUGCCUCAGAGAUAAUUUAAGAGUCCUGAUAGCUCCACAAAGGGAGCGUAAUUUUUCUUUGUUUAUUGAGAAGGCGAAGAUCACCGUGGAGGUUAAGCGCGCUGAGAGCCAAAACCGUGAUAGGGAGAGAGGUAGGAACAAGAGGGAUUUGGAGCCCUUGAGUUCUGUGCAGAGGCCUAAGAAAAAGGCCAGAGCUGAUGGGCUAGUUAGAGCUGGUCCCCUUGUUACUACUACUGGACUUCAGCCAUGUGUCGACCGUGGUAGAUGCCAUUAGGGCAAGUGUUGGAGAAGGACUAGGGAGUGUCUGAGGUGUAGAUCAUUAGAUCAUCGCAUUUGGGAGUGUUCGUUGAGGGUCGAUCAGAUGCAUGCUCAGGGUACUAGUACUGCACAGCCACAAAGUGUAGCACAGCAGCCACCUAGAGGUCAUGGUCAGGCUAGGGGUGGUAAUGGUAUGGGAUGUGGGCAGAGAGCACCGGGCAGAGGUGCUGGAUAGGCUGAGGCGAGACAGUCGGUCCUAGUUUAUACUACUCAUUGCCAAGAGGAUAGAGAUGCUCCGAACGUUAUCAUAGGUACGUUUCUUAAUUUUCAUGUGCGUUACACUGCAUUGAUAGGUAUAGAAUCUACGCAUUCCUAUUUUUCCUGUUCUGUUCCCAAAAAUCUAGGGAUUCCAGUUGAGAGUACUUCUAGUGAGGUGGCUGUGCUGAGCUUGUUGGGGUAAUCUGUUAGAGUUAGCAAACUGUAAAGGGAUGUUCCUUUAGGGGUUCAAGGGAUGGUAUUUCUGGCUGAUUUGUUGGAGCUUCCGCUUGGGGAGUUCGAUAUGAUAUUGGGGAUGGACUGGUUGGUUAAGCAUCAUGUCAGUUUGGACUGUGUGACUAAGAGGGUCGUAUUGAGAACUGAGGAGGGUAAUAAAAUAGUUGUGAUUGGGGAACGCUGGAAUUACUUGGCUAACGUGACCUCUGCACUGGUAGCUGAGAAACUUGUUCGCAAGGGAUGUGAGGCGUAUUUGACCUACGUAAGUGUUUCCACUUCUGGGGACUCUACUGUAAACGACAUUAGAACUGUGAGGGAUUUUCCAAACGUCUUUCUUGAGAAGCUACUAGGUUUACCUUCGAAUCGAGAAAUAGAGUUUAGGAUUGAGGUUUUCCCUGGUACAGCUCUACUGUCUAUCGCUCCCUAUCGAAUGGCACCGAAGGAGCUUACGAAGCUUAAGGCUCAAAUUCAGGAGUUAUUGGAUCGUUGGUUUAUCCGCCUUAGUGUGUCCCCGUGAGGAGCACCGGUACUGUUUGUUAAGAAAAAAGAUGAAUCCAUGAGGAUGUGUAUCGACUACCGACAACUAAAUAAGUUGACUAUUAAGAAAAAGUAUCCACUUUCGAGGAUUGAUGAUUUGUUUGACCAGUUCAGAGGGGCGUCUGUGUUCUCCAAAAUUGACUUGCGUUCUGGGUAUCAUUAGUUGAGGGUUAAGGAGGCUGAUGUGCAUAAGACGGCAUUUAGGACUCGUUAUGGUCAUUACGAGUUCCUAGUGAUGCCAUUUGGACUGACUAAUACACCGGCAGCUUUCAUGGAUCUGAUGAACUGAGUGUUUUAGCCCUACUUGGAUCGGUUUGUAGUGGUGUUCAUCAAUGACAUAUUGGUUUAUUUGAGGACCGAGGAUGAGCGUGACUAGCACCUUAGGAUUGUUCUUCAGAUUUUGAGGGAAAAACAACUCUAUGCUAACUUCAACAAGUGCGACUUAUGGUUACGUGAAGUAACAUUUCUAGGUCAUGUAGUGUUUGCUGAGGGGAUUUGAGUCAAUCUUUGAAAAAUUGAGGCUGUAUUGGAUUGGGAGCAGCCUAAGAAUGUGUCUAAGAUCCGCAGCUUUUUGGGGCUGGUAGGUUAUUACCGACGGUUUAUGGAAGGAUUUUCACUGAUUGCAGCACCCUUGACUAAGCUGUUACGUAAAGGUGUACCAUUUGAUUAGGCCGAUGCGCAGGAAGAGAACUUUGAGAAGCUUAAGAUUGUACUAACUAAGGCUUUUGUUUUGGUACAGCCUGAACCUAGAAAGGAGUUCACGGUUUACAGUGAUGCAUCACGUGUCAGUUUGGGAUGUGUGUUGAUGAAGGAUGGAAAGGUGGUUGCAUAUGCGUCUCGUCAGCUGAAGACACACUAGGUGAACUAUCCGACGUACGAUUUGGAGUUGGCCGCCGUAGUUUUUUCAUUGAAAAUCUGGAGGCAUUAUCUGUAUGGUGAGAAGUGUAUCAUCUACAUUGAUCACAAAAGCCUCAAGUAUCUCAUUACUCAGAAGGAGCUGAAUCUAAGACAGCGAAGAUGGGUUGAGCUGCUUAAGGAUUACCACUGUACCAUUGAGUACCAUCCUGGCAAGGCCAAUAUGGUGGCCGAUGUGUUGAGCCGUAAGGCUAUGACCGAUCUGAGAGCGAUGUUCGCUCGACUUAGCCUAUUCGACGAUAGAAGUCUGGUGGCAGAGCUUUCGGUCAAAUUGACAUGGAUUGAACAGAUUCGAGGUAAAUCGUUGGGGGAUAAGUCUCUUAGGUUGCAUUUUCGUUAGGUUGAGAAUGGUUGCACUACUGAUUUUGGGAUAAACAGUGAUGGGGUACUUUGUUUCCGCGGUCGGAUUUCUGUACCGAAUGAUGAGGAUUUGAGGUAGUCGAUUCUGAGAGAGGCGCAUGGUAGUCCCUAUGCUAUGCAUCCUGGCUAGAACAAGAUGUACCGAGAUCUUCGGGAAUUGUACUGGUGGCCAAGGUUGAAGCGAGAGGUUACUAACUUUGUUGCUCGCUGUUUGACUUUUCAGUAGGUUAAGGCUAAGCAUCAGUUACCUUCGGGUUUGCUGUAGCCGGUUAAAAUACAUUUAUGGAAAUGAGAGUGAGUAACGAUGGACUUUGUUAGUGGGUUGCCUUUAACACCCACUCAAAAAGAUUCAGUGUGGGUCAUCGUGGAUUGAUUGACUAAGUCUGCACACUUCAUCUCAGUUAGGACAAAUUAUUCUUUGUAGAAGUUGGCGAAGCUCUAUAUUUUUGAGAUAGUAAGAAUGCAUGGGGUACCAGUUUCGAUCAUCUUUGAUAGGGAUCUUUGGUUCAUGUCUCGAUUUUGGAAAAAGGUGUACGAGACUCUUGGUUCAAGGUUGGACUUCAGUACUACGUUCUAUCCUCAGAUCGAUGGUCAGUCAGAGAGGGCGAUUCAGGUACGAGAGGAUAUGUUGAGGAGCUGUGCUAUUGAUUUUUGAGGUAGUUGCGAGGAUGAUCUGCCGUUGGUGGAGUUACCCUAUAAUAAUAGCUUCUAGUCUAACAUCUAGGUGGCACCUUACAAGGCACUAUACGAUCGUAAGUGUCGCAGUCCUUUAUGUUGGACUGAGUUGGGCGAGCGAUGUGUUCUAGGUCCUGAGUUGGUCUUUGAGACAGAGGAUAAGGUUAGAUUGAUUCGGGAUCGUUUGAAAGUGACUUCUGAUAGGUAGAAAUCUUAUGGGGAUUUGAAGGGGCGUGAGAUCAAGUAUUCUGCGGAGGACUUCGUUUUUCUCAAGGUCUCACCAUGGAAGAAGGUACUGAGGCUUGGUCGUAAGAUCAAGUUAAGCCCUAGGUUUAUUGGACCUUACCAUAUCCUGAAGCGAGUGGGACCAGUUACUUAUCAGUUAGAACUACCUCCGGUAUUAGAUCGUAUCCAUGAUGCGUUCCAUGUCUCUAUGUUGAGGCGUUACUGCUCUGAUCCUACUCAUAUUGUCCCUGUUAAGGAGAUUGAGGUUAGGCCAGACUUGACCUUUGAGGAGGAGUCUGUCCAAAUUCUGGAUUGUGACGUAAAGGUUCUGAGGAGGAAGUCUAUUCCAUUGGUGAAGGUUCUAUCGCGUAAUCAUAGCACUGGGGAGGCCACGUGGGAGCCUGAGGAAGCGAUGCGUCAGCAAUAUCCUUAUUUGUUCUGAUCAGGUAAAUUUUGAGCCAACAAUAUUCUUUUAGGGGGUAGAGUUAUAAUGGCCCUGAAUUUUUAUUUUUGUUCUUGCGAAGGUGUGACACAACUAUGUAUCUACUUCAGUGGUUAAGUGUUUUGGGUGUGUGAGAGGUCCCAAGUUCAAGCCAGGACUUGGGUAAAUUUUGGUAUUUUUAUGAUUGGUCAGUAAGUUUUUAAGUAAAAGUUGGGAAAUAAUUAAUAGAAUGGGCCUGCUGGUCCGGUGGAUAAGUGGAGUGUUGGUGUGAGGGAGGUCCUGUGUUCAGUUCUCUGUGAUUGCGUGGAGAUAAUAUUUUUGCUCCAAUAUCAGCUAAGAGUUGUGUUGGGGCAAAAUUCUAAGUAGUUGUACUUUAGUGGGUUAAUAGAGAUUGAUUUUAGGAGAUAACGGGGGAGAGAUUAUCAGAAAAUAAUUUGAUUAUCUUUUUGUUACAGAAAAAAAGUAGAGUUUCGAUUUUCUCUCCAAUUACCCAAACUUUUUCUGAUGUUUUCUUCUUUUUUUUUCCCUCAUCUGUCGAUUCUUUCCCCUAGUUGAUUCUGGAAUUUCCAUUAUUUUCCCCCUUUCAUUUCUUUCUUUAUUUUCCAAUUGAUUUGGUUGUUCAUUGUUGGUUGUGUGUGUUCGGUAAGCAAGGAUUUUGUCUAUUGUUAAUCGUUCUUGGUGUAUCUUUGAAAGGGGGAUUCCUUUUUGGUGUUUAAGAGUUAAUUAGGGGGCUAAUGGUUUUGAAUCGACGCUGUGAUUGUACGAAGUCAUGGUUACUCAAGAGAGGUAAAGGUUUUGUUAGGUUUUUAGUCAAGUUCCUUCCAAAAUUGGUUGAUUAAAAACGAAUUAAGUGAUUAAUCUGGAGAUUUGUUUGUCGAUUUUUAGGUUCUGGAGGCUUAGGAGUGCUUACGCAUUAAAAACGAUACCAGGUGUGUACCCAAAACGCAGAAAAUGGGAUUUGGCAAAAAGCCAAAAUUGCUUGCUUUCGAGAAGUUAGAUAAAUAAGAGAAAAUGAUGCGAAAAGUUGUAGAGAAAGGAAAUAAGAGUGUUAUAAACUUAGAAAUCAACAUUCUGCAGUAAAAUAGUUUUGGACAGCAAAAGUAGUCUAAUUUUGAAAAAUCAUCAAAAAUAGUGAAAUUUGAGUUAGAGGUUGAAUAAAAUACUAAAUUAAAUUUUAUUGAGCCUAAUUUUUCAUGGAAGAAAUAGUGUAAGCAAUGAAAUUGUAAGUUAUGAGAUAUAAUGAAUUUUGUGAGACAAUGUCAGAAUGGGUUUGAGUUCCCCUGUUCUGAAUUUGGAAAAAUCAUCGAAAAUUGUAAAAAAAUAAUUAGGGGCUUAAAUUUUUAUGUUUAAAUCCUUAAUGAGUAUAUUUUCAAGAGAAACAAAUGGAAACAUCAUCCGAAUUUCGUUCUAAGAGAUAAAUAAUUUUUAGUAAGGAAAGUUUGAAGCUGUCAAACAACAGAAUCGGGAUAGAUUUGAAGAUUUUAUUGUACUUAAGUCAUAAACUAUAAAAUCUGAAAAUUUUAUGGUAGAAAGGUAUUUGAGUCUAGUUUCAAAAACAUCAAGCAGAUCGGAAUUUGGAAUUCUUUAGCUCAAGAUAUAAAUGAUUUAGGGUCAAUGACUCAAGUAGGCAUCUUUGAAUGAACAUAUAAGUAAAUAGUGAAAACAUAUAUGAAUAUUUAGCUAGCAUGGGUACAUUAAAAAUGGAUCACACGGCCAAGGCCAAUUUGGAUUGAGUGGGCCAGAUGGGAGUGUGGGCCCACACGAGCAGACCACAUUGGCGUGUGAGCCCAUUUUCACUGAAUUGAUUGCUAAGGUUGCACGGGUUGCCCAAGUCGACUGUGAACCUACUGUAGGGUCGAUAAGCAUCAGUUAGACCCUUAAUUAUAUGAACUGGUUGUUUGAGUUAUAUAUGUGUUGAGCAUGAUGAUAGUAUGCUUGUAUACUGAACUGGUUAAUGUAUUGAUAUCCUAAGAUAGCAUGUCAUGACUUGUAUGUUGCAUUGCAUGGGGUUAGGUUAAUUAUAUUUGGAGGAAGUGUACUGAAAGACUCUUAAGCCUAACAUACUGGCAGCUCAGCUGCAAAUUACUGUUUUGUGCUGCAUUCGGCACUACCUGGAGUGUAGGGAUGGGUGGGUUGAUUUGAUCCCCACAUGGAGUGUAGGGUUGGACGGAGAUGGUGUGUAGAGGCUGGUUAGGUAGGACUUUGUUACUGAAUACCGUAUGACUGCUACUGAUAUUGUGAUGGGCUAAGGCCCUACAACAUAUUUGAUACUGUAUUGAGAUGGGCUAAGGCCCAAACUGUUGCUGAUGCUGAAAAAGGGCUUAGGCCCAAGACUACUUUAAUUAUGCACUAUGAUUUUCUACUGUUUGUUUUCUGUGGAUUUUACACUGAGUUUUCAUAAACUCACCCCUUUUGUUUAAAUGUGCAUAGGUAAUCCCCAAAUCUAGACGGAUCGAUGCGGUAGAGGACUUAGCGGUGACUACGGUUUUGGACUUUCAUGGUUGUUAACCCAUAUUUACGAUAAUUGGUUUUAUUUCUAUUCUAUUUUUUACUGGCUAAGUUUUUGUGUUGUAAUUGGACUUUUAGACUUUGAUUUUGGGGUUUAAUUAUUUUUACCUUAUGGAUUACAACUGCUAGUAGUAGGAAACCUCUGUUUUCAAAAGAAACAAAUGUUUUUCCUAAACACACGAUUGUUUAAUCUGUUUUAAAAGCUUUCACAAACGAAUAACAUUUAAAAACUAUUGAUUACAUGAGCAACACAAUUUUGGAUCUAAUAAGAUAUUAAGAUAAGGAAUUCAAUGGAAAUGGUUUUAACGCGACGACGCGAUUUUGAAACACCCUAUCAUGUGACAUCGCUAGAUCCUGCCAUAACAUCUGGGCCGGGUUUGGGGUGUUACAAAGAUGGAACAGAUUAACACAAUGGUUUAGAUUAGUUCGACCCAAAUUGCCUACUCCACUACCUUAACUUUCCACUUUUAAGGAUCUUCCCAAAUUCACUAAUUUGACUAACCUUUAAGGACAAGGUUUAACCUUAUAGCUCCCUUCAAGUUUCUACCAAAACAUUAAGAUAAAACCCUCUCAAAAAGAAAUGCAAAUAUACAAAUAGAGAAUUAAUCCUUACAAGAUUGGAUUAUUUUCCAAUUUAGCACAAAAGAAAUAAUAAAACACUUGAGCUGAAUAAACAACAAUGAAAGGUCACAAGUGUGUAUAAGAAAAGUAUGAAAACUUUAAGCUUAAAGGUUGAUUAAUUGAAGUUUUUUCUUUAAUCAUCACUGUUAGUGUUGUAGACCCUUUGGAGGCUGGUUUUUAUACCCUUUAAUUAAUUUCCAACCAUUGUGGUUGUUGGAAUAUUGAAUAGAGUCAUUGGGGAUGAAAAUACCAAUGCAACAAUGCCACCUGCAACACCAGGUAUCGAUACUUUUUUUAUUAGUGUUGAUACCGUAUGCAUUUAAUGUCUAUUUUAGUAACCGUUGAAGCCAUCAAAUCCGAUACUAGGGAAUUCUAUCAAUACCAAAUAUAAAGUAUCGAUAUUGUAUCGAUACUUGAUAAGUCCUUUGGAAGUUUGAUUGCCAAUUUCGUAUCAAUACUGUAAAAUGUAUCGAUAAAAGCAUACCACUAUCGAUACUUGAAGAAAUUUAUCGGUACCUAGCAAAAUGAAUGAUACCGUAUCAAUACUAAUUAAAUAAUUUUGAAAAUAGAAUGUCAUUUUUGUAUUGAUACGGGAAAAUGUAUCAAUAAAAUUUUAAAUUUAUCGAUACUCAAGAAAAUCUAUCGAUACUUGAUAAAAAAUAUCGGUAAUGGAUCAAUACUUUUUGGUCUAGAGUAGUUUUAACAUGUUUGAAAGUUUUUUUUAACAAGUUGACCAUAAAAUAUUUUCUAAGUAUGAGUUCAACUAUUUUUAUUUUUAGAUGUCAUUUGAAAUGAUUUUUUUUGCCAAGUUUUAUUUAAAAUGAUUUUUGUUCAAAACAUAAUAUUUGUUAUAUCAAAAUAAUUUCCAAGUAAAGCUUGGUUCAACAGUUGAUAUUGAUUAUCGAGAUAGUGGAUUGAAUUGGAUAAAAUGGAAAGUAGUAUUAUUUAGUGAAGACAUUAUGUGUAAUAUGAGAAUGGAUUGAAACAUGCUAUAUGGUAAGAGAUAUUUUUGGGUUGAUGAUGAAUUGAAAUGAGAUUAUAAAUUAAAUGUGAAAUUAUAUAUGAAUUGGAUUAAAUUGAAAUGAAAUGAAAUGGAUUGGAUUGGUGAUUAGUGAUUGGUGAUUGAAUUGUGAUCGAUUACAGGGUAUGAAAUACAAAUGUGACCGAUUACAGAGUAUUAUACGCAAAUGUGAAUGAUAUAGGGUAUGAAUAUGUUAAUAAAUAUGGUUCGUGCCCAUGUGAACUUAGUAAAAUGUUAGGAUACUAUUAGCAUUCCAAUUGGGUCAUAUGUGUGCUUGUAUGAGAUAUGUGAGAUAUGAAGAUUAUGGUAGAUUAUAUUGAGAUCCAACAUCUGUUGCACAUCAUCGAGUAUUGUUUGUCUCUAUGGAGACUUUGGUGUGGUAGAGGGAUGUAAUUGAAAAUGUUUAAACAUUUUAUGCCUACGAGCUUUGCACUUUGCUGCCUUGGUGUAGUGUAGUUUAAGCUCAUACGAGCUAUCUUGAUGUGAAGUAGUUCAUCUGUGUAUCCAGAUUCGUUUUACUAGGGUCCCAUUGGGUGAACAAUUGAAAUAAAAUCUUGAAAUCGAAAAAUGAAAUAAGCCAAAUUUUGGUAAGCUAUUAUAAUGUAUGAUUUGAAUUGAAUUGGUAUGAACUUGUGAUUUGAUAAUAGUAUAUGAAAUAAUUUGUUGAUAUGAAACUAUAUGUGUGCAUAUAUGUAAUUCACGGUAGAGAAAGUGUAACACCCAAUUUUGGCGGGUUUUGAGAUGGCAAGUGAACAAGAGUAAUCUGAGUGGCGAGAUAUUAUUUUCCCAGUUGAUACUUUUGUUAGACAUAUUGGGCGCAUAGUUAAUAAUGGAGUAUCAUGAAAGGAUUGUUCUGUGAAUGCGUUAAGUCGCGAAGAAGACGGGAUUCGUAGGAUGGUUUAGGAUUCUUGGGUAAAUUGGGUUAUCACCAAAGGUAUUGUACGUCAAUUUAUUGAGUUACAUUCUAGUCACGUUCUAAUGGUAUAGUUAGGAAGGAUCGAAAGGGUGAACCAAAUAUAUGUAACUAUUGGAUUUCCUUUUUGCAACUGUAAACCAUUUGUAUAGGCAGUCUUGAAAGUUUGUGCCAUGUGUCAAAUAUCAUUAUGAGAACUUGGGUUUUAUAUGUUAUUGUGAGUUUAGGAAGAGGGAGUUUUUCUUCCUUUUUUUAUUUCAAAAUGCUAUGAUGGUUUUAUCUGGGAGUUAAGACAAGAUCUCUCUUUUGUUAAGCUGAAACUAAGGAUCCAAGCACAUGAAGAAGGUUAUUUUGCAUCCUGGGUAAGUAUUAAGUAUGAUAUGUUGACUUCUGAAAGAGUAUGUUUGUUUUGUAGGCAUGGACAGUAAAAUGAGGAAGUAAGGUUUUUCCAUGGGGGAUUAUCUUGGUUUUAGAUGAUUGUAAAAAUUGAAUGAAUGAGCUUUAAUGAUGUUCCUGUAUUCUAUAAGCAAUGAUUGUUGUGGGUUUUGGUUAGAUGUUGAAAAUGGAGUUCCAGUUGCUACUUAUGGGUAUCAAGUGAGUCCCUAGAUUGACUCUUAUAUGUAUAGAAACUUCUAUGCUAAGUGCCCAAAGCAUGUGAUCAAAACUAGUAAAUAAUAAUGUGACAAAUCUGAUAAGAAAAGUAAGAAUUAUGAUCCUAGAAGACUAUGUAUGCUUAUGUCUAAAAAUAAGAACGAGUCUGAUAGGAAGUGUAUAUAUGUCUGGUAAGCAUAAGAUUUUUUGUCAUGAGUGAGUCGAUGCAUGAUGAAUUGCGUCUGUCUCUAGAGUCAUCUAAAGGGGUUCGUCGGGACUAAAAACAUGAAUCUCUUAAAGGACAAGUCCAUGGGCGUGGUGCUAAAGACCAUAUCGUGUAAGGCUGUAACUGGUGGGUUAUGGCAUCAAAUGGAAGAAUUUAAGGAAGAUUAUUACCUAAUGUGGUUCUCUGUGUACCCUAGGACAAUGAAGGGCAAACCUCACUAAGUGUGAGUCUAGGCAAAUCCCUAUCACCCAAAUCACCAAGAGACGAAAAACCUUUGUGGCGAACCUGUUAAAGGAAGCCUUUAUGGCUAUCUCAAAAAGAAGGAAUGCCUUUGUGGCGUAAUCUAAUGAAUGACCCUUGUGACAAAUAUUUGUAGGAAAAGUAUGUACAAUGAACUCUGUAAGAAUGAUAUGUAUGAAGGAAUGGUAAGUAUGGUAAAUUCUGAAAGUUUGAUAUAUAAAUAUGGCCAACCUUGGAGGAACAAUAUGGAAAAAUCUAAAGGAAUGGUUUUGUAUAGUAUGACAAGGUGAAUCCUUCAUAUUAUGGGAUAUGAACAUUAAAGGUAAAACAUGUCAAAUGUGUUUGGCGAAUCAAGAGUGUUCUGUCUGUAUGUUCCUUUGUAAUAGUAAAGGUUAAAGAAUCAUGAAUGGGCAAGGCGAAGAACAUGAACAAUGUAACAAUGACGUGAAAAGGCAAGUUAUGAUCGUUGUACAAGGUUUGAAAACUAUGGCAUGAUUAAUAGAAUCUUGGAGACGUAUUUGUCAGAGUUAAGCUAUAAAAAUCUAGAACAAGGAGAUAGAUAUUCUCGAAUAAGACUUAGGUAAAUUAGGGGUUACCCAUUGUAAUGCCCCAAAUUUAAGUUUUUAAUUUUUGCAAUGUUUUGUCACAAAUUGCUUGUUUGCUUUAAUGGCUAAGUGAUUUGGGUGUGUAUGGGAGUGUUUGAGAAGCCUGGGUUCAAGUCUUGGCUUUUGCAAAAUUUUUAGUUUUGCUCUUAAUUAAAUAUGGACACUGGUACUUAGGCCUUAUAAAUAUUAGUGUUGGUUUUAUAUCAUAAAAAGAGCUUGUGGUCUGGUGGCAAGAUGGCGUGUUGGGUAACUGUGAGGUCUGAGGUUCAAGUCCUGGGUUGCGCAAUGGAAUAUUUAUUUUGUUGCUUGAGCUGGGUGGGUGGUGGAGUUGGACUAGAAUACUGUUGAGUGGAGUUUGAAUUGGUAAUGGAGAGAGUUGAGGAGGAUUUGAUGGAGAAAAUCAAUGAGGGAUAAGGGGAGAGAUUUGAGGAGAAAAUUUAGGAGUGGGUUAAGAAGAGAGUUUUGCCGUUUGGGAAGUUUUCACCUUGGGAAUUUUGGCUAGGGGUAUGGGUGUGCCAAAUUUGGUCUUUGGCAUUUUGGGUAAUCGGUGUAUUGCGUUGUUUUCUCUGCUUGUCUCGAUUUGGGUCAAUUUCGUAUUGUAGCUUUUGAUUUUUGGCAAGUUUCUUAUCGGGUUUGUACACUUUCCUAUUUCGUUUUCUUUUCCCCCUUCUCUCUGCUGGCCAAAUAUCCUUUUCUUCUUCCCUCUCAUUUUUUCUACCAAAUUCUCCUUUCUUUUCCCCCUUUCCAUCCCUCUCUCUUGGCCGAAUCCCUUUCCUCUGCCCCUUUUUUUCUUUGACUGAAUGUUCUCCUCUCUUUUUCUAUUUUGAUUCUUACCUAGUAUUAUUUUAUUUUGCUUUUGAACUGGGGACUAUCUCAUUUCUUUAUGUGGGGUUUAGCCGAUUGUUAUUUCUCUGUUCGAUCACUCCUUGCUCUUAUCUUUUUUUCACCGCGGUUGAUGUUCAAGUGCUGCAAGUAUUGCAGAUUAUCGGUAAGUCACGAUACUCCUCGCUUUUUGUUUUAAUCGGUUCCUUUCCACUCUUUAUCUUUAAGCCGAAUACCCUCUUGCCCACUAUUAUGGCCUAAUUUAGUCUAUGAAGGUCAUUGUGUGGUGCAGAUUAUCGUUGUAGCAUGUGAUUGCUUUUGGGUUAGCGGUUUGGAACAGUAGGGUUGCCCUCAUACAAGCAAGGUAAAGAUGGUGAUUUUUGGGUUGUGUCUUGUAAAAAAAGAGAGGGUGUUUUACCCUAACAGUUAAGGGACUAGCGUUGGAUUAUGUUGAAUCUAGGUUGGUGUACGUGGAGGUUGUGCUCUUCUCGUAAUUAGGUGCGUAAUCACACCCUAUCAACUGCAAAUCAGCAAAAGCCGAAAAGUCGAAAAAGACGGCGUUGAGACCAUAUGAGCGUACGAAUGCUCGUGUGGUAAACCGAACCCAUGAAACAUGGUGUUGGAUUGUAGAGGCUUCCAUGAGCAUUUUCAUGGGCUUAGGCCGAAAUGGGUCACAAAUUACCAAAAUACACCCAUAGGGUAAUAUUAUCGAAAUACCCUCGAAGGGUAAAAUUAUUAAAAUACCUCUAUAGGGGAAAUUACCGAAAUACCCCUAAAGGGUAAAAUGACCAAAAUAUCUCUAAAUGGUAUAAUAACCAAAAUACCCCUGAAGGGUAAAAUGACCAAAAUAUCCCCCGAAAGGUAAAAUGACCAAAAUACCCCCACAGGGUAAACUGACUGAUAUACCCCAAGAUUUGGAAAAUGUGUAUGACUGUUUUUGCUCUAUGGUAUAUGUACAUAUUGUUACUGAAUAUGACAUACUGCAUACACGUAUGAUUUAUGACAUGACAUUCUGCAUAGGGUUGGGAUUCUGAUAUCGGGGAAGUAUACCAUACUGGUAGCUUUGCCACAAAUACUAUUACUGGCAGCUUUGCUGCGUUACUGUUACUGGCAGCUCUGUUGCACUAUUAUUACUGGCAACUUUGCUGCGAUAUUUGUGUGUUGCUGGGUGGGUCGAUUUUAUCCCUACAUGGUGUAUUGGUGGUAUGGAGUGGUGUGUUGGCUGGAUUGGGAUGGGUAGCAUCACUGCAUUGUACUGUUUACUAUAUUGGGCUAAGGCCCACCUUGUUACUGUAUUGGGCUAAGACCCACGCUGUUACUGUAUUAGGCUAAGGCCCACACUAUUACUGUAAUGGGCUAAGGCCCACACUGUACUGAUAUUGUAUAGGGCUUAAGCCCAGAUUGAUUCUGCAUUUUGCAUAGUGAUUGUUUAGAAGGGGAUUACACACUAAGUUUUGUAAACUCACCCUCUCCUUUAACUGUGCAGGUAAUCCUCAGCCAUAGGCGAUUCGGAGCUGUAAGGGACUCAAAGAAGGCCACACAAUCACUGUUUUUCAUAUCUGCAUUUAUUCUGAUUUAAAUAAUAAGUUGGGUUUUGUUUUUGUAAUAAGGCCUUUAAUUUGGUUUUAAAUUUUAAUUGGGUUUUCACUUACAUAUUUUAUACUGCUAGUUAGUUGAAAAUGAAUUUUCAAAAUAAUUACUGUUUUCAAAGACACGGGCUUUAAAUGUUAGAGUUUUCAAAAUGCUUCCGCGUUUUAAAUCAACUUAAUAUAAAAAAAAAGCAGUUAACAAGGCAAACAUAUGAUUAAGUGUUUCGUUAGAUAUUUAUAAGAGGUUUCCAAAAUUAAGAAACAAGUUUGUCAACAAGCCAAAAUUUUUUAGAAACACUUCAAUGUGACACACCAGAUACAGCCAUAACAUUUAGGCCGCGUGUAGGGUGUUACACCCACUAAGUUCUAUCGAACUUACCUCUGUGUCAUUAUGUCACAGGUAGGAGGAUUAGGGGGCAACACGAAGUGGGACGACACUAGGACUACACCAAGGGAGUGGUGAAAACGGGCUAUAUGCAUAUAGAGCAAAGGGAGUGGCGUGCUCAAGUCUGAUAGAAAUGUUAUGAAUAAGUUACGAAAUUUGUUUAGAAGCCUUGUGGUGUGUGUAAAAUGUGUUUGUAUUAUAAACGCUAUAAUGCCCUCAACCCAAAUCAAUUCACCGGAUCCGGAUCUUAAGUGUUACAUUGCUAUAACAGACUUAUACAUACAUAAAACAUGUAAAUUUUCAAAGAAAUACAUCUUAUUAGUAAUACUGCCCAACAAACUUGUGUUUGGGUGAACAAUGUGUACAAAACUCAGAGUAUAAUUACCAUCACAUUGGUUUAUACGAUCCCACUUAUUUAACCUCUAAAUAGUACUAUUGACUUAGAUUAUUUGGCUAACACAAUUGAGUGACCCUAAGGCUAAUAAACAAAUUUUCAAAACUUGUUUGAAAUGUUUCUAUCAGACUCAAACACGCCCGUGCAACACUCACUUUCUAUUCUUAUAUGCCGACUUAGCCAUCCUUUAGCGCAGCGCUAGCGUUGUCCCUCCUAGCAUCUCUUUUACUUGAGAGAUAACACACAUAGGGGUAAUUUUGAUAGAACUUAGUGAGAAAACCCUCUUUUACCUGAGCCCUUAUUCAAGGAUUUCAUCAUUUGUUUCUCGUUCAUGACUUUGACCCUAUCAAUUGUAUAGACUUCGCCAUAACCUUCCAUAUUGCAUUUUCCUUUAAAGCUAAUCCAUAGUUGCCAAAUCACAGACUACUAUGUACGUCAUUCAUUCAGACUCUUCUUGCAGGCAUUCUCUUCAGAUAGUCAUCAUAAUAACCGUUCUAAAGAUUCUGCCACGAAGGCAUUCCCUUCCAAAGAUAGCCACAGAGCCUUUCUUUUCAGAGUCUCGCCAAAAAGGGUGUCCUUCUAAAAGAGAGAGCCAUAAAGACAUUAUUUUUAUCAAAGAUGGUCACAAAGGCUUCCGUUUAACAGAGAUCGCCACAAAAGCUUUGUUAUCAAAACUACCACAAAGACACUUUUUUAACAGAGAUAACCACAAAAACAUCUUUUUAGAGAUAGCCACAAAGGCAUCCUUUUAGAGAUAGCCACAAAGGCUUACUUAUACAGAAGUUGGUGUUUUUAACAAUAGGUGUUUGCUCAAUUGAUCAAACCGAAAUUGCCAAGAGGGGGUGAAUUGGCCUUUAAAAAUUUAGUGGAAGUAAAGAAAGAGUAUGAAACAAUGAACGUAAAGAUUUAGAAUGGUUCGACCCCAAUUGCCUACUCUAGUACCUUAGCUUUCCACAGCUAAGGAUUUUCCCAAAUUCACUAAUUUGUUCAACCUUUUAGGACAAGGUUUAACCUUAGAACUCUCUUAAGAUCUCUACCCAAAUCUUAAGAGAAAACCUCUUAAAGAAUUACAAAGAAGAAAACUAAGAAAUCAUCCUCAUAAGAUCAGAAUGUUUGCCAAUAAAGAAAAAAUAAAAACAGGAAUACACUUGAGCUAAGAAUAACAACAAAAGCUCACAAGUGUGUAAAAGAAAAGUAAGAAAGAAUUCAGCACUAAGGUUGAAUUGAUUGAUAUUUAGGCUUGAUUAUCUCUCUUGUAGGACCAUCAGAAGCUGAUAUUUAUACCUUCUAAUACAUUUCCAAUCAUUGUGGUUGUUGGGAGAAUAAAUAAAGUCGUUGGGAUAGAAAUAUCAAAUCAUUAAAUUCACCUGUAACAAAAAGUAUCGAUACUAUAAGCAUUUAAUGUCUGAUUCAAUGACCGUUAAAGUUAGUUUCUAAUGAUACCAAACAAUGAUUUAUCAAUAUCUGGUAAAAGGUAUCGAUACAAUUUUAUGGGUAUCAAUACUUUUUGAUGUUUUUCAAUAGAUCAUGAAAAACAGAAUGCAAAAUUAGUAUUGAUAUAAAUUUUGGGUAUCGAUAAAAAUCAAUAGGUAUUGAAAUAAUUUUAAAGGUAUCGAUACUAAUAGUUUGUAUUCAAUUUUUUAUUUGAAACAAAGAGCAGAUUUGGUAUUGAUAAAAAUUAAGGUAUCAAUAAAAUUGUGCAAGUAUCGAUACAUUUUGGAAAACAUUGAUACUUCUUGUUAGGAGUAGUUUUUCAAUUGAUUUGAAAUGGUUUUGAUUAAAUUCAAGAUUUUAAAUUUAUUUUUUAAAAUUGUCAAAAAUAUUCUAAGUGUUUACAGCAUUUUCUAAGAUGUUUGGAAAUUUUGAAAUAUUAUUUAUGGUUUAAGUUCUUUGUUCAAAAGAAAAACAAAUUUAUAUAUUAAAGAUAUGUUUUUUAUAUCAAAAUAAUUUAACAAAUAAAGCUAGUUCAACAAUCUCCCCCUUUUUGAUAUAACAAAAUAUAUUGGUAAAUUUAUUUUUGAAUUUCUUACUCCCUUUUUUAGAGUUCAAUUUGAGUCUACUUGGUUUUUUUGUGAAAUUUUGAAAACAAGGAUUUGACAAUAAAAAAAUAGUCACUUGAUGCUGGCAUUAAACGAUUAGUCAUAAAAUCAACCAAAUACCAAUAAUUUACCUUUAUAUUAUUUUCUCCCCUUUUUGUUAUAUCAAAAAUUAACAAAUAAAGCUUAAGAGAGACUUCGUUAGUUCAAUAAAAGAGUAAAUAAUUUGAAAAACAAACAAAUAACAUAGAUGUUUCAAAAACAAGUCUCACAAUUAAGAUACCAAAAUAAACAUUAAGUUCUAACAUAGAAUUAAGAAAAUAUGCAACGAAGAUGAGUGAAAUGCAUGAGAAAAAGAAAUAUAUGCGUCCUAAUCUUCUUGAGGUGGAGAAGGAGAAGAUAAUUGAUACAUUAUAAAUGCAAUAUUUUCCUUCAUCCUAGACAUCCUAGAGUUUAAACCAAGAACCUUAUCAUUAAAAUGCCUAAAGGCAUCAUCUACCUAAGUGCUGAAACCCCUAAACUCCUCACUCAAGGAGGUAAUUGCACCAAGGAUGAUGAUAAACAUUUCGUUAGAGAGAGGCUGAGCAGAUGGUUGUGCGAAGGAAGAAGCCAGUGGAGGGUCUUGGUCUUUUUCAAGUUAUUCAUUAUGAAAAUCAUAAGGAACAUGGUGAACAUCUUUAACCCAAGUGUUGGUAGUAGGAUACAGUUUAAAACCAUCUCUACAAAGGGCAGAAAAGCUAAUAGGUUCGUGUUUAACGACCAAAGGAGAAUCAACAUUAGUGGGGAUGUUAAGACAUUUGAAAAUGUAUGACAAGAAUGUACCAAAGGGCAGAGAGAGUUUACUCUAGAGCUUUUGACCAAUACAUUUGGUAAUGUUAUUGAAUAAAAUUAAAGCCAAAUCUGGACGCCAAUAGUCAGUAGAUCAAAGAACAAUAUGUUUUGAAAUAAGAUGUAAUAUCCAUGUAAUUAUAAAAUGAAAAAUGUGAUCAUGGACAUCUAGCUCGGAUGCAAACGAGCGUCGAACGUUCAAGGCUAGAUUAUAAGAGCCUUUCUCAUUUGACUCACCUUGGGGAGGAAGUUUCAAAAAAAUCACUGAAAUUUUCUAAAGUGAGAUGAAUAGGAGUAUUCAUCUCACUGGACUCAUCAUGUUUGAUUAUAGCAUUUGAAUAAAAUGCUCAAACAAUAUUAGCAUGACUUGUUGAACAGAUUUUGAAGAAAUCAAUCCACUGUCAUUCGGCUAAAAUUUAAAGAAAUGGAAAAUUUAUUUUGCCCAAAAAAUCGAUAUCAAGGGUGCAAGAAACAUUAACAUUUUGUUUUAGAACAUAGUGACUAAAAUGGUAGGAGUCAUAUUUAUCUUUAAAAUAAUUAUCAAAAUAAUUGGGUUGUCCACUACAAGAAGAUGAAGGACCGGAACGAGGGCGUCUCCUAACUGACAUUCUAACUAACUGGUCAAUAAUAACUUUAUUAGCACUAAAAAUUUUGGUUGGGAAGAUUGUCAAACACUUUGUGAGCAAUAAGUUUGAAUAAUUUUUUUUAAGAGUUUGUUUAAAACUAGGCAACCACCUACAUGAAAACACAUGUAAUAGCUUGGUUUUAUUUAAAUCGAAACAAUGGUUUUAGAACCACAAAUCCAAUGAUUUAGUUGGUUCGGAAAAAGAUGGUUUGUAUAUGAAAUAUGACUAGUAGACAUGAAUUGUGAUAAAUGACUGUGUUAGACUGUGUUGAGUUAGGUAGUGCCUCGUAACCCUAAUCCAGCGAUGGAUACGGGUUGUGUGUGUUACAACACAUUCGAAAUCAACCCAAAAAUACAAUUUCCAAUCAACAAUUUAAAAGUAAUUCAACAAAUUUCGUACUAGAAAAAUAAGAGUUUUACCUUGAAAUUGCUUUGAAAAUUUGAAAAGUACGAGCGAACUUGAAGAAUUCUUGUAGAAUAUGAUAAUGUAGGUGAUUUGAGUCAAGUUUUUAAAGAAAAAAAGGAAGAAAUAGAAAUUUUUGAAGAGUGGGUUGAGAGGGUUUUGAAAAAUGGAAGAAAUAUUUAAGGUUUAGUUGAGAAACAAGUUGUAGGUACCUUAAAAGUUCAACGAGUAUCAAUACUUUUAAAAUAAGUAUUGAUAUUUUUCAAAAAGUAUCGAUAAAAUUGUAUCAGUAUCGGUACCAAAUGCUGAAACUAUUUUCCAAGGUGCAGAAAAUUUUCUUAACAUGAAUUUUAAGUUCUAACUAGUUCUAUACUAACUUAGGAUGACUUAACAACAAUAUCUGAUGAGUUCAUAUGCUUGAAUAUGCCAAACAUGAGUAUGAUGCAUAUGAAACAUAUAGUAUGGUGAGGUAUACAAAAAUUGAACAAUUUCAUCAAACAAAGUCUAAUUGACCACAUUCAAAUAUAUUCAAAAUUUUUAUACUAGACAAUAUUGAUCAAACUAGAUUAAUCAUGCAACAAUUAACUCUCCCUACCUAAUUGUAUAUAGAAGUCAUAAAAAUCAUGCAUAGUUACUUUUGCAAUCAAUUUUAAGUCAUAAAACAUUUCAAAGACAACAAAGUACAAAAAAAUCAUUUGAACAGAAAAUUAAGGUAAGGUAGUAAUAUCUAGUUCUCUCCUAAGUGUCCAAAAUCUUUCUUUGUCUAGAGGUUUUGUAAAAAUAUCAACUAAUUGAUUUAAGGUGUCAACAUACUCUAGAACAAUCACUCCUUUUUGGACAUGAUCUCUAAUGAAAUAAUGUCUAAUAUCAAUAUGUUUAGUUCUAGAAUAUUGGAUAGGAUUUUUAGUGAGAAAAAUAACACUAAUAUUGUCACACUUGAUAGGAAUGAUAUCUAUAUGAAUUCCAUAGUCCUUAAGUUGUUUUUUUAUCCAUAAAACUUUAGCACAAAAACUACCGGCAGAAAUAUACUCUGCUUCGGUGGUGGACAAUGCAACACUAUUUUGUUUCUUUGAAACCAAUGAUCUGAGUAUGUUGCCUAAGAAUUGAAAAGUACCAGAGGUGUUGUUCUUAUCUAGUUUGCAUUCUCCAAAAUCUGCAUCUGAGAAUGCAAGCAAGUUAAAAGAUGAGUCUCUAGAAUAACAAGGCCUUAAAUUAAGAGUGACUCUAAGGUAUCUAAAGAUUUUCUUAAGGGCUUGUAAAUGAGAUUCUUUAGGACAUGAUUAAAAUCUAGCAUACAAACAAACACUAAACAUGAUAUCGGGUCUACUUGCGAUAAGAUAUGUUGGAUGGCUGGUACGCCCUGUGACACAACUGAAAAAUUAUUUCGAGGACCAUCAAGUAAGGAUCCAUGUAUGAGGAAUGAAUCAGGAUGAAACAAUGGUAAAAAAAUAUACCUUUCAAAACUAAAAAAUGGUGAAUAACGUUGUUGAUAGGAUCCCUUUUGGAGAUGUCGAUUCCAAGCUGCAACAAUAACGUCUCGGCCUCUCGUAUCCACCCAGUCAAAGAAUGAAUAGCAAAAUUCUCUUGAACUUUUUAGAGAGAAUUUUCAAGAAGCUAGACCUUUUUUAUUUUUUUUCUUGGCAACCCUAACACACUAAGGGAUUCCUUUCCUUUUAUUUAGUUUGAUAUCAUAUAUCAGGAAAUAAAAAAUGAGAUUAUUCCCUUAUUAUUAGAUAAACAAAUGAAAAGUCAAGAAAAAUAUUAUAUUCUUUCCAAAAGUAUAUAACUUUCCAUGUCCUUUUAUAUUUUGAUUGAAAUUAUUAUAACUUUUUAUAUUAAUAAUUUUGGUAAAAUAUAUAUAAUUAAUAUAUUGCAUUAAUCAAAUGCAUAUAUUAAAUUUAUUUAUGUUCUCUAUUUGUGUACAAUAAGAUUGUACAUAUAAUGUGUUUAGUAUUUAACUAGCAAUUAAAUUAAUUCAACAAUUAAUUUAAUUCACGUGACAGCUAAAUACAAUACUAGAUGUAUUUGGGUUUUGUUAGCAUCAACUAUAGGGUAUGACACUGCAUCUAAAAGUUCGUUUUCAGUGAAAUUGGAACAAUGGUUUCAGGACCACAAAUCUUAUGUGAAAAUAUUUAUUUUAUUAUUAUUUUAACUUCUACAACAUAUUAGUAUUACCGUAUAAAAAUUUCAUUAAGAAAUUUUACUGUCUGUAUGUUUGUUUUGAUAAAAAGGACUAAAUUGCAUAAAGUGCAAAACUAGAGUUCUAUAGGCUAAAGGCAUUAAAUAGCUAUAGAACCUUAAAGUAUGAGUUCUUAUGUGGAAAUUAGACCAUUCAUGUUGAUAGUGGAAUGUGAUGGAUAGGUUUUAAUGAAAUAUUAAAGGUUUUUAAAGGUUAUUUUGGUAAAUGAACAAUUAAGUAAAUUAAAAGUAAAAUGGUAUCAUCUCCUUCAUCCAUUUAACCUAAAAGCACCGAAAUUUCUUUGAUAAAAGGGGGAGGAUUUGGAUAGGGUAAAAUCUUCAUGCAUGGUAGGUUUUCAAGUCCAUUUUAACAAUUUUUAUGUUUCCGGGAUCAUUGUAGCUUAAUCUAGCUAGCCUGGGGACUAAUUUGCAAAAUUAUUAAAUGUUUAGUGUUUUACCAAGAAUGUAUAUAUAUUUUUAUGAUGUUUGAUGGAAGAAAAUGAAUGUUUGUUGUUAGAUACACAACUUUUGUUAAGAGAUUUUUUAUGAAAUUGUCAAUAAGGGAUUAAAUUGAAAAAUAGAAUUUAUACAUGGUGAAAUUGUGAAAUUAAUGAAAUGAAUGAAAUGUAGGUCUUGCUAGGGACCAUAUGAAAUUCGACUAUGGUGGUUUAAGGAUGAAUUGCAUGAAUUUUCAUUUUAUGAACUAGGGACUAAAUUGAAAUGAAAUCAAAAUUAUUGGGGCAAAAAUGUAAUUUUGCUAAAAUAUAAUUAUUAAAUUCAGCUGAAUUUAUUUGUUUAGAUCAAAAAAAUCUCGUAUGGCUUUAGAUCGGGGCAGAGAUAAAGAUUCGGAAUAAUCGCCUCCGUAUCUUCGUUUAAUCGUCGAUGUAAGUUUGUGUAAUUAUAUUGCAUUUGUAUGUUCUGUGUUAAUAUAUAUAUGUAUCAUGGAUUGUUAUUCUUAAUUUGUUGCAUAUCCAACAAUGUUACAACGACUAUCAAGCCCCGUUCGAACCUUAGGAAUUCGUAGGAUACAAAUGACAUGUCAUUAGUGUUUACAUGAUCCGGGUGCUAGUCUUGAAUGUCCUACCGAUGGCUGAGGUCUGACAUGUGUUGCGGAUACUCCACAGCUCGUAUGAGUAGGCCCAUUUUCACAGCUUGUGUGAGCAUUCUGAUUCACAGCUCGUGUGAGAAUACAUGUAUAGGAAUUGACGGAUUACAGUUAUAUAAGUUAGCACACUAUGUUUGAGCUAUCUCAGGUAUCCAACAGUAUUCUAAAUGGUUCAACGGGCGUGAUUUGUAAGAGAAUGGUAAGAUUUCGGUACGAACUAAUACAUGAACACAUGUGAAUUACAUUGAAUUUGUGAUGCAUCGCAUAAAGAAAUGUUGAGAUGGAUGAUAUAUGCAUAUGAUACAUGAUUAAAUGUUGUGAUCAUCCAUGAUUAAUUGCUUAUGUUAUAUGCCUAUAUGGCUAACAUGGUUGGUGUAAAUGCUUAGGCUAUGGCCAAGUUGUGGUUGGAUUAUGCUAUGUUUAACUUACUUAUUAUGUGAUGAAAUGGUAAGUUGAGUUUUACAUUAUGCGAACUUAUUAAGCAUUUAUGCUUACUCUGUGUUAUUUUCCAUGUUUUAUAGUGAAUCAGAAGCUUGUUCGGGUUGGAAGCUUGUCAGAGUUAUAUCACACUAUCCAUUGGCUAAAUCAGUAGAUUUUGGUGUUUCUAAGUUUUGGUUAUAAUGGCAAGUAUAGGAGUUUUUGUUUGAUGAUUUAGCCAUUUGUUUUUGGCUUGUGUUAUGGCAUUUUGGAUGGUGAAAUGGUGUUAAUUUUGGCAUGUGUAAAUUUGGCCUUAUAAUGGUUGAUAUCAUGGCUUAUGAUGCUUGAAUGAUAGAAGAUGGAAUGGUAGUUAAAAAUGUAUGUUAUAAAUGGUCUUUUAACAUGUUUAAAUGUGGUGAAUUGGCAUAAUUGUUAUUGAUGACAUGUAUGGCUAUUGGUGCUAGAUGUUAAACGCCAUAUUUGGCACUUUUUGGUGUGUAUUUGAUAGGUAAACAAAAUGUACAUAUGAUUAUACAUGUGCUUAAACUUAGUUAUAAAUUAGUUGAAAUUUUGGCCAAAUUGUGCAUAUGAUUAUACAUGUUUAAUGGUUGUGAUUGAGGUGCCUCUUGGGCAUAUUGGUUGUAUGUAUAUGUACUUUAUUUGAAUAGCUUAUUAUGGCAUGGUUUGGUGCACUUUGGAGUGUUUGACUAUAUGUGGAAAAUUGCUUCUAGGUGGAUGCAUGUUUGGGAAAGAAAAUUGCUUGGAAAUGACUUAUUUUUAGUCCACACGGCCAGAGAUGCGGGCGUGUGUCUGAGCCGCGUGUGACACACGGCCAGGCGACACAGCUGUCUGUCCCCUAUAGCUUACAAAGGGUUGCAAGUCAGGCUGUUACACGGCCUAGCACACUGCCUGGUACACGGGCGUGUGGCUUGGUCGUGUGACCCAAGUCAGUGAGUUACACGGGCUAGGACACGACCGUGUGUCCCUACUUCGAAUGUCCACUUGUGAGUCACACGGCCUGGCCAUACAGACAUGUGACCCCUGCAGUUUGAAAAUUUUCAACUGUUUUUGAAAAAUUCUAUAUGUUUCUUAUUUAGUCUCGAUUUGUUUCUAAUGUGUUUUUAAGGCCUCGAGGGCUCGAAUAUGGGACAAUAUAUAUUCCUUUGAUUGGUUUUGUUAUGAUUGAUGAUGUGAAUUAAAUGUUUUAAAUAUUUUAUUGUUUUGAAUUAAAAUCUCUGGUAAUGAUCUGUAACCCUAUUCUAGAGAGGGAUACAAGUUAGGGCUGUUACACUAUAGGCUCUUGUAAUGUUGGUAGUAAUACUAGAGCAUUUUGAACAUUACAAGCAAUGUGUGGCAUCUAGCAAUGUGUCAUUGCUACCCAAGUUGCAAGAAGUCGUGAUUUGACAUAACCUUUCUGUGAUAAUUUUUUCAUGUAUUAUAUCAUUUUAUCCUUAAUAUUUAGAUUUGACAAAAGUCAUGGAAUAAUCAAACUUGUAUGGUCCGAUCUCAUAUUUUUUAAUUUUCUGAGUAGACUACAAUAAACAAAUAACUAUGAUAUCUAAUAUCAACUUAUUCGAGUAUGGCAAUGCAUUUGUAGUCUCACUCCAUCAAGAGGCCUAAGUUAUUGCUCCCAUUAUGGAGGAGGGAUAAAUCCUAUGUUGAUUAACCAUAUCUCACUACAUGGAUUAUGGUAUAUCCAACAUCAGUGUUUAUAGCAUAACCUGUUGUCGUAUACGUUUGACUGUAUCAAAAUAUACGAUUCAUGAUGUUGGGACAAUGAUGAUCUCAAGUCUGAAGAUCAUAUACAUAGUUACCACUAUGAGUAAUAUUUGUGACUAUUAUAUAAUAAUCCAAGAAACAUACUUAUAGCAGGUUAGUCCAGUAUGUUGUUCACUAACACAUACUCAUUUAUUGAUUUUGACAUCCCUAUGUUAAUGACAACACUUUGUCAUCAAUCAACUACACAUUAGUCUCAAUGCAUUAUCAUUGUCCAAGCUUACAAUAAUACUCGACUAAUGACCUUUUUAAGAAUAAUCAUAUUCUUCUUAGGACUUAUUAUUAAACAAUUUAUUUAUACAAAGAAAAAAAACUAAAAUAAUAAUGGAAAUGCCUUAUAUUAACAAACAAUGUAAAAUGAGUAUGUGAUUACAAUCAUCUCAUGACUGUUCUUUGGACACACUCUAACAAGAUAAAGUAAAGAGUCAAUCAUAGACCUAUAUAUCUUUAAAUCAACACAUUUACCUUCCUCAUCUUUGUCAAGCUUUGUAGAAGAGCUCAUUGGAGUAGCUUGUGGUUUGAAAGUGUCCAUCCAAAACUUCUUGUGCAUUUCCUUUGUGUAUUUAGCUUGAUUGAUGAAGAAGUCAUCCUUUCUUUACAUGAUUUGGAGCCCCAAAAAUAAAUUUAGUUAUCCCAUCAUGCUCAUCUCAAAUUCACCUUGCAUUAGCUUAGAGAAUUCUUGACAAAGAAGAUUAUUCUUCAACAUAAAUUUGAACUACUAAUAAAUCUAUAUUUUCUUUUGAUAAAAAGUGUUAUGUUAAUCUUCUCUUUACAAAAACCUAUUUCAAUGAGGAAAUUUGAUAAUAUUUCAAACCAAGCUCUAGGAGCUUAUUUUAAACCAUAAAAGGCUUUUGAAAGUUUGAAAACAUGAUUUGGAAAUUUUGAAUCUUAAAAAUUGGGCGGUUAUUCAACAUACACGUAUUCAUUUAUAAAAACAUUUAGAAAAGCCCUUUUAACAUCCAUUUGAUAUAGUUUAAACUCAUUAAAACAUGCAAAAGCUAAAAGCAAUCUAAUAGCUUCUAUCCUAGCUAUGGGAGCAUAAGUUUCAUAAUAAUCUAUUCCUUCCUCUUCAGUGUAACCUUGAGCACAAGUCUAGCCUUGUUCCUUACUAUGCUACCACUCCCAUCUAGCUUGUUUCUAAGCCUCAUUUAAUACCUAUAGUAGAUUUAUCAAAAGUUCUUUCAACUAAGGUCCAAACUUUACUUCUCUCAACUUAAUUUAACUCUUCUUGAAUAGCCAAUAUCCAAUAUUCAUCAUUUAAUGCUUCUUUGAUAUUUUUAGGCUCAAUGCAUGAGAUAAAUGCAAUAUAGUUACAAGUAUUUCUAAGAGAAGACCUAGUAGUUACCCCUUUGGAUAGAUCUCCGAAAAUCUUACAUCCUUCACAUAGUUGAACUUUCUUGGAUGAGUGACUUUCCUUUCCUCUAUUGUAAACUCCUUUAGAGCAUCUUCUAUUUGUUCUUGAAUCUUCUAGUAGUUGAUCUACUUUAUCAUUAUUAUUAGAAAAAUUAUGCAUAAUCAUCAAUACAAGAAUCCUUUCUAGGAGGAAGGUUAGAGUCAUAAAAAAUAUCAUGUAUAGACUUUUCUACUACUACAAUUCUUUUGUUAAAUUCCUUCAUCACUUUUUGCAUCAAAUUUACCAAGGUUGUCUUUUCCAUUUUCUAAAAUGAAACAUAUGCGUCGAAAGGGAUAAAAAUAGCUAAUGUUAGGUUUUUUAUUUUUGAAAAGUUCAUGUGGAGUUUUCUUUAAAAUAGGCUUAAUAAUCACUCUAUUAACAAUGUAACAAGCAGUGUUUGUGGCUUCCACCAAAAAAUAUUUUGGUAAAUUAUUUUCACAAAGCAUGGUUAUAGCCAUUUAUUCUAAAAUUCUAUUUUUCCUCUCAACAACUCCAUUUUGUUGACGGGUUCUAGGUGCAGAAAAAUUAUGGCUAAUUACAUUUGUGUUCCAAAAAUUUUCAAAACUAAGAUUUUGAAAUUUGAUUCCAUGGUCACUUCUAACACUAGUGAUAGAGUAGCCUUUUUCAUUUUGAUUCAUUUCUGAAAAUGUGAUGAAUUUUUCUAAAGCUUCAUCUUUAGUGCUUAAAAAAGAAUCCAAGUAAGUCUAGAAUAGUCAUCAACAAGUACAAAAGCAUAUUGUUUUUCACCCAAGCUAGUUGUCCUAAUAGGACCAAACAAGUCACAGCUAGUUGUCCUAAUAGGACCAAACAAGUCUACGUGAAUUAGUUGAAGAACUCUCCUAGUUGAUACAACAUUAAUAGGUUUAAAGGAAACUCUUUUAUGUUUACAUUUAACACAUGCAUCUCAAACUUUAUCGAAUUCAAAAUCAAUUUUAGACAAUCCUCUUACUAAGUCAUUUUUAGCUAGUUUACGCAAUAUACUUAUGCUAGCAUGUCCCGGUUUUCUAUGCCAUAAUAGAGAAUUAUUUUAAUUUAUAGCAAAAAGGCAUAAAAUUUAAUCAUGCAAAUCAUCUAAAUGCACCAUAUAUGUAGACACUCAUUUUUGUCUGAGCCCAAUUGGAGGCCCAUUUGUUCCCUUUAAAUAUUUUUUCUCUCUUGGGCCCAUUCGAAGCCUACCCGAUUUUGGUCAAAUUGAGGCCUUUGUUUUUCUUUUAUUUUUCUUUCCUAUUGGGGCCUAUCAAGGGCCCAAACUAUUAUUAUCAUUACUACUACUAAUAUUAUAAUUAAAUAUUAUUAUUAUUAUUAUCUUUUUUAGGGCCUAAGGCCUAAGCUCUUUUAAUAGUCAGCUAGGGUUCCAGAGAACCUAGCCUCUCUUUUGUCACACAUCACAAACAUCCAAAAUAGUACCAAACUAUUAAUAAACAGAUCAAUAGAAACAUAAAAAAUUUACAAAUAAACAAGAUUGGAAAACAGUAUAUAUACAUGAAAUGAAAUGAAAGAAAAAAAAGGGGGGGCUUUUCAUAUUCUGGUCUUUUUUUAAGGUAAAAAAACAACAAUAACAACAAGAACCAUGGUAUUUAUUUUUCUAUUCUUCUUUUUUUUUCCAUAUACAUAUCUUGAGGGAUCGGGUUUGGGUUCCAAUGAAGGGGACAUCACCGGAACGUCGGUGCUCCACCCUUAGGAGCCCCAAAAUCUCAUUUUUUUCUUUUCUAAAAUAUAAGUUUUUUGUUAAAAAAAAGGGUCUUGAUCUUGGGAAAAUUUUAGAUUUUUAAAAAUAAAAAUAUGUACUUUUAGUCAAUUUUUUAACUAUUUCGAAAUAAAAGCUUUGAUCUUUAAGAAAAGUUGUGAUUCUUUAAAAGAACUUCGAUUUUGUACAAAAAAGAGAGGAUUCUAGUCACCUGUAAACUGAAAAAUAUAUAGGAUUUUCCUAUAUAAUUCAUUACCUUUGUACCUAAAUUUGUUGUUAAAACCAAGUAAUUGUUUAAUAAAUUAAUGAAAUAUGCGAAAAUAUGAAAUGAGGACAUAGAAAUUAUUAAAAUGUGAUUUUAUACUUUAUUAUAUAGUUUUCAUGCAUAAAAUGGCUUAUUUUAUAUUAAUUUGAGCAUAUUAUAUUUUUAAACUAUAAAGACUACUCCUGAAAACCCGAUUGUGGUUGAUGAUAAAGUGAAAGAGCAAUUUGAUUCAAUUUUCAAGCAUCAACCUAUGAUGCUGAAAAAAGGUUUUAAUCUGAAGAGUAAUGAUCUGAUGGCUGUUCCUAUGCCAAUUAGAAAGAUAAUCAAUGCUCUCAAAUGGGAAUGAUUCUGUGAUGCUCGUUCACUUCCCGAUGAUGAACUAGUUCAAGAAUUCUAUGCUAGUUUGACUACGCAAGAUGCUACUGAAGUUAUUGUUCAAAAGAAAAAGGUACCUCUUACUUCUAAGUCCAUCAAUGAUUUGUUUAAUUUACCUGAUGUUGAAUAAGAUGAGUACUACCCUAUGAUGAGCAAUAUCAAUCGGGAUUUUCUUCAACAAGUGCUUGAUGUUGUGACAAAUUCAGGAUCCCAAUGGAUUAUAAGAAAGUAUGGGAGUCAUUCUUGUCGAAGAGAAUACUUGAAACCAGUAGCAAAGGUAUGGUUAUUUUUGUUCGCUACAGUUUUAUGCCUAUCUCACACAGUUCCACCAUCUCGAUGGAACGGAUGCUUUUGUUAUAUGCAAUCUUGACAGAAAAAUCCAUUAAUGUUGGGAAAAUUAUCCGCAAGGAGAUUCACGAUUGUGCUAAAAAGAAGGCAGGAAGUGCUUAUUUCCCAUCAUUAAUCACUUCACUUUGCUUAAGGGAUCGUGUUAAAACACAAGCAAAUUUGAAGAGGCAGUAUGUCCAAGGGUGCAUUACAAGUCAUGAUCUUGAAAGGUUAGUAGAGAGAAUGCAUGAGCUGAAGUAAGGCGAGCAAGAGGAACCAACUGAGCCAGAAACCGAAAAGUCAAAAAAUAAAACUAAAAACUGAAGCUGAUUCAGUUACAGAUACUGAAGAAGAAUAAUUUGAUAAGAAACCAAAUAGUCGUCAACCAGCUGAAAACCCUGAACCUAGGGUUGAGCUAGAAGAAGAACAAGUCAAGCUAAGUGUUGAACCAGAAUUUACAACUCCAAUGCCGACUCCUACAAGUACUUCAAAGAAAUCGGAGCUGUCAAAUAUGAUGGACAUGUGCAAGUUCAUGCAUAAACAACAACAAACUUACUGGAAAUAUGCAAAAAUUAAGGAUGAUUCAAUUCAAAGUAAUUUUAAGAAUAUCUCUAACACUUUUGUUCCUAAGUUCCCAGAUGCUAUCUUUGAGACAUGGACGGAAGAUACUGAAGAUGCAAACUGACAAAGGGAAUGAGUCAGAAAAAUAAAAGUGGGGAUUAUUGUCUUGUUAUUUAUUUAAUUGUUUUUAGGUCUUUAGGAAUUUAUUUCUUUAGUAAUUAGGAUUUAAUUUCUGCAAAAUAAAACAUAGCAAGCAUGAAUAAAUACUUCUUUAGAAAGAAAAAAAUUAAGUGAUGUGGCAAUGGGAAUGAACAUGUCUAGGAUUGGGUUAUUAGGAAAGACUUGGUAUUUAAGCAGUCUUAAUGACUCACCUCUCUUUCUUUACAACCCUACCUAGUGUUCAAUUUUCAUUCAUUACUUUAUUCUUGCAAUGAGAACAUUGCUUCUUUUUAAAUAGAGGUAAGGCAAAGUGCUCAAAUUUUUAAAAUUUUCAAGUGUGUUUCAAAUCAUUCUUUCAUAAGUAUGUCUUAAUAAAUGAAUGUUUAGAGAAAUUUUUUUUAAUAAGAUAGCUUGUACGCAAGCAUGAACGAUGAUUUUAUCUGCGUGAUUGUAUGUUAUCAUGAAAAAUGGAAUGUUUUUAUGAUCUUAGUCUUAGGUAAUGUUUGCAAUGAAAACUUAGUUUCUCUUGAGAUUAGACAUGCAUGAAGGUUUAUAUCUUUAGAAUUGACUUAGUAACUUUCUUGAGGCGAAAUCCUAGGGGACAUAAAAAUCUAAAAUGAUAUAGGCACCAUUUUUCUUUGGACCGUUUGAGCCUUUUCAAGCCCACCUUAUGAUAUUAGACCCUUGAAACUAUAAUUUUGAGCUUAAAGGCCUGUUCAUUGUAAUAAACCUACAUUAUAAGCCAGUACCAUCUUUUUAAAAUUAUCCUAAUUUUGUGCACCUAUCUUAACUCAAUUUGUCUUGGGAAUCAACAUUUGAGGAAAUUUUCAUAAAGAUGUAUGUGCUCAUGCUUAAAAAAAAUAACAACAACAAAGACAAAGAAAAUGUAUGAGUAUGAGUUCAAAAUAAGUUUGGGGGAAUUCCACAGGUUCAUUUGAAGAAAAAUGUUGAAUUUCGAGAAAUCCAAGACAAGUUAAAGGUUAAGAUUUUGAAACCGAAAUGUCCCAUCUCUUAAAAUCCCCACCUUUAACCGAGCCCCAUUACAACCUUAUAAAAGACCUAUUGAUUUGAUGAUUAAGCCACCUAAUUAGUGGAGAGGAAGUAUUAAGUUCAACAUAUGAAGAUCAUAAAUAAGCCUUAUGAUUGUUUUGCUUAAUUGAUGAGAAAUUGUGUUGAAUGAAAAAUAUUAUCUAUGGCUGUGACAUACAUGCAAACUAUGAUUCAUGUUGGCAUAUCUUGAAAGUUAGAAUAAAAUUUUCAAAAUGUUUGUAUUUGAGUUACUUGUUAAUAAAGAAGUUCUAUGAGUAUGAAUAUAUUGAUGCAUGAUUAUGAGACAAAGAUUGAUGCUACUUACACUCUUUAGCAAAAUUUUCCUUAACAAGACCUUGUGCUGUGCAUGAACAUUACUCGGGACGAGCAAUGAUUUAAGUUUUGGGGUGUGUAAACUGAAAAAUAUAUAGGCUUUUUCCUAUAUAAUUCAUUACCUUUUUACUUAAAUUUGUUGUUAAAACCAAGUAACUGUUUAAUAAAUUAAUGAAACAUGCGAAAAUAUGAAAUUAGGACAUAAAAAUUAUUAAAAUUUGAUUUUAUACUUCAUUAUAUAGUUUUCAUGCAUAAAAUGGCUUAUUUUAUAUUAAUUUGAGCAUAUUAUAUUUUUAAGCUAUAAAGUGGGCCAUGCAUGAUUAAAUUAAAUAAUAAAAUAUAAAGUUAUAUUUAAUAAUUCAUUUUUAAUAAUUCAUUAAUAAAUUUAGUUUUAAUUAUUUAAGUAAAUUGAUUAAUUAAAGUGGUUAAAUUAUAUUAUUUGGUCCUCUAAACUAUGUAAUAGUUUUGGACAGGUCUGAGAGUUCUCUUCUAAUUGCAAAACCGUCUAAAUUGGAGACCAAGUGAACCCAAUUUUCAGCUGCACAUGGAUGUCAAAAACAAUUUUUUGGUUUAAUUAUACAAAGUCCUUGAAUAAUUAAAGAAAUUGGAGAUUUUCCAGAAUAUUUACUGAUGACUGAGUAUUAGUCUUGAGUUGUUGUGGCACUCAAAUUAACUAAAAAUCAAGGAAAAAUCAGCAUCUUUCCUCAAUUCAUGGAUGACCACUCUUGGAGGAAGUUUCAAAGGAUGGACACUCCUAUUUUUAGCAAACUAACUCCCUUGCCUCACCUAUAAAUAAGAGCUCAUUUCUCACUUUUUCAAUGAUCUCGCAUCCCAUCAUCUCUCACUCAUUCAUCAUUCUCUCAACUCUUUUAGCUAUCUUUCCCCUUCAUCAUCCUUGCAUAAGGAUUUCAGCAAUUAAGCCUCUUAAAGAACCCUUGGUUGGUCACCUUUUAGAGCCAUCAGCAAAGGAGCAACGCAAAGAAGUGAAGGAGCCUCAUCAGUUAGAGUCUUGGGUGACAGCCACUCUGAAUUGGGUUUAAUCUUUCUUUUCUUUAAAUUUAAUUUAAAGAUGUUUGCUAUGUGUUCUUUGUUCUUAUUUACAACAAUGAUAGCUUACAUUUAUAUAAGAUAGGAUGAUUAUUUUGAUUAAAUAAUAUUUAUUUGAUUCAUGCUUAUAAUGUUUGUACCUCAAUCGAUCAUGUUUUCAAUUAAAAUCAAGUCUCUAUUUUGUUCAUACGUGAUUGAAAUAGACCUGAAUUAACUGAGUGAUCCUAACCAGACAACGGCUAAUGGGCACAUAAUUGAAAUGUGCAUGCUCAAUUUAGAUCCUAACGUGAUUGAAUUGUAGGUUGCAUAACAACUCUAACCAAGCUCUGUUAUCUACAUAGUUUUUAGAUUUGUGUGAUUAAAUUGUUUCAAACCUAACAUGUACAUGUUACCUCACAAGAAUGCUAUGAAACCCUUAGUAAAUAAGGACCAGUAAAAUGCGUAUUUACUAAGUAAAGGAUUCCGAAAGGACCUAAUGUGGUUUCCAAACUCAUGAAAGAUCGAGUUGCAAUGGAAUGUUUUUCCGAAUGUUAUUAAGCAUGUUGAUAAUAAAUUGAGUUUAAUUAAAGUAAUUACCCUAGUUUAUUUAUGUUAUAAUUGUUGUAAAUUGUGUUUAAUUUUACUAAAAUCUAUUUCAUUCAUAUAGUUUGCAUACUUAGGAUAAUUUGCAUUAGGGAUCAUUUCAUUUAGUUUAAUAUAUUUUAAUCACCAUUUCUCAACUAUAUUGUGUUUUUAUUUACCAAAUUGUUAAUAUAAUUUUACAAAUUAAGUGACUUAGCACAAAUACAAUCCCUGUGGAGACGAUAACUCGAUACUUACUUAUUACUUGAUAACGACUGUGUACACUUGCACAAACCCCAGCGUUACAUCACCGUAUGUGGUGGCUCCACCACCGAAAGUCGGAGAGUCGUUGGGCUCUCCGGUGGUGGAGCCAUGGCCAACAUAGAAGGAGGAAGAGUUUCUUUAAUGAGGUUAAAAAUGAAAGAAUGCAUAGUUUUUGUCCUAUUUAUAGGUGCCAAAAUGGGUAAUUUAUCCCCAUCCCCCUUACUUUUUAAAUUUAUAAAAAAACACCUCAUUUUUUUGUAGCGCCACCCUCACUCUCUAACCUACUUACACCCGUAACCCUUUUUCUUUAUUCAAACCUUCGAUUUAAUCUGAAAUUUCAAAAUUAAAAGUAAAUUAUUUUCUACAUCAGUCAUCUGUCUUCCAUAUUUUUUAUCUUUUAUUCCCAAAAUCAAGUUAUGUCAUUUUGUUUUCAUAUUUAAUAAAUUAUUUAAAUUUAUAUAUUCCCCUUCAUUUGCAUUUUUAUCUCAUAUAUUUGAUGUCAAUUAUGCACUUUAUUUUAAUUGUUUUAUAUUUAUUCACACCUAUAUAUAUUUUUUUAUUUAUUCUUAUUUCAUCUUUAUUUAUUUUCAUGUAUGUUUUUAUUUAUUUAUUUUUACACAUUCCUCUUGCAUACAUUUUAAUAUUAUUUGUUUAUGUUACUUUGGUUUUUUAUUGUAUUAUGAAUAAGGUGUAUUAUUUUUAUUAUUAUCAUCAUCAUGCCAAGGUCUUAUUUCUUUCAUUUAUUUAAGUUUUCUUUUUAUUAUUGUCCUUUUUGAAAGAGUUUUAAUUUUUCAUUAACUUUAGCCAAUUUAAUUAUUUUUCCUAUUUUAUUACUAUUCGUUUUAAAAGUGGGAACUUUAGGUCAUUUUUCCAUCCUAUAAAUGUUGCCAUGAAGUUAGUUAAGUAGGGGUUGUAUUUUACAGAAACCAUAAGAUUUUUUUUUGUUUACAUUUGAACUCAGGUUAGUCUUUAAGAUUUUAUCUACCAUUUAUCCUAGAAAAAUUAUAAAUAAUAUGUAGGAUUUUUUUUAUUAGGAUUUUAAACUAAUUUUAAAUAUCGUAUAAUAUUCUUCUUUAGAAUCUCAAAUUAAUAUGUAAAUAUUCUUUAGGACUUUGUUCGAGAUUAAAACUAAGAAUUUUUAUAGGUGAAUUGUAAAUCAUUAGUAGGUCUUUCUCAGUAUUUUAUUUUAGAAAUUCUUUAAGAAAGCUAAUAAAUGUUAUUUAAUAUAUAUUAUUUUAGGAUUUUGAGGAAUUUAAACCUUAGAUCAAGAAUUUUAAAGUAAGAUAAAUCAUAAACCCGGCAUAGGAUAUUUUCGUAAGAUCUUGAUAGGUUCAAUGUUAUUAAUUAAAUCUUUUAAGAAAAUAAUAAUAAUAAAAGAUCGAAUAAGUUGUAGGUGGAUUUUAAUAUUUCUCUUAAUUCAUUGGUAAUUUCUAGGUUUUUUUUAGAAUUCUAAAAUAGAAAUUAUUUAGGCAUCUCGUAGGGUUCCCGUUAAAAUUAAAAACCUCUAAUUUAAAUUUCGAAUUAUAUAAGUUUAGUAAACACAUUUUAAUCGAGUUACAAGUAAACCGAAGACAUUUUCUUUAGAGUUUUUAUUUAAGAUUUUCAUAAGAUUUUAUUCUAGAUUAAGACAUUAAUAUGCUUAAAUAAAAAACCUAGCUUCCAAAACCCAGUAGGAAUAUCCCAGGAUAGGCGUUAUGGGGGGUGCUAUAACCUUCCUCACACGUAACCGUACUCUCAAACCCGAAAUUUGAUGAUGAGAUCGAGUCUAGACUUUUAGGAUUUUUUCGUAGUAUUAAUUCUAGGCUUUUAGACAAUAAAGUGGCUAACCAACCUAGCCCUAAUUGGUUAGUGGCAACUCUACAUUAAUUUAGGCCCUCCGUGUCUAGCUUUGCUUACUAGGCCCCCAUACUCUUAUGUAAGCAACUUUAUGACAGCUUAGCGACUCCACUGGGGACGCUAGUGAGCCGACUUACUUAGGUUUUUUAGUAUUUGUGCAUAUUAGAUUUAUUUUUUUGUGCAUUAAUUUAUAUAAUUGUCUAAUGUCACUUUAAAUUGUUGAAUAUGUGUUAAAUAUUGAUUUAUUUUUUCAUUUCAUUUGCUUAUCCUAUUUUGAUAUGUAUGCCAAUGUAUUUGUUUAUUCUUUUACCAAUGAAAUUGAUUAAUGUGUAUGUCAACUCUACCAUCGUGGGGCGCCUAUAAUUGUCAUGUUGGAUCUUGCUUUCGAUCCUAUGCCCGGGCCUUUCCCAUUUAGGAUGAGUAGUUUUAGGCUUUCAUGUCACACUAUGCCACUGCAUAAGGAUAAGGACUACUUCAAGGUUAAUAUGGACAUAUAUGUUCGUGUAGCAAAUGCUAUCAUGUACGCUAUGGAGGUCUUACCACCCAAAGGGCCAACCUUUUUUAAAGAGGAACGCAUCCUUAUUGAUGUUGUAUUUAAGCCUUGGGUUCCCCGUGCACUAGAGUCAGCCGUAAGCCAGCAUGUAAUGACCAUUUUAAAUGUGAAGCCUAAAUGUAAGAGUUGUACCUUAUCCCUUGCAAUGAUACCCUAUAGGACCUCAUGAGCAUUUAUUCGUGUGUUUUGUGUUUGAAUUUUUUCACAAUGUUUUAUGAUUUAAUUUCGCAUAUUUUUAUGCUUCAUUUGACUUUAUUGUUUUUUUUACUGACUUUGUUUUUCUUGUGCCUUUGUCUCUCCAUGGAAUAAUUCAUGCAUCAUUUAAAUACCUUGGGCACAGUGUUGCAUCUAUAUUUGAUAUGAACACACUUCGAGAAGAUUCAGUUGUUCGACAUGGGGUAGAUAAUAUAGGGAUAAAAGCGAGAAUGUCAGAGGAUACUCAAAGCAGAGAAGGCGAUUGCCAGAUAGCUAGUUUUGACUUGAGUCUGCCUUAGAUAGUCCGCAUGGACUGUAGAAGGAAUUGCGAAGAUGAGUUAAAGGGAAUAUGAAAAUCAUGGGAUGAGGCUAAGAAAACACGCUUCCAGGACAAGUAUGGUGAUGUAGUCCAACUUUUGUGUCCAACUUUUGUUCAUUAAAUCAGAUGAUGCCCUAUUGAAGGCCAUGGUACGUUUCUGGGAUCCCACUUAUAGGAGUUUUACGUUCAAUGAAGUGGAUAUGGUACCGACUAUCAAAGAAUAUUCUACCCUUCUCCACUAUGACUUUAGAGAUUCGCUCAAAAUAUAUUGAAGUAGAACGUCAAUUUUUGGGGACCCUUAGUCAAUCUGAGGGGAUUAACUGUAGAUACGGUGAAAGCAAGAUUAAAAGAUAAAAAUGGUCCUUGCAUUUCCUGGUUUGACAUUAGAGAUGCUACGGGAAAGACAUGCGAUGAUAGACAUUUGACACUGUUCGCAUUUUUCGUAUACGGAUUGAUUGAGUUUCCAAAAGCUCUAGGAUAUGUGACUGUGGAGCUAGCUAAUUUUUUUGUUUUAGAUUGAAAAAGGGGUGAAUCUUGCUUCAGUAGUCUUAGCUGAAACCAUCAUUUCUCAAUUUCAUUAGAAGGAAAGGAGACGUGUAGUUUUUGUUCGUAUGGAUGAAAAGCCAUUUUAGGUGUCUCUAUAAGCAUUUUCUUCAGGUGUUUAUUCCUUCGACCACGCCUAUAGAGGAAUUUUUGGAAAUUAAGUGGCCUCCAAAUCAAUCAAUCGAGGAGUGGGUUUAGAACCUUAGUGCAUUGACAUACAAAGAAAAGAAUAGAAGGCUCUAUGGAUGAUUCAGAGCAUGGUACUCAUUGGGUGUGGUGGUUAUUGGUGGGUUCCCUUAAUUGGCAUAUGUAGUGUCACCAGUUAUUCCUCGUUGAUGGUUUUGAGCCAAUACGGGUAUGAUCAAUGUGUACCUACUACAGCUAGUUUAAAUAAUGUGGAAGCUUCGAUUCAGGACCCGAGGUUUUGGAAGAAAUUAGAAGAGAUACGAAUUAAGUGGGGUCAAACCUUGAGCUUGCAAUCAGAAACCUUUUUCAGCUAUUCCCCCUCGAAAAUGAAUAUCCAGUGGCACCUAAAAAGAAGCAAAAUCUCUGUGUCAGUGCAACUCAAAGGAAAAAGGAAAGUCCCAAAUGACGUAGCUGAGCUAACAGAAAAGAUACGUGAUUUAGAGAUACGUUUGAGGGGGAGAGAUGAAGAGGUCAGACAACAACGAGAGUAGCAUUAGGCAUAUGUAAAGGAAAGGAGGAAGAAAUCAUGAGACAACAACAACAACACCACCGGUAAAACAUGAAGGGAAGAGAGAAAGAACUAAGAAUAUAGUUAGAACGACGUCAACGAGAAAGAUCUGACUUGUUUACUUAGAUUCAGAGGUUGGAGGCAGAUCUAAGUCUAUGGGCUAAUAAACUCCAAAAAGUGCGAGAACAAGAGUGAACUUGGAGGAAGGUGUUUAAUGAGAAAACUACUGAAGUGGAGGUGUUAAAGGAGAAAAUUUUUCAUCUAACUAAAGAAUUAAAGACGAAAAAGAGCAAAACAAAGAGGUCAUAGAAGUAUAUACAAAGCUUGCGGAGCAUUUUAUCGCAAUGGAACAAAUGGCAGUAAGCCCACAAGAGGUGUUUGCAAUAAUGCACAAGGACGGUCAGAUUUUCGCUCAGUAAGCCAAAGACAUAAGUGAACAGAUUAAAGAACUCAAAAAAGAAUCUACCCCUUUUGCGACUAGGAACGAGCCUACAAUGAAACUUCUAGAGGUGGCUCAGGCACAUUACUAAAAGUUCAUAAGCUCAAGAGUAGGAAGAAUAAAAACGACGAGUAGAGAUUUGUCCUAUGGAAAUAGGAUCGAUUAGGAUUUUCUUUAAGUGUGAAUGAAAAAUGAAAAGAAAACUUUGAACAUUUUUCGAACCAUCCAUGAAAGAAAAUAUUUAUAUUGGAGUAUAUUUACGAUAAUGUGCAUAACACCACUAACCUGUAUCCAUUGUCGGAUUACUGUUACGGAGCAUUACCAAAUAAACGUAACUUAAAAUCAUUCAUUUCUAAACAUUUCAAUAAAAAUAGCAUAACCUAAUAAUAUACAUGCAUAUCAUCCCUUAUUCGAGCCCUCGAGGCCUUAGAAUCACUUUCAAAACGAUUCAGGACUAAAUCAGGAACAUUUGAAACAUUGAGGAAAAAGUUAGAAAAUUUCAAAUUGUAAGGGUCACAUGGCUAUGACUCACAUGGCUGAGACACAUGCCCAUGUCUCAGGCCAUGUAACAAUCGAAAUAGGGACACACGACCGUGUCCCAGCUUGUGUCUAUACUCGUGUAACUCUAGACUUGGGUCACACGGCCAAGCCACACGCCCGUGUGCCAGGCCAUGUAACUAUUGAAAUGGCCUCACAUGCCCAUGUGCCAGGUUGUGUGCUAGGCCAUGUAACUGCCCAACUUUCAACCUCUAAAACCUACAGGGGACACACGGUCGUGUGGCAUGGUUGUGUGUCACACACAGCUAAGACACAUGCCCGUGUCUUUGGCCGUGUGGACAAGAAGUUGGCCAAAAUCAAGCCGUUUCUUUCACCCAUUCUAACAAGUACCUACAAGCCAUAUACACAUAUGAUCAAUGCACCAAAAACCUACCAAAACGUGCUUAAUUUAACCAAUUCAAAAGAUCAAAAAUCCAUUCAACCAAUGUUCCUUAUAAGGCACCUCAAUCACAAUCAAAUAAACUUACCAAAAUAUAUGCAUAACUAACCUUACUUCCAACAUACACAUCUAGUUCCAUAUCAUCUUAAAACAUACAACAAUUAAUACCAUUUCUAGUAUAGUAACUUAAUUCUCGACCAAGCCAAAUCAAACCACAAGUGUGUAUUUUUAUACAAUUCUAAUUGUACCAAAAAGAUAUCUAUUUAAAACCUUAGUAAAGUUUCGAAUAACUUAGUUUAGUAUUUUUUGAAAAUGUACCAUAACAACCUAUAUAGCCACAUAUACAUACCACAACCCUAAGGAGCACAAGAAUUAUCAACAUCGAUGGAUAGUGUGAUCCGAAGAUUCGAUCCGUCUAAAAUUCAGCAACAACGAUCUACAAAACAGUACAAAAAAAUCGUAUAAGCUUAUAGUGCUUAGUAAGAACAUAGUAAACCUUUUAACUUAACAAGAAUUGAAUGCAACUCUUAUUUUACUGAUUUGAAGUUACCAGAGUGUAAACAAGGGCACAUAUAUGCAAUUUAGGGGUAACGAAGUACCAACAGGGAAACGUAUGUGCAAUUUAAGGAAUAAUUAAGUAUAAGCAAUUAAUUACAUAACUAUACUAUAAACAUACAAGUAGAAAUUCAAUUACGUAUAGAAAUACUAGGAACUUAGAUGACAAUUAGAGCGUAAAAGUACAAUCGAGCUAAUCCGUGACUUUCGCCUUUCCUCAGUUUAGAUCUGGUUGAGAUUUAUCUUAAUCUAAAUAAAUAAUUAUAUUCAAUUAAGUGUUUCAAUAAAUCUCAAACAUUCAAUUCAAUCCAUAAUCCAUAUUUUAUACAUAAUAACAAUUUUACCCCUAACAUUUUAACCUUUUUACAGUUUAGUCGUUAAACUCGUAAAUUGAAAUCUAAAUGUUCUCAUCCCUAACUCAUGCUAGCCGCAUUUAUUAAAAACCCAUAGAAAUCAUCAUUUCACAAUUUACCCAUGAUAAUUUACUACUUUUACAAAUAAGUCCCAAAAUGACAUUUUCACCAAAAAUCACUUUACAAAACUUUUUUAUUUAUCUACAAUGACUCAUAAUCUGUCAUUAAACUUCAUAAAUCAUGCAAGAACACUCAUGGUGAAACCUUACAUCUUUAACAUUUUUGCAAAUUAGUCCUUGGGCUAGCUAGAUUAAGCUAUAACGACUCCGAAAACAUAAAAAUCAUUAAAAACGGGAUUGAAAACUUACCUUGCAUGAAGGAUUUUCCAUAGCCGAAAGCUUCCCCCUCUUAACAAUGAAUUUUUGGCUCUUUUAGGGUUAUGAACAAAGAAGAUUUUCUCCUCAAAGUCAACCGCUUGCUCGAACCAUAAUCAAUCAACAUCAACCGCAUGCUCAAAGCUCACAAAGCAAAUAGAGAUUUUCUACUCAAAGCAUCAGCAACAAUGUUAGCCUUUCCUGGAUGAUAAUCAAUGAUCAAGUCAUAAUCUUUCAAUAACUCAAGCCAUCUGUAAUGUCUCAGAUUUAAAUCUUUUUGUGACAUCAAGUAUUUCAGACUUUUAUGAUCUGUGAAGAUUUGAAAUUUUUCUCCGUACAAAUGGUGUCGCCAUAUCUUCAAAGCAAAAACAAUCACUGCAAGCUCUAAAUCGUACGUCAAAUAAUUGUUUUCUUACGGUUUCAACUGUCUAGAGGCAUAUGCUAUCACGUUGCCCUAUUGCAUCAAAACACAACCUAAACCGUUUAACGAUGCAUCACUAUAAAUCACAAAUUCUUUACCCAACUCUAGCUAAACUAACAAUGGUGCCUUGGUUAACAAUGCUUUUAACUGAUUGAAGCUUUGCUGACAUUUUUCAGACCACUAAAACUUAAAAUUUUUUGCAAUAGUCUCAUCAAUGGUGUAGCGAUCAUCGAGAAUCCCUUAAUGAAUCUUCUAUAAUAUCCGGUUAAACGCAGAAAAUUUUUUACUUUAGAUGCUUUUUUCGAAGGCUUCAAAUCUACAACAGCUGAAAUUUUGCUCGGAUCAACUCUAAUGCCAUCGGCUGAUACAACAUGUCCUAGAAAUCUGACUUCCCGAAGCCAAAAUUCAUAUUUGCUAAACUUAAUGAAUAAUUGCUUUUCGCGCAAAGUUUGCGAAACAAUUCUCAAAUGCUCUGCAUGCUCUGUCUCAUCCCAUGAAUAAAUCAGCAUAUCUUCAAUGAAUACUACAUCGAAUCUUUCUAAAUACGAUCUAAAAAUUAUAUUCAUUAAAUCAAUAAAUAUUGUAGGUGCAUUAGUCAAACCAAAUGACAUCAGAAGAAAUUUAUAAUGUCCGUACCUGGUCUUGAACGCGGUUUUCGGCACAUCUGAGUCUUUAACUCGCAACUAAUAAUAAUCAGAACGAAGAUUAAUCUUUGAAAACACUGUCAUACCUUUCAACUGAUCAAACAGAUCAUCAAUACUGGGCAAUGGAUACUAAUUCUUGAUCGUGACUUUAUUUAGCUAUUGACAGUCAAUACAUAAUCUCAUAGACCCAUCCUUUUUCUUAACAAAUAACACUGGAGCAGCCCAAUGAGAGAAACUGGGCCAAGCAAAACCCCUGUCUAUCAACUCUUGUAGCUGUGCUUUCAGCUUUUUCAAUUCUGUAGGUGUCGUUCUGUAAGGAGUUAUCGAUAUCUGUAACAGCCUGUUUUUUAGUGGUAUAAAAAAUAGUGGUUUCAGGGCCACAAAUCAGACAAGUAAGUUUGUAAAUAUUUUUAUUUAAUAUUUACGAGUCAAAUAUGGUUCUAAAAAGGUUUUUGAUAUGGUAAUUAAUGUUAUAUAAAUGAUUUAUUAAGCUCAAGUGGUAAGACCCUAAGCUCAAGUGGUUUUAGAAAAUGAGGUAUUGGGCCCUCGUUUCUACAAACCAAGUUAUAAAUGUUUUUAUAAAUAUUUAUAGAGUGUUAUUAAGGUUUUAGUAAAUUUUCAUUAAGAAAUUUUAAUGUUUCGAUAGUUAAUUAAUUAAAAAGGACUAAUUUGUAAAGGAUGUAAAAUUUGAUCACUAUUUGUUGGAGUGAUUAAAUGGCUUAUUGAAUAAAGGAAAAGGGACUUAAAUGGUAAUUAAACCAUUUAAGGAUUUAGUGGAUGGUUUUGGGCAACUAAAAUCAUGAAAUUUGGAUGAUAUUUAAUUGGACAAAAUGGUAAUUUUAUAAUUAAAUUAAUUAAAAGAAACAAAAUGCUAAAUUAUCAUCAUCUUUUUGGUUUUCUUCUCCAAAUACAACUGAAUGUCUAUGGAAAUGAAUUUAGGUUUGGCCAUGGUGAUUUCCUCAUCCAUGGUAAGUAAUUCUUACAUGUUUUUAGUAAUUUUGAUGUUUUUAAGAUUGUUGUAACUAGGUCCAGCUAGUUUGUACCUUCGAUUUUGAAAUUUUUAAAUAUAAUGAAUGUUUUCAUUGAUGAAUCUAUGUGAUUUUAGAUAUUAAUUGAUGAAUUUAAGGUAUUUUUUAUUAUUUAUAAGUACUUUCUUAAGUAAAUUUGAUGAAUUUACCGAUUAGGGACUAAAUUAUUGGAAUAAUAAAAAUACAAGGAUUUUUUGUGAAAUUAUUACAAAUGUGGGCUGUAUUGGAUGCCAUGAAUAUUUUGUUGGCAUGGGUUUUCAUUAAAAAUUCUUAAUUUGCAUGUUUUAGGCUCAAGGACUAAAUCGAAUAAAAGUAAAAUGUUAAAGGCAAUUUUAUAAAAAUGUAAAAAUGACUAAAUUGCAUAAAAUGGAGUGGUUUCACUAUCUAAAUUAAUAAAUUGAAUGAAAUUAGUAAUUUAUAUCAAGUUCAGGUGGAAAAUCGAGAAGAAUAGAAAUUUACCAAAAAACCCUUGUACUUUGACAUUUCUGCAUUUUAGCUAGGUAAGUUUGUAUGAACUAUAAUCACUUAAAUGUUGAUUUAAUUGAUUGUUAAUGUGUUGAUUCUAAUUUAAAUGAUUCAAUAUAUAUAUGUUAUUAUGCAAUUUAUCAUGUCAUGAAACGAAGGAAAUCCAACGACGUACAACGAUUAUCAAGCCUCAUUUGAGCCUUUGGAAUUCAUAAGAUACAAAUGACAUGCCAUUAGGGUUUCCAUGUUUUCGAGUGCUGGUCUUGAAUGUCCUACUGAUGGCUAAGGUCCAGCAUGUGCUGCAAAUACUCCACAAUUCGUGUGAGCAGCAUCGUGUAGCUUACAUUCCGACCCAUGGCUCAUGUGAGCAGGCCUAUUUCGUAGCUCGUAUGAGUAGUAUUAUUUUACAACUUGUGUAACAAAUGAUGUAAAGGAAAGGAAAUGAUAUAGUUAUAUGUUAGCACACUAAGUGUGAGCUAUCCCGCAUAUGCAAUGAUAUUCUAAACGGUUCAAUGGGCAUGAAAAAGGAAAGGAAAGGUAUAUGUUCAAUAUGAACCAAGACACGUAUUUAUGAAGUACAAUAAAAUAGUGAGAUACAAGAAAAGCAUGUUAUGUUAUGAUGGAUGAUAAAUCCAAUUGAAUCAUACUUAAGUAUAAUGGUUAUCCAUGUUAAAUUCAUAUGAAUUAUGUUUCAAUGAACUAACGUGUUGUUGAUGUGCUUAGGCUUCUGCCAAACUUGUGGUUAUGAUUGAUGUUUAUUCUUAUGCCUAUACUAUGUAUAUGAAAUGGGUAAGAAAAGGGAAUGAAAUGGUAAGUUCAUAAUUGGGAUGCAUUAUGAUGCUAUAAAAGGUUUGGUAUGAUAAAUGAUGUAUUUAUAUGUGAGAAGCUUAUUUAUGCUAUGAAAGAAUGUACCUAUAGCAUGGAUAAAUACAAUAAUUCGUAAAAUGAUAGUGUUGUUUAUGCUUAUGCUAAGCAUUCAGAAUGGAAGGGAAAGUAAGUAACUAGAAUGAUUCAUGAUCUUAUGAAAAGGUUAAUGAUUAUGUAUUAUGACUUAUAAAUCCCAAUAUGUUAUAUAUGAAAAGGAUAUGUGAUGUUGAUUAAUAUACUCAAAAGUAUGUUGAAUGGUGUUCAAUAGGUUUAUACCAAGUUUAAAGUAUUAGUGUUAAUCUAUGUAUUAUAGUAUUGAAGUGAUAAGUUAUGUUUCAUGUUCUACGAGCUUACAAAGCAUUCAUUGCUUACGUAGUUAUCUUUCUCUUACUUUACAGAUUAUCGGAAGCUCAACUGGUUUGGUAGCUCGUCAGAGCCCUAUCACACUAUCUAGAGAAUUAAUUGUUAGAUUCUGAUGUUUUGAUCAAGGUCAUAAUGGCAUGUAUAGGUGGAUUGUGCUUUAUAAUGGUUGAUGAAUUUGGCAUGUAUAUUUCAUUUUGGUUGAUGUAACCUUGGUACUUUUGAUGCCUUAUUGACGUGUUUCAUUUUGAAAAUAUGUUAAUGCAUGUUUGAGUGGCCAAAAUAGUAGGUAAUGAAUUGACCUCAAUAUGGUCAAGUUAUAGUAUGCUUUGGAAAGAUUUUGAAUAGAUGUGCAUAUGAUUGAAAUAUGGUUUGUAUAUAUAUUGGUUAUUGGAACCAUUUGGUAAUGACUAGAUUGGUGUCAUUUAGAUGACUUUGAUGCAUGUGAGAAGUUGUCCAAAUGGUAAGGUUAUUUUGAUAUGGCAUGAUUCUAAUAUGGUAUCCUUAAAUGUGUACAUGUCUAGGUAUAUUUGGUAUGACCAUAUUUUCUAUGUUUAUAUGAGACUAAGUGGAGUUAUGCUUUGAGAUAGAUAUGAAAUAUUUGUAAUGGUAUAAAUGUGGUCAAUUUAUGAUGAGUUUUAUAAUGGAAAAUGAAUUGAGUGUUGAUGAAUUUAAUGUGUUAAGUACAUGUAUAUGUUUAGAUAAAUUGUAUGUUUGCAUUUGAGGUGCCUAUAUGGCAUAUUGGUUGAAUGGAAUUUGGUAUUCGAUUUGGUCUUAUGCAUGUUUUAGGUAAGUUUUAAGGCUUGAUUAUAUAUGCAAAUGGCUUAUAGGUGUGUGCUUGAAUUAGGUGAAAGAAAUGGUUUGAAUUUGGCCUAUAUCUUGUCCACACGGCCUAAGACACGAGCAUGUGUGUCCCUUGUAGGUUUUAAAGGUUGCAUUUCGAGUGUUACAUGGCCUGGCACAUGAUUGUGUGGCUUGUCCGUGUGACCUAAGUCAAUGAAUUACACGGGCACUAAUAUAGGUUGAGACUUAGCCGUGUGUCCCUUCUUCGAAUGCCUUCACGACCUAAGACACAGGCUUGUGUCUCAACCGUGUAAGUCACAAGGCCUGGCCACAUGGCUGUGUGACCCUUGUAGUGUGAAAUUUUCUAUCUUUUUCCAUAAAGUUUUAAAUGUUUCUGAUUUAGUCCUGAAUCGUUUCUAAAGUGUUUUUAAGGCCUCAAGGGCCCGAAUAAGGGCCUGAAUCGUUUCUGGUUGGAAAUGAAUUAUUUGAGUUACAUUUUUAUGGUAAUGCUCCGUAACCCUUUUCUGACGACGGGUAUAGGUUAGGGGUGUUACAUUUAGUGGUACCAGAGCUAUAGUUUAGUCGGUUCUCGAAUUGAACAUAGCAUGUAUGAUGUCUAGAAAUACAUGUUGUUAUAUAACCUGUAAUAGUGUGAUAUCUCUUGACUCUGAUGAGAUUUGUUUCAUUUUUAGACAAAGAUGUUUUCAACUAAGCUAAUUCUGAAAAUGCUGAAAGCAAUACUCAAGUAUCUGAUUAAAAGGUUGCUAAUAAGGAGUAGAAGCUUAUAAAGGUGAAAGUAAAGAUUCAUAAUGUUAUGUUUUUAAAGAAAGAUAUGUUUUUGAUGUGUAUAUAUGAGAAUUAAAUUUAGUGGUUUUACGAUCUCCACCCUCACCCUCAAAGUCUUAUACAAUGGAAUUUACAAGAUUUAUGUUGAUUAAGUCGGCAAAAGAGAAGCUAAAGCAUUCAACAAUUGAAUUAGUAAUAAUGUUGUAAGAGCCAAGGAUUGGUUAGGAAAUAAAGAUAGUUCUAGAAGAGAUUAGAUUUCUCUGAAGAUCAUUCGGGAUAUGUAAAGUUGUUGUUAAAGAAGAAUUUAUUCACGAAUAAUUGACUUAUUCAGGUAUGGUAUCUAAAGAAUGGGUUAACCAAAAUUUCUUCUGAAUUGAUUUCUUUAGUGGAACGAGGUAAUGUGGGAUCAUCAAUGACUUUAGUAAUCUGUGAGAUAGUGUUUGAACUGUAAAUAUAUUUGAAUGCAGUUGUUAUAGUUGAGUAUCUUACAAUGAUCUCCUCUAGAUAUUCUAUAUGAUCUUUUAUCCUCAGAGGCAUAUGCAAUUGUUCAUCUUCAUAUGUAAUUCUUAUCAUAUGAGAAUGUUGGCUAACUAUAACGUUAGACAGAGGUAUUAUUAGUCUGGUUGAUUAAUAAUUGACAUUACUCUAUUUUUCUUUGGCAUUCUAUUCUAUUAUGUUCAGUGGAAGAUUCAAUGAUAAGACUCAUAUGAUUUUAUGUUAUUUUUUUCUUCUGAUUGAUAAUCUAAAUUAUAUAUAUACAAAUUUAUGUUAUCUCUGUCACAACUGAUUCCAGUGCGUAUGAGCGAUAUUCUUCUUCUGGAUUUUCUUUGGGGUAUCAUCAAUCUCUUUAUCAUUUAAUAUAGAUUGUAAUUUCAGAAAUUUAGUAGAGCUUCACAUCUUGGAUUUCAUUAUCUCGGUUUUCUUAUCAUUCUUAUUAUUUAAUCUAUCAAACAUGGUUCAUCUUUAAAGGUUAUUCAUUGGUCGGAGGUAAUUACAUCUAUUAUGAUUAUAAUUCCUGGUUCGAUCAUGGGAGCACGGUGAUACAGAUCACAGGUUUUUAGAGGUUGUGUUGUUGCACAAGUUGUUAUUGGAACUACAUCCGAUUUUCCUCUUUUGUUUCGGAGAGCAUUAUUGAUGGUUGAACUUUCAUGAUGGGAAUGGAUAACGACAAAAAUAUAGAUGGUGAAAGAUCGAGCUUAACCUCGCAUGAUAGUUCUCACUACUCAAGUAAUCUUAGAUUAUGUCAACAAGCCAAAAAUUGGACGUCAUAUUUCGUAUCAGUAAUACAGUUGGUGAUGAUCUCUAAUUGGUAUUCUGAAGGAAUCAUGAUAGACUUUGUGUCUGGGUUAUCACGACAACAAGAAGAAAGAAUUAUUCUAAAAUGUUAUUAUUUGAAUGAUAAGUUUGACUCAAUUAUUUUAGUCAGGACGGAUUAUUCACUGGAAAAGUUAGAUGAGUUUUAUAUAUAUUCAAGUACAUCUCUAGAUUCGAGAAUAAAUUUUGCGGGUUCUUCUAGAUCAGAAUUUUCUGAUUAUAUUUAAAUGAUAUUAUUUGAAGCUUUUCGUGAAAUGAAGCAUUCCUCAGUUAAAAGUUACAGAUGCAGAUGUGUCGGAAACAUCAGUUAGAGUCUGUUGUGAAAUUUUCAAAAUUUACCUAAACUCUAUGAAUUGUCUAAUGUGCUUGGGAUCUGAUAAUUUGGAUUUUCUUUUGGUUAUAUUUUGACAAGUGAUUGUUGGCAAUUUCUCGGUAGAUGUGCCACUAAUGAUAAAGUUAUGGCAGGAGAACAUCAUAAUUGUUCAGUUAAAUCUAGAUAUGAGUUUUGAUAUGAGUUCUGAAUCGAGAAGACUUAUGAUUGAUUGAUUUAUUCACUACCAUUAAAAAGGUUGAAUAAAGACUCAACUUGAUGGCUAUUAUCAGGUACGAAAUUUCGAGGACAAAAUUUUCGUAAGGGCAAAUACUUGUAAUAGCUCGUUUUUCAGUGGUGUCAAAAAUAGUGAUUUUGGGGCCACAAAUCUGACGAGUAAGUUCGUAAAUAUUAUUAUUUAAUAUUUACGAAUCAAAUAUGGUUUUAAAAAGGUUUUUGAUCUGGUAUUGAAUGUGAUAUAAAUGAUUUAUUAAGCUCAAGUGGUAAGACCCUAAAGUAAAAUGAUUUUAGAAAAUCAAGUAUUGGGACCUCGUUUCUAUGAACUGAGCUGUAAAUAUUUUUAUAAAUAUUUAUGGAGUUCUAUUAAGGUUUUAUUAAAGUUUUGUUAAGAAAUUUUAAUGUUUUGAUAGUUAAUUAAUUAAAAAUGACUAAUUUGUAAAUGAUGUAAAAUUUGAUCACUAUUUGAUUUGAGUGAUUAAAUGGCUUAUUGAAUAAAGGAAAAGGGACUUAAAUUGUAAUUAAACCAUUUAAGGAUUUAGUGGAUGGUUUUGGCAACUAAAAGCAUGAAAUUUGGAUGAUAUUUAAAUAGACCAAAUGGUAAUUUUAUAACUAAAUUAAUUAAAAGAAACAAAAUACUAAAUUAUCAUCAUCUUUUUGGUGUAUUUUCCAAAUACAACCGAAUGUUCAUGGAAAUGAAGUUAAGUUCGGCCAUGGUGAUUUCCUCAUGUAUGGUAAGUAAUUCUUACUGUUUUUAAUCAUUUUGAUGAUUUUGAGAUCGUUGCAACUAGGUCCAACUAACCCGUACCUUCAAUUUUGAAACUGUUAAACAUAUUGAAUGUUUACAUUGAUGAAUCUAUGUUAUUUUAGAUAUUAAAUGAUGAAUUUGUGGUUUUGGUUAUUAUUUAUAAGUACUUUGUUAAGUAAUUUUGAUGAAUUUACCAAUUAAGGGCUAAAUUGUUGAAAUAGGAAAAAUACAAGGAUUUUUCUAAAACUAUUACAAAUGUGGGCUGUAUUGGAUGCCAUGAAUACUUUGUUGGCAUGGGUUUUUAUUAAAAAUGGUUAAUUUACAUGUUUUAGUCUCAGGGCCUAAAUUGAAUAAAUGUAAAAUGUUAGGGGUAAUUUUGUAAAAAUAUAAAAGUGACUAAAUUGCAUAAAAUGGAGUGAUUUCACUAUCUAAAUUAAUAAAUUUAAUGAAAUUAUUAAUUGAGAUCAAGAUUGAGUGGAAAAUUAAGGAGAAUGGAAAUUUAUCAAAAAGCCCAUGUACUUUGACAUUUCUUCACUUUAGCCAGGUAAGUUCGAAUGAACUAUAAUCACUUAAAUGUUGAUUUAAUUGAUUGUUAAUGUGUUGAUUCUAAUGUAAAUGAUUCAAUAUAUAUAUGUUAUUAUGCAAUUUAUCAUGUCAUGAAACGAUGGGAAUCUAACGAAGUAUGACGACAUGUCAUUAGGGUUUCCAUGUUUUCAGGUGUUGGUCUUGAAUGUCCUACAGAUGGAUGAGGUUUAGAAUGUGUUGCAGAUACUCCACAGCUUAUGUGGGUAGCAUUGUGUAGCUUACAUUUAGACCCACAGCUCGUGUGAGUAGGCUUAUUUCACAGCUCGUGUGAGCGGACCUAUUUCACAACUCGUGUGAGCAAUGAUGUAAAGGAAAGGAAAUGAUACAGUUAUAUGUUAGCACGCUUAGUGUGGGCUAUCCUGCGCAUCAAAUGAUAUUUUAAAUGGUUCAACGGGCAUGAAAAGUAAAGGAAAGGUAUUUGUUCAAUACAAACCAAGACAUGUAUUUAUGAAGUACAUGAAAAUGGUGAGAUACAUGAAAAGCAUGUUAUGUUUUGAUGGAUGAUAAAUCCAAUUGAAUUAUGUUAAUUGAUGUAUUAUAGUAUUGAAGUGAUAAGUUAUGUUUCAUGUUCUACGAGCUUACUAAGCAUUCAUUGCUUACGUAGUUAUCUUUCUCUUACUUUACAGAUUAUCGGAAGCUCAACUGGUUUGGAAGCUCGUCAGAGCCCUAUCACACUAUCUAGAGAUUAAAUUGGUAGAUUCUGAUGUUUUGAUCAAGGUAAUAAUGGCAUUUAUAGGUGAACUUGUGCUUUAUAAUAGUUGAUGAAUUUAGCAAGUAUAUGUCAUUUUGGUUGAUGUAACCUUGGUACUUUUGAUGCCUUAUUUAUGUGUGUCAUUUUGACAAUGUGUUAAUCCAUGUUUGAGUGGCCAAAAUAGUUGGUAGUGGAUUGACCUAAACAUGGUCAAGUUAUAGUAUGCUUUGGAAAGGUUUUGAGUAGAUGUGCAUGAUUGAAAUAUGGUUUGUAUAUAUGUUGGUUAUUGGUGGAACCAUUUGAUAAUGGCUAGAUUGGUGUCAUUUAGAUGAGUUUAAUGCAUGUGAAAAGUGGUCCAAAUGGUAAGUUUAUUUUGAUAUGGCAUCAUUCUAAUAUGGUAUGCUUAAAUGUGUACAUGUCUAGGUAUGUUUGGCAUGACCAUAUUUGGUAUGUUCAUAUGAGACUAAGUGGAGUUAUGCUUUGUGGUAGAUAUAAACUAUUUGUAAUGGUAUAAAUGUGGUCAAUUUAUGGUGAGUUUUGUAAUGGAAAACGAAUUAAGUGUUGAUGAAUGUAAUGUGUUAAGUACAUGUAUAUGAUUAGAUAAAUUUUAUGUUUGCAUUUGAGGUGCCUAUAUGGCAUAUUGGUUGAAUGGAAUUUGGUAUUCAAUUUGGUCUUCUUAUACAUGUUUUAGGUAUGUUUUAAGCCUUGAUUAUAUAUGCAAAUUGCUUGUAGGUGUGUGUUUGAAUUGGGUGAAAGAAAUGGCUUGAAUUUGGCCUAUUUCUUGUCCACACGGACUAUGACAUGGGCAUGUGUCAUGUGACACGAUAGUGUGUCCCCUGUAGGUUUUACAGGUUGCAUUUCGAGUGUUACACGACCUGGCACACGGGCAUGUGGCUUGGCCAUGUCACCCAAGUCAAUGUGUAACACCCCAAACCCGGCCUAGACAUUAUGGCCGAAUCUUGAGAUAUCACAUUGAUGUGUUUUUCAAAAAUACAGUUUCAUUGAAUACCCGUUUCAUACUAAUUCACGUUUAUUGAAAACUCAAGGUGUCUUUAGCAGUGUGUUCAUCAUAAUAGUUUGUUACUAUAUUUAUCCCGUCUUUUCUACAACUAGCAGCUUAUAUCAAACUAAAUAAAUAAAAACCCCAAUUUAAAGUUUAUAACUUUAAAGAGACCUUUUUACAUAAAAAUACCGAAAUUCAGUUACUUAUAAAUCAAAAGCUAAAAACAAAAGCUGAUGAGGUUGUGUGGCCAUCAUUGAGUCCCUCACAACACCGACCCGCUUACAAUUGGGGAUUACCCGUACAGUUAAAUAGAGGGGUGAGUUUACGAAAACUUAGUGUGUAAUCCCCUAACAAGCAAAUAGUCAAUUAAGCAGUAGAUAAAUGCAGUUUGGGCCUGAGCCCGUUACAGUAACAGUCCAGUUCAUUGUGGGCCUAAGCCUUUUCCCGUAACAAUAAACAAUCGGGCUUGAGCCCAUCACAAUGCUAGUAAUCAGUAGGGCCUUUGCCCAAUUUUAGUAAUAGUAUCAGUGGGGCCUUGGCCCAUAACAGUAACAGAUAUCAGUCAUGCAGUGAACAGUAUGUAAUAUCAUUAAUCGAUGCAGUAACAGUACAAAAUCAUUAACCAGUGCAGAUAUGCAGUUAGAAAUCCUACCCAAUCCAACCUCUAAACACCACUCCGUCCCGCCAAACACACCAUGUGGGGAUAAAAUCAACCCACCCAACCAAACACACCAAGAUUAGCACCGAUUGUGGCACUAAACAGUAUUGCAGCAAAGCUGCCAGUAAAAUAAACGGUAUAUAGCCAUUAGUAGGUCCACAGUCGUCUUGGACGACCCGUGCAACCUUACCAGUACGAUAUACUUCCUCCAAAUAUAACAACCCAUCCCCAUGCAAUAUAUCGUGACAUAUAUCAUACGUGUAUGCAAAAUGUCAUACUCAAUCAUAGUCAUACAUAUCAUAGAGCAAAUCAGUCACACAUAACAUAAGGCCAUAACAGUCAUUUAAUCUCCGAGGGGUAUAACAAUCAUUUUACCCUAUGGGGGUAUUUUGGUCAUUUUACCCUAUGGGGGUAUUUUGGUCAUUUUACACUAUGGGGGUAUUUCGGUCAUUUUACCCUAUAGGCGUAUUUUGGUCAUUUUACCCUAUAGGGGUAUUUCGAUCAUUUGACCCUAUGGGGGUAUUUUGGUUAUUUUACCCUAUAGGGGUAUUUCGGUCAUUUUACCCAAUGAGGGUAUUUCGAUCAUUUUACCCUAUGAGGGUAUUUCGGUCAUUUUAUCCUAUGAGGGUAUUUUAGUCAUUUUACCUAUUUUAGGGUCUCAGUGCAGAUAUCGACCUCCUGAAAGGUACGCAGUCGUCUCGAGCUACCCAGGUAACCUAAAUGGUCAUAACAGUGUAAAUGGGCCCAAGGCCCAUUACUCGGCCUAUGUAGGCCUACACGCUCGUGCGGCCCGUUCAGCCUAGAUUUUGCCACGACUAUGAGAUCUACAUAGCCUAGUCCAAUAUUUUCCACAAAUUGUGGAUUUCAUCCGUAUGGGGCUCACGAGCCCAUUGAGCGCACACGGCCCAUUUUGGCCCAACCUGGCCCAUUACAGCCUAAGCCCAUGAAAAUGCUUAUGGAGGCCUCUACAGUCUACCGCCCAUGUUACGUAGGUUGGGCUUACCACACGAGCGAUCACACGUCUAUGUGGUCUUAAACGCGGUAUUUUUGGCUUUUUGGCUUUUGCCGUUCUACGAUUGCAAUGGGGUGUUUAUGCACCUGUUUAUGAGAAGAUGCGCAGACAGUCCUCGAACGCUUCCAAACCUAUGUUCACCCGUUACACUCGGUUAAUCACAUAUCAAUUGAAUUUAGAACGAACCCUAUUCAAUAGACAUAACUUUUUGAUCGACAACCACUUACCGGAACAACGUUGGUCACUAGAUCUCGGGGUUAUUACCUGUAAUCCAAUCGAAAUCCCUUAACAAAAAUUAUCUACUAGAAAAAUUUAAGCCAAAACGAACCCUAACUUACCAAAAGUACAAAACCGUAGAAUAGGAAUGGUAUACAAAAUCGCCAGAGAGCAAGGAAGGAGUCGGCACAAUGAGGGUAGAAGAAGGAGAGCAGAUCGGCAAGAAGGGAGGAGAAAUGGCCUAGGGAACGAAGAGGUUUUGGUAGAGGGAAAAUAAAAAAAAUGAAAAAGGAGAUAAGAUAAAUUUAGCCACUAGUAGGAUUACUUGGGAAAGGAAACAAUAUGAGGCAAUUGGGAGAGGCAAUAUUCAGCCAAAGAGAGGUUGCCAAACACCAAAGAAACGAAAUAGAAGAAUAUGCAAAAACCCCUCAACACAUUCGGCCUUCAAGAAAAAAAAGGGAAAACACCACACAAAACCGAAAUGAAGAGUAUACCAAAAUGAACAGUAUACCCCUCUGGCCGAAUUUCUUGAGUACCAAAGUCCACUUCCGGCAAACUUCCACCUCUCCCCUCACUUCCCUUGAUUUUCUCCUAGUAUCUCUCCCCUUAUCCAUCCUUGAAUCACUCCACUGAUUUCUCCCCAACUCCCCCAACAACGCCAUUCAAAUUCUACUCAAACUCCCCUUAGUUGUGUUUUAGUCCAACUCCACCACCUACACGAAUUAGGCAGCAAAAUAAAUACUCCUUUUUUGAUGCGCCACCACUCAAACCUUAGACCUCAUGCACACUCCACAUGCCCCUUACCACUAGACCAAACAACUCCUUUGUAUCAUAUUUUAACCACAAUAAUUUAAUAACCUACUGUCUAAAUCCAAGGAUUUUAUUCACUUAAAAAUAAAAAUUUUGCAUAAGCCAAGGCUUGAACCCCUAACUUCUCAGACACUUCCAAACACUCCUAAAUCACUUAACCAUUGAAGCAGACAUUCAUUUAUGUCACUUCCUUGCACAACUAAAUAUUUAUGCCUAGUCUCCUAACUGUUCCCUUGUUCAAAAUCUAUUUCUUCUAGGCCCAAAAUUCAGGGUGUUACACAGUGAUUUACACCGGCACAGACAUUGGCUGGGACACGGCCUUGUGUCCCUACUUCGAAUGCCCACACAGCCUGAGACACAAGCGUGUGUCUCAGCCGUGUGAGUCAAACGGCCAGGCCACACGGUUAUGUGACCCCUCAAUGUGAAAUUUUCUAUCUUUUUCCAUAAAGUUUUAAAUGUUUUUAUUUAUUCCCGAUUCAAUUCUAAAGUCUUUCUAAGGCUUCGAGGGCUCGAAUAAGGGAUGAUAUGCAUGUGUUUGAAUGGAUUAUGUUAUGAUUUAUGAAAUGUUACCUGCACUAAUUCAAUAGUAAAUUCAACCUCUCGGAUCGAAGGCAACCUUAGUAACUCCUUUAGAAACACAUUUGGGAAAUCACUUACUACCGGAACCGAUUAAAGUCUCAAUUUCAAAACCCUGGAAUGAACAAUGUAAGCAAGAUAUGCUUCACAGCCCUUUUUAACAUGUUUCUGUGCCGUCAAAACUGAGAUUAUAUUAGAUGUACAAUCUAAUCUGUCGAACUCAAUUUGAACCCGUUUACCAUCCUGACGUUUUAGCACAAUAUGUUUUCUUCUAGAAUUCACGAUAGCAUCAUGUAGAGUCAACCAAUCCAUACCCAGGAUCACAUCAAACUCAUUAAAGGGUAACAACAUCAAACUAGUAGGGAAUUUAUAACCCCUAAUUUUUAGUGGUCAAGAUCAACAUAAUUGAUUAACUAGAACACACUGACCCAAGGGAUUUGUAACUUUAAUAGUAUACUUAGUAAAUUCAACAGGUAUUUUCUUUUUGUCUACUAAUGUGGUGCAUAUAUACGAAUGAAUUGAUUUAGGAACAAUCAAUGAAUAUACAUUAAUAUCAAAGAGAGAAAAAGUACCCGUAAUAACAUCUAGAGGAGUAGCUUCCUCUCGAGCUCAGAUUGCAUAGGCUCUGGCCAGUGUUCUCGCUUGAGACCAUUAGUUUAUCUCAUUGUUCUUUCCUCGAUCGGGAGUAGUACUUCUAACAUUUUCAGAUCAUCUACGCCUUUGAAAAGUUGCUUCAGGCUUAUUUGAUUGAUUCCAAAAAUCAUUUUGCUUCUUCGGACAGUUACAAAGAAAGUGGUCAGUAGACCCAAAACAGAAACAAGCUCUUGAUUUUUAUCGACACCAGAAUGAUUUUCCUCACAUUUCUUACACUUCUAACACCCGUUCCUGGAGAGUUGAAUGACUGGAAAUUGCUUUGUCUAGGUUUCUCUUUAUUAACGAACUCUGAAGGUGUAGCUGAUCGACCGGUGUCAAUUUUAAAUUUCUUCAUUGGAGAUGUUUGAGCUGGUUUGAAUUAUCCCCUUUUGUUAUGGUCUCUAAAAUUUGAAUCUGACUAUCGCUUGCUUUUACAAAUCUCUGCAACCUUCUGAGCCCACUCCGAAAUUCUACUAAUUCCAGUAACUUUAAUGCUGCUACAACCAUACGGAUCUCAUCAUUCAACCCCUCUUCAAAUCUGAUAUACAUUUCUUCCUCAUUUGAUACGAUGUUACGAGCAUACUUGCUUAACUAUACAAACUCACAUUCAUACUCAGCUGCAAUCCGGUUUCCUUGUUUUAACUCAAGAAACUCUUCCUUUUUCCAGUCGAUGAACAACCAACUAACAUACUUUUUCUUGAAUUCAUUCUGGAAGAAGUCUCAAUUAACUCUAUCAUCCGAUAUCAUUAUGCUCAAAGUAUCCCACCAUAGAUAUGCCUCAUCUUUCAAUAAGGAUCUCGUACACCUCAAGCAAUCUUCAAGAAUACAUAAUAACUCCAUAAAAACUCUCUUUCUGUUCAAUAGCCAAUACUCGGCUUUUGAAGGAUCAUCAUCUACCGUAUCUCUGAACUCUUUCGCUCCACAUUUCUAAAUUUUAUCUAUAGAUACUCAGUUAACCAUCACAGGUACAAGGUUUGGAGCAUUCAAGGAUGCCGAAGGAGGCACAACAGGGGGUGGAGGUGGCAGAGUUGCAAGAUUUGCUUGUUUGAACUCAUUGAACCAUUGGUUCAUCAUUCUAAGAAUUACAUUUUUUCAUCUCAUCACCCACGGAUUAUGGAAUAGGCACACUAUUGUUUGCCUCAAGAUUCAAAGCUUGAACAUUACUUUCAGCUUUAUUAACUAUAGCUCGAUUUGAUUCAGCUGACAUAUUAAAUCUAUAAGAAAAAAAUGCUAGAAUGGAUGAAAAGCAUCACACUAUCAGAGGGUAUAUGUUGCAUGUAUAUACUAAACUUUACUUUGCUACACUAGUCCUAGAAUCGACUAAACCGUAGCUCUAAUACCACUAAAUGUAACACCCCUAACCUGUAUCCGUUAUCGAAUUAAGGUUACAGAGCAUUACUGAAUAAACAUAACUUGAAAUCAUUCAUUUCAAAAGAUUUCAAUAAACAUAGAAUAACCUAAUAAUAUACAUGCAUAUCGUCCCUUAUUCGAGCCCUCAAGGCCUUAGAAUCACUUUAGAAAUGAUUUCGGACUAAAUCAAAAAUAUUUGAAACACUAAGGAAAAAGUUAGAAAAUUUCAAACUGUAGGGGUCAAACGACUGUGUGGCCAGGUCGUGUGACUCACACAGCUGAAGCGCACGCCUAUGUCUCAGGCUGUGUAAUAAUCAAAAUAGGGACACAUGACUGUGUCCUAGCCCGAGUCCAUAUGGGUCACAUGGCCAAGCCACACGCCCAUGGGCUAGGCCGUGUAACUUCCUGAUUUGCAACCUCUAAAACCUAUAGGGGACACACGGUCGUGUUGCAUGGCCAUAUGCCACACAUAACUGAGACACACACUCGUGUCUUUAGCCAUGUGGACAAGAAAUUGGUCACAAUCAAGCCAUUUCUUUUACCCAUUCCAACAAGUACCUAUAAGCCAUAUACACAUAUGAUCAAUGCACCACAAACCUACCAAAACAUGAUUAAUUUAACAAAUUCAAAAGAUCCAAAAUCCAUUCAACCAAUGUGCCUUAUAAGGCACCUCAAGCAUAAUCAAACAAACUUACCAAAACAUUUGCAUAAUUAACCUUACUUCCAGCAUACACAUAUAUUUCCAUAUCAUCUUAAAACAUACAACAAUUAAUACCAUUUCUAGCAUAGCAACUUAAUUCUCCACCAAGCCAAAACAAAUCACAAGUGUAUACUUUCAUACCAUUCUAAUUGUACUAAAAAGAUACCUAUUUACAACUUCAGUAAAGUGCCUAACAACUUAGUUUAGUAUUUUGUCAAAAUGUAGUAUUUUGUCAAAAUGUACCAUAACAACCUAUAUAGCCACAUAUACAUGCCACAACCCUAAGGAGCACAAGAACUACCAACAUCGGUGGAUAGUGUGAGCCGAAGAUUUGAUCCAUCCAAAAGUCAGCAAUAACUAUCUACAAAACAAUACGUAAAAUCAUAUAAGCUUAUAGAGUUGAGUAAGAACAUAGUAAAUCUUUUAACUUAACAAGAAUUGAAUGCAACUCUUAUUUUACUCAAUUUGAAGUUACCGUAGUGUAAAUAUGGGCACGUAUGUGCAAUUCAAGGAAUAAUUAAGUAUAAUUAAUUCAUUAAAUAAAUAUAUUGUAAACGUACAAGUAGAAAUUCAAUUACAUAUAGAAAUACUAGGAACUUAGAUGACGACUAGAGCGUAAAAAUACGAUCGAGCUAAUCCGUGACUUUCGCCUUUCCUCGGUUUAGAUCUAGUUGAGAUUUAUCUUGAUCUAAAUAAAUAAUUAUAUUCGAUUAAGUGUUUCAAUAAAUAUCAGACAUUCAAUUCAGUCCAUAAUACAUAUUUAUACAUAAUUACUAUUUUUCCCCUAACAUUUUUACCUUUUUACAAUUUAGUCCUUCAACUCGUAAAUUGAAAUCUAAGCAUUCUCAUCCCUAAUUCAUGCUAGCAAAAUUUAUUAUGAACCCAUAUCAAUUCAUACAAGUCAUCAUUUCUGAAUUUAACCACAAUAAUUUACUACUUUUACAAAUAAGCCCCAAAAUCACAUUUUCAUAAAAAACCAUUUUACAAAACUUAUUUAUUUAUCUACAAUGACUCAUAAUCUUUCAUUAAACUUCAUAAAUCAUGCAAGAACAUUCAUGGUGAAACCCUACACCUGUAAUAGUUUUGCAAAUUAGUCCCAGGGCUAGCUAGAUUAAACUACGACUCCAAAAACAUAAAAAUCCUUAAAAACGGGCUUGAAAACCUACCUUGCAUGAAGGAUUUUCCAUAGAAGAAAACCCCCUCUUAACAAUGAAUUUUUUGUGCUUUUAGGGUUAUGAACAAAGAACAUGACAUCAUUUUGUUUUAAUUUACUUAACAUUUUAUCUUAAUCGUCCAUUUACCAAAAUAACCUUUAAAGACUAUAAAUUUCAAUAAAACCUUGCCAUAUAAUUCCACUAACUAUCCUAUUGGUUUAAUUACCAUCUACAUCUUUUCACUUUAAAGUUCUAUAGCUAAUGGAUAAUUUUAAAUACUAGAACUGUACUUUUACACCUUUUACGGUUUAGUCCUUUUCACUUAAUUAAGCAUGCAAACGUUAAGAUUUCUUAACGAAAUUUUUAUAUGACUCUACAAACUUACCGUAGACAUUAAAAUAAUAAUAAAAUAAAUAUUUGCUCAUUAUAUUUGUGGUCCCAAAACCACUAUUUCAAUUUCACUAAAAAUAGGCUGUUACAAUGUGUCCCAAUUUCAUUCAUUCAUUCAUUCACUCAUUCACUCAUUUGUUUAUUCAGAAACAUUAUUUUAAUGAAAAAAGAAAUAAAAUAAGAAUAAUUUUAUGAAAAAUCCAAAUAAAUUUCUAACUUUGGAAAUAAAUGCGAUUUCAAAAAGGACCAAGGUUAGCUCACACCCGCUCAAAAGCCAAGAAGAUGACAGAAAAAGAAUUAGCACGCAUGGCCAAAUUGAAGGAGCGGGACUUUGGACAAUUUAAUCCCUAUAUCGCGAAGAUUUACCACUUCAAAUGCUAGGUGUGACUAUUCAAAUCCCAAGAAUAAACGAGUUGCCUACAAGCGAGGAGUCGAGAGAAGUGGACAAGGGAAAGUCGAUUAUGGAUGAAAAAGCUCAUAGAUUCAGCCUAAUUGAGGAACUUUUGAAAGCCAUCGAAGGAUUAGAAACCUUAAGAUAUGUAGAAGUAGAAGGCCUGUGUCUGGUACUCAAUUUGGUCGUCCCACCAAACUUCAAAAUUCCUAGCUUUGAGAAAUUCAAAGGUAGCAGUUGCCCUAUUACUCACAUCGCCAUGUACUAUAGGAAAAUGGUUGCUUACUCUAAAGAUGAGAAACUACUAAUGCACAUAUUUCAAGACAGUCUGACCGGAUCUAUGGCUCGCUGGUAUGUAAAGUUGGAUAGGAGCCGGAUUCGAAAUUAGAGAGAGCUCCCACAGGCAUUUAUUGCUCAAUACAAACAUAUUGUAGACAUGGCCCUAGGCCACUUGACUCUGCAGAACAUGGAAAAGAAGUCAAAUGAGAGUUUUAAGGAAUACGUACAAUGGUGGAGGGACCUAACAUUACAAGUACAACCUCCACUCAGAGAAUAGGAGACCAUUGUUGUGUUCGUUGGUACACUAAAAGGCAUAUACUACGAUAGGAUGGUAGGAAAUGCCUCUAAGACCUUCACGAAUAUGGUAUUAUCUGGUGAAAUGAUAGAGAAUGCAUUGAAGUCGGGCAAAAUAGAUGACCCGUUGAGCGCAAAAAAAGGGUGUCGUUGGGAAAAAAAGAAAGCAGAAAUGUAAACAAUCACACCAAGCGAUUACCGAUACUCUUACUUUCCGUACCCGAGCCCAAUACCUCCAUGCCCCCAAUACCUUAUUGUAAAUGCUACCAAUACUUCACCAUUUAUGUAUUAUCCAACUAUACUUGUUACAAAUCCCUCCAUAUUAACUAUGCUAACCCGGUCCCUAUAAACCCAAGCUCCAGUAAGGACACCAUGGGAAAGGCCUGUGUUUGAUCCAAUUCCUAUCUCCUACACGGAACAUUUUUCAAUUCUAGUGGAGAAGCACCUCCUUGUACCUACACACAAGGAACGAAUGCAACCACCAAUCCCCAAGUGGUAUAAUGUCAAUGCUUGAUGUGAGUAUCACUCUGGCAAUCCAGGUCAUACCAUCUAGAACUUAUAAGGGCGAGAAAGAUAAAUUUUCAAUGAAAGAAUACACCAGAUGUUAAGACGAAUCCAUUACCAAACCACGAUCGAAUAGUUAAUACUAUAACUGAAUAAAAUAGACUUCAAAAGAGAAAAGUGAAAGAAAUCACAACCCCAGCCGAGCGUAUCUUUGACAUCUUGAGUAAGUGAAAUCUAAUUCACACUGAGCCACCCACGUCUAAAAUGGGAAUUGAUAUGGAUCAAAUCUGCAAAUUCCACCAAGGAGCACUAGGACACUCGAUCCAAGUUUUCCCAACGUUUAGGGAACAUAUACAGUGUCUCUUGGAUUCUUUCCAGCUAGAGAUACAGGAGGGUGUUAAGACAAAUGAGAUAAAAAUGUAAGAUGUGAAACCUAUCACCAUCAUAUAUGGAAAGAAAAUCCUUAUUGAAAAAGAGUCUACCUCAAAAGUCGUACAAGAUGACGUGUUGGUUAUUAAGGUUCUCGACCUUUUUAAGUAUGGAGAUGACCAACGAGUUCCUCAGAGAUAUGAUUAUGAGGUGGUUAGAUCUGAUGCCUCCAACAUCUCAGUACUUUGUGGCAUAACUCGAAACGAGCAUUGUUACAAGCCAAACACAGUGGGGGGAAAACCUCGUGGUAAAGAAGUGAUUUCAAAAAAUUAACCAAAAAUUGGCAAUAAAGAAGUCGAUAAGGAAACAAGGGAGGACCGAAUGGGAGAAGUCAAGAAUGAUGAAGUUAACAAAUUUUUACAUCUGAUAAAGCAUAGUGAGUAUAGCGUGGUUAAGCAGUUAAACAAAACACUAGCAAGAAUUUAUUUGCUGUCACUACUUUUGAGCUCGGGGCCACACAGUGAGGCUCUUGUACGAGUUCUAAAACAAGCUUACCUCACUCACAACGUGUCAGUAGAUAAUUUUAGUCACUUAGCAGGGAACAUUUUGGCCUCAAAUUACAUAUAUUUCAAUGAUGAUGAAAAUACGCCUAGAUGGAAAAGGAACUACCAAGGUACUACACGUCUUAGUAAAGUGUAAAGCCUAUUUCGUGGCUAGGGUUCUAAUCGAAAAUGGGUCAUCAAUCAACAUCCUCCCUUUGUCAACAUUGUCCAAGCUUCCCAUGGACACCUCGUACAUGGCAUCGAGCCCUUUAGUGGUGCGAGCUUUUGAUGGCAACAAAAGAAGUGUGAUUGGUGAAAUAGACAUUCCCUUAUUGGUAGGAGCUAUUAAUUUCCUUAUUCACUUUCAGGUGAUAGAUAUAAUACAUUCUUAUGGUAUGUUGUUAGGACGCCCCUAGAUUCAUUUGGCUAGGGUGGUACCAUCAUCCUUGCACCAAAGAUUGAAAUUUGUAGUUGAUCAGAAUUUGUGCAUCGUAUGAGGCAAAAAGGACCUAUUGGUAGCUUGCUUUCCAAAUUCUCCUUUCAUAGAAGUGGAUGAUGAUGCAAUAAAGAGUUCUUUCCUGAUCUUUGAUGUGGCCACUGUAUCUUACGUGGCAGAGGGAAUGCGAGCCCCUAAGCCUUAUGUGCCACGAACAACAAACAUCUUAUUUGCCCAGACAGAAGGGAAGGGUCGGCAAAUCCACUUAGGUUUGAGAGACGUACAAGGUAUCUCAGAACCCGUUUUAGUUCUCACUCUGAAAGAUACAAGAGGGUUAAGAUAUAAGCCUACGAAAGAGAAUGUCGAGAGGAUGUGUAAAGAGCAGAGGGCAAAGAGGUUGGCCCGCAUGGCUGGAAAGAAGGACCAGGAAAGGACCCCUAUCAAGUUAAUGAUUAGUGGAGACUGGGUUUGCUACGACCCUUCUGCCUUGGACAACUGACAGCUCAUACCGUUACCUGCUAUCUUUGAGUCCUUCAAGAUGUAUUUAUUUUUAAGAGUUUUUAUUUCCAAAUUUUAAUAUCAUUCAGUUAAUUCAGUUUCUUUCAAAAAUCCAUGUAAACUUUUCUUUUCUCUUUAAUGUGAUCAGAUUUGGAUCAUGUCCCUAUUCACUUUUAUUCAUUUAAUCAUUUUCAUUCAUAUACCAAUAUACAUAAUCAUAAUUAUUUUAGGGGUAUACAUCAUGAAUUGAUAAAUUAUCCAAAUGACAUCUUUGAAUCAAAUUCUCUUAAUUAUGUUCACUAUAACGAUCAUGAGACGGAAGAGGAAGAAGUUGUACCAGAGGAAUUUUUUAGGAUAGUUGAACAAGAAAAGAAGCUUAUAGAACCCCACUUGGAGGGAACAAAUUUAAUCAAUCUGGGUGAUGAUAAGUUAAAAAAGGAUAUUAUGAUUAAAACCACUUUCAUGCUGGAGCAAAGUCAAUUGUUGGGGGAUCUACUCAUUGAGUUCUAAGAUGUGUUUGCAUGGUUAUACCAAGAUAUGCUGGGUUUGGACACUAAUAUCGUGGAACACAGGCUACCUUUGAAAUUAGAUUGCAAAACCGUAUACCAAAAGUUGAGAAUGAUGGAACCUGAGAUGCUGUUGAAGACUAAAGAAGAGGUCAAGAAAUAAUUCGAUGCGGGAUUUCUGGAAGUAGCUAAAUACCCAGAGUGGGUGGCGAGCAUUGUACAAGUGCCUAAAAAGGAUGGGAAAUUCAGAAUGUGCAGCGAUUAUAAAUAUUUGAAUCAAGCUAGUCCCAAGGACAAUUUUACGUUACCUCAUAUAGACACACUGGUGGAUAACACUACUAAACAUUAUGUUUUCUCUUUCAUGGAUGGAUUCUCAGGGUAUAAUCAAAACAAAAUGGUGAGGAAGGACAUGGAAAAGACCACAUUCAUCAUGACGUGAGGAACUUUUUGUUACAAGGUCAUGUCAUUUGGUCUGAAAGAUGCUAGGGCCACGUAUUAAUGAGCAAUGGUGACAUUGUUUCAUGACAUGAUACAUAAAGAGAUUGAAGUUUAUAUGGACAAUAUGAUAGCAAAUUUUGAUAGGGAGGAAAUUUAUAGGAAAACCUCUGCAAACUGUUUGAAAGAUUAAGGAAAUAUAAAUUGAGAUUGAAUCCAACAAAAUGUACUUUCAGGGUAAAGUGAGGGAAUCUGUUGGGUUUCGUAGUGAGUGAAUUGGGAAUUGAAAUAUACCCGGACAAGGUUCAAGCAAUUCAAGAUUUUUCACCCCCUAAAAUUUCAAAGGAGGUAAGAGGUUUCUUAGGAUGGUUAAAUUACGUGUCUCAUUUGAUCUUAUAGUUGACGGAUAAAUGUGAUCCCAUCUUCAAUCUCUUACGUAAGGAUAAUGAUGGUGAAUAGAUUGAUGAUUGUCAAAAAGCAUUGAAGAAAGUAAAAGAGUAUUUGGCUAAGCCACCAAUUUUGAUUCCCCUGGUGCCAAUAAGACCUUUGAUUUUGUAUUUGGUAGUGCUGGAUAAUUCUAUAGGUUGUGUUCUGGAGCAAUGAGAAGGUUCAAACAAGAAAGAACACACAAUCUAUUAUCUGACAAACAAGUUCACAGAAUAUGAAGCCAAUUAUCCCCAUCUGGAAAAGAUGUGUUGUGCUUUAGCAUGGACUACGCAUCCACUAAGGCAAUACAUGUCAGGAAGAAGCUAUUAUUGUCAAGAACAGUUGCUCAUUGGCAAGUGGUAUUGUCCAAGUAUGACAGCGUCUACAUAUCCCAAAAGGCUAUAAAAGGAAGUAUAGUCGCAAAAUUUUUGGCGGAUCGCACGAAAGAGGAAUACAAGCCCAUGAGUUUUGAUUUCCCAAAUGAAGAGAUCCUGUUAAUUUCGAAGCGUGGAGAAGAAAUUUGGAAGGUGUAUUUCGAUGGACCAUCCAACAUGAUUGGGCAUGGGAUUGGGGCAUACUAAUCUCCCCAAGUGGCCAAUAUUUUCUCGCUACAGCUAAAUUGAUGUUCCCCUGUACGAACAUUGUAACUGAAUACGAGGCAUGCAUUUUCACACUUUAGAUCGCCAUUGAGAAAAAGAUUAGGGUUUUAAAAGUUUUUGGUGACUCAGCAUUAGUUUUUUACCAAUUAACAGGAGAAUUGGAAAUAAGGGAUUCCAAAUUGAUUCACUAUCAAACAUAUGUGGAUGGACUAUUGAAAGAGUUUGAUGAUGUCCAAUUUUGUCAUUUGGCAAGAGAAGAAAACCAGUUAGAAGAUACAUUAGCUACUAUAGCUACCAUGUUCAUCGUGGGAUCCGAAACAGAAGUGUAACCUAUACUGCUAAGGGUCAAAGACUCGUUGGCCCACUGGGUGGGAGUAGAAUCAAGAACGGAUAGGAAACCAUGGUAUGUUGACAUUAAGCAGUAUUUGCAAUACCAGCAAUACCCGGAUUACGCUUCAAAAAAUUAUGAACGAAUAAUUAAGAGGCUGGUCAUGGGUUUCUUCUUGGACGUUUUUUUGUACAAAAGAUAAUGUGACCAAACCCUGAGAGAUGUGCCGACACAAAAGAGGCAAAUCAGAUAAUGAAGGAAAUCCAUGAUGGAGUAUGUGGAGCACAUAGUAACAGACAUAUGACAACAAGGCAAAUCAUGAGUGCUGGAUAUUUCUAGUUGACGUUGGAACCAGAUUGUUUAAAUUAUGCUUGGAAAUGUCAUAAAUGUCAGAAUUAUGUAGACAAUAUUAACGCUUGUCUAACUAAUCUCCAUGUCUUGGCACCUCAUUUGUCAUUCUCAAUGUUGGGCAUGGAUUUCAUUGGCCCCAUCACAUCGAAAACAUCAAACGAGCAUCGCUUCAUCUUUGUAGUGAUUGAUUAUUUCACCAAAUGGGUCGAAGCCGCUUCAUAAGCCAAUGUAACUUGAUUAGUGGUGAGCGAAUUUCUGAAAAAAGAGGUCAUUUGUUUGUAUAGUUUACCAAAAAGAAUCAUCUCAGAAAAUGCCAAGAACUUGAACAAUGUCGUGAUAGAAGAGGUUUGCGCACAAUUUAAGAUCAAGCAUCAUAAAUCUACGCCAUAUCGUCCAAAAAUGAAUGGGGUAGUCGAGGCCACGAAUAAAAAUAUCUAGAAGAUCAUUUCCAAUACAGCAAAAAUGUAUAGGGAUUGGCAUAAGAAACUCCCUUUUACUCUCCACGCAUACUGUACAUCAGUGAGGACUUCGAUUGAAGUUUCUCUAUUUUCAUUAGUGUAUGACAUGGAGGUCAUUUUACCUAUCGAGGUGCAAAUCCCAUCUCUACGAGUAGUUGAAUUUAAUUGAGGAAAAGAGAUUAGCAGCUUUAUGUCAUGGCCAGUUUUAUUAACAAAGAAUGAUGAAGACCUAUAACAAGAAGGUGUGACCAAGGCAGUUUAGAGAAGGGGAUGUAGUACUAAAGAAUAUUCUACCAUAUGUUCAUGAUCAUCAGGGAAAAUAGACACAAAAAUGGGAGGGACCGUAUAUGGUGAAAAAAAUUUCUCUGGUGGAGCAUUGAUUCUCGUUGAAUUGGAUGGAGACAAGAUGUCGAACCCUAUAAAUUCUAAUGCAGUGAAAAAAUACUUUGCUUAAAAACUAAGCUUGAUCGUUCUUAAAAAGUUACUCACAUAAGUAAUAUUGGCUUUUUCUCUUUUGCUUUUCUUCAUGCAUCACAUUUCAGGUUACAUUUUGCUUUGGAAUCUUACAUUCUCCUUAAGUUUAAUUACUUAAUAAGUUGUCCAUGUUCAAAAUGACAAAUGACAUUUUUGAAAUAUCCUUCACUUGAAGAAAAUUCCAUCCUCUGUUAACCACUUUGGGCCAUCUUGUUUGUUCAAAAUUAACCCUUACUGAAGGAUCACCUUCCACGUUGGAGGACAAAUUGUGAGGUUUUGGGUAUGGAUCAAUGAUUUUACAACAUUGUGAGGCAAACAUGCGAUUAUGCGUAAUUCAAAUUGAAAAGAUGGGUGCAUUCCUAAGAAUGGUCUUUCUGAUUAGAUUAACCAUAUUUUGAAAUGAUAAAUGACAUCCUUUUGUUCUCCUCGUCACAUGGAGAAAAUUAUCUCCCUUGCUACCCCAUUUUGAUCCUGAUGUAACUUCUUUCUGAACCCUAAUUAAAGUCAUCCAUCGAACAUCAUGAAUUGACAAGAAAGAUCAUGAAGAAUGAAAGCAAAAUUUUGAAUUCUUGAUCUUAUUCCAAAAAAAAGAAAAAAAAUAGGGAAAGUGAAUAAAAAACAAAUAAGAAAAGAAAUAGGAAGGAGUACGAACAAAGAAAAGUGAUGGAAAGAGCAAUAAAAAAUUCAAAAUAAUUCCUCAUGGAUUUUAUACUCUUUCACAUAAUUUUAGCCUAGAAAACCUUUCUUUGAUUGACCUUUAACCCUUAGGCCACGUUACAACCAUUAAAAGACCAUUUUGGUCGAAUAUGUUUGUUCAAAUCAAGAAGUUAAUCCUUGGGAAAUAGUGACGUUUUCAAAAGUAUAAAAGAAGAUGAUGAACUCUAAGGUGAAAACUCAGAAAUGAGCAAUCUAAAAAAAAUUCUAAAAAAAUAAUAGGGUAUAAGAUGCCCUGGAGGAUAAUGAAGUUUUCAGAAGAAAUUGAUCCUUCAGUACGAGCCCUGAAGUAAUCGAUUUUAGGUUAUUUUAUCCCUUUCUUUGGCUUCCAAACUCGAAUGGACACUAUAACCUUGGAACAAGUCCAUCUCUAGUUGCUUAUGGUCGACUUAAAUUAGGGAAUUAAUCUACUUGGAGAAUGUAAGAGUCUAUAUAAAGAAGAUUUUGCUUAAAUAAAAAAACACAAAAAAAAAAGAAAAAGGGAAAAAAUAACCAAAAAAACAGAAAAAAAUAGAGAGAGAGCAAAAGAAAGGAACUACUUUAAGACACAAUUUUGCUAAAGAGAAUGGUACAGGGUUCAUUGUCGGAACAACCCAAAGUCAAGAAAAGGAAAUUCAGGUUCACGAGAAUUAACGAGUUGACUCUCGAUGCAAGAAAUUUAUGUUUCAAGGGUAGAUUUAUGAAAUCCGUAGUACCAAGUCUAUUAAGUGAAUUAUCAUCUGAAAAUUUAAUUUACAAGUCACAAAAUCAAUUUGAAAUUUGUUAAGAUGAUAUCCCAUGGAAUUUGAUUUUCAUGAUAUGUUAUGUAUGGAUAGAGAUUUGAUCUUUUUCAACCUAAAAGCAUGAUUAUCAAAAUAAUGACCUUUUCUGAAAAAUUCAAUAAAAGAAUAAAGGAAAGCAUUCAUUGCAUUUAAGGGCCCAGGUGUGGAGGUCUGUUUACCUUUCAUUGCAUUUAAGGGCCCAAGAUAGAAUUUAUCUUGUUUCACUCUUCAUGUUUCGAUGGUUUGGUAUCUACUUUUCCAGUUUUGGAUAACGUAACAUGUUUUGAUCUGUUUCAGUUUUGGUACUUGCAAAAUCUAUUAUUCCUUGUACUAUGAUGUUGAGUAGGAUUUGAUAGUGGUUAGGUGUCUACGUCUUUUUUCGUGGUACAUUUUUCGCUAUGCAAGCCACGAACAAAUACGGGCAACUGUAGACACUCAUUUUUGUUCGAGCCCAAUUAGAGGCUCACUUGUUCCCUUUAAAUAUUUGUUUUUUUCUUGGGCCAUUCGAAGCCCACCCAAUUUUGGUCAAAUGAAGGCAUUUGUUUUUCUUACCUUUUUAUUUCCUUUUCAAGCUUGUCAAGGGCCCAGAUUAUUAUUAUCAUUACUACUAAUAUUAUUAUUAAAUAUUAUUAUUAUCUCUUUUUUAGGGCCCAAGGCCCAAGCUAUUACAAUGGUCAGCUGGGUUUUCAAAACCCCUAGCCUUCCCUUUUGUCACACAUCACAAACAUCCAAAAUAGUACCAGACCAUUAAUCAACAGAUCAAUGGAAACAUAACAAAAAUUACAAAUAAAAAACGUUACCAUAUUUAUUGAUCACUCGGCGUUGAGAUAUCCUUUCACGAAGAAGGAUGCAAAAUCAAAAAUAAAACAUUGGAUCUUACUAUUGCAAGAAUCUAACAUCGAGAUAAAAGACCGCAAGGGUACAGAGAAUCAAGUUGCAGACCAUCUGUCUCGAUUGGAAGUUAGCAGCAAAGAUGGAAACAUACUUCAAAUUGUCGACGCAUUCCCAGAUGAGAAGUUAUUUGUUGUAGAUGCAACCCCUUGGUAUGCGGAUUUGGUUAAUUAUAUAGUGUGUAGAAAACUCCCAUUCGGUGUCAUAAGCCAUAAAAAAGAAAGAUUUCUUCAUGAAAUAGUCAAGUAUCAUUAGAACAAGACGUAUUUAUUCAAGGUAUGCAAUGACAAUAUUAUUCGACGUUGUGUUCCGGAAAAGGAGAUGCUUUCAAUCCUUAAGCACUAUCAUGAUCCUUUCAAUCUAGAAAAGAAAAUUGCUAGCAGUUGAAACACUAUUUUGGGAAUAUUAAUCAAAAACAGGCAGAGACCAUUAAAUUGGUUAAAAAAAUUUAAUUUUUAUUGAAUUUAUCAUUAUGUGAUUUUAUUUUAUUUUGUUUUUGUUCAAGUUUGUUUUACUUCUUUUUUUUUCCAAAAUAAUUAGGUAACAUUGUCGAAGCACUUUGACUUUAUUGCCCAUGCAGUUCAUACUAUUGUACUGUCACUUAUGACUCAUCAAGAAUGAGGGCAUAUCAAAAAUUUCAAAUCCCACCGAUCAUCUGAGAUUAUAUCAAGGGCAGGAACAACUCUAUUGUAGCCGCAUUAAGUUAGUUAAGCCCAGUCCCACUCCUAAAAUUUCUAGUGUUCCCAUUGAUCAUUCAAGAUUAUGAACUCUCAUUCGAGGAUGAUGACUUAGGGGAUCCAGACAGAUCGGUGGCAUCCCCACCCAUUGUGCACGUCUCUGUUGAUGAGAAAGAAGAGGAAUUAAAGGGCAUUGAAGAGUGCAUGCAAAGGAUUGAUAGCUUGGUCGAGGGUGACUUCAUUGCUAGUCAAGAGGAACAUGCUAUUGAGGUGGAAGUUUUUGUUAGAGAGGAGGAAGUCCUUGUUGCAAAUGUGAAUGAGAAGGACAAGAAAGAAGAUGCUAAGAAAGAAUAUGCUCGAAACAUUGUCAUUGUACCCAAGUUUGUGGGUGCAACUACUGAUAAUUUGGAGCGAGAUGGAGCUAGAACAGCAGAAGCUGCAAAGGAAGCAACCAAUGAUGCCCAGGCAGAGCUAGAACCUGAAGAGCGAUCUAAGGAUCAUGCGAAGCCCAAACAAUAGAUGAAAAAGCGCCCCAAUGACAAAAAGUGCAAGAAAGAGGAGAAAAAGAGGAGGAAAAAGAAACAUCAUGCAGCCACAUCUGUGGCUAAGGAAAACUGAGUUAGUUUUUUUUCAGUUUUUUUAGUUGUAGUGUUCAUGCAUUGCACGUAGCUGUAAUUUUUAUUUUGUUACUGCACAUUUUCAUUGCAUUUCUCUGGUAAUUGCAUUUUAAUUUUAGUGCAUUGAGGACAAUGCAAACUUUAAGUUUAGGGGAAUCCAUAUGGGGUUUGGAAAUACAGUCACAUUUCAAAAAAAAAUUAUUAAGUUUAAUGAAGCAGGCAAGGUUUAUUUGUGGUUAAUGCAAAUGUGUUUGAAAAUUUUUGUUACAUCCAAUCUUAAUUCUUGAAUCAUGUGAAUUAUAAAUGAAUGAGUUGGAUAAAUUUGACUGAAUGUUGUAUCUUCAAUUCUUUGAUGAAUGAUUUAGGUUGCUUUAGUAAUGGAUGACUAGUAGCAUUGCUUGAAUCUUGAAUGAAUCUGCCUUUUACAGCUGCUUAUAUAUAUAUAGUUAUGAAUAAGAGACACUCCAAAGUGGGUGUACUGUGAAAUGUUAAAUAGGGAACACUCCAAUGCAAGCAUUAGAAAAAUGAAUCUGGCCAAAGGCUGUCGCUGCAUGAGUGUGCGUCGGUGCAAUUACGUACUCCCUUGAGUUUGUUGCACUCCGUCGCUACUUUUCAGGAACAAUGGUACAAUAAUGCAACGAUAUCCCUUAUUCACACAAAAAAAAAGACAUACAUUGUACAAUAAAUGUUGUAUUGGUAGAUAGAAUUUAGGAUUUAAAGCAUGAUGUUGGUUUUGAUGAAGUUGCAAUCUUAUUCAUUCAUACUUAUGUAUUUUCGAUGCAAUAUUCUAUCAUCUGAAUUUGACUCAUUCAUUGGAAUUUAGGUGAUUCAAGUUGCUAAAAUGAUCAUUUGCCUUAGUGAAUUCUUGUGUAGCCUUGCUAGUUUCUAAUUUACUUGAGGACAAGUAAAAACUCAAGUUUGGCGGGUGUGAUAGUACUAGAAAUAACAUAUGUUUUCUCCCUACUUAUUGGUUAAUUUGUUCCCAUCUAGUUAUCUUUAGUACAUAUUUUAGCAUUUUCAGUUCAGUAAAUUACAUUUUAUAACUCAGUGGGUCUUAACCUAUUUAUCCUUAAUUUCCUCAUGUUUUGGUACUGAUGUAACUGCACGAGUAUUUCCAGAUUGCACCAAGAAUUGUCGCCGCAACUGUCAGCUAUCUAGAUAAGAAUAAAAAGGAGUGAGCUGGCCAGUCUGGUACAACCAACCUGUAUGUAUAGAGGAUCCAUGAUUCUAAUGAAAGGACACCUGUGUUAUUUGGAUAAAUAUUAAUAUUCACAUGAAAAGAAAAGGGGGAGGUUCUUUUCAUUGGGGAGAUUAUCUUCUUCAACCUAUCUUUUGAAGCCUUUCAGCUAUGGUGGCUUAAGCCUCCUACGGGUGAACCAAUGUGAAAGGGAUGCAGAUUAGCUCUUCCCAAGGAGCCCUGAGUGCAACAUAAGAGGGAGUUGAGAGAUCAAGUCGAGAUUUUCUAGGAAUAGUACUCUCCACUUGUUUCUUUUAUAUUUCUUUUCUAAAUGUUGGUGAUUACUUUUUAUUUCAUGUUUGUGUAGAAGUAUACAUGAUUUCUGGGUUAAAUGUUAUUUUAUUCAAUCUUGUUUCUACUAUUUAAUCUUUGGGCUUGAAUGUUUUUAGCAUGGAAGUGUUAUUACUAUUACUGACAAUGGAAAGUGCAGCGAUAGUUCAAGCUAACAAGCAUGACAGCAGAAGUUCCUUUAGGAUUAGAAGAAUUUAAUUCACUUGUUCUUAAUAGUGUUCCAUUGCCAUCAUCAAAUGGUGUGGCUAAUGUGCAUGUUUAAGUCGUAGAUUAAAUAUAAAAUUUAAGGUUGGUAAGAUAUUCAUUGCAAUUUAAUGCAUCAACAAUCAACUAUCCUUUUAUGCCUUGUGAGCACUUAGUAUUCUGUUGAAUAUUCACGUUGAGGAUCCCAGUUUAUCAUUAUCUUAUUUUAUCUUAUUGUUUUCAAGUUAUUGCUUCGACAACUACUCUUGUAACACCCCUUACCGGAGACCGUUGCAAGAGUCAAGCUCGAGGCAUUACUUUACUUGUCUUACUAGUUUGGGACAUAAAAAGUUACUUUUGAAAUCAAUUUCCACAUAUACAGCAAAACUGUUCACUCGCGCAGCAGUUACUAAAUCAUUCAUAACUUGAGAUAUGGAACUCAAAAUCUAAAUCCGUAAAUUUUCCCUAAAACUAGACUCAUAUAUAUUUUUACCAUAAAAUUUUUAUAAUUUUUGGUUCAUCCAAUUAGUACAAUUUAUUAGUUAAAGUCUCCCCUAUUUCACCAUUUGACUGUUCUGACCUCUUGUUACUAAAAAUAAAAUUUAUCAUUAUAGGAUUUUAAUAUGGUACUCUCACUUGUUCCAAAAGAAAAUAGACUCAAUAAGGAAUCUAUACAUAUAAAUUACAACUCAUAAAUAUUUUUUUACAAUUUUUAAUUAUUUUCUAAACUCAGAACAGGGGACUCCAAAAAUAGUUCUGACCAUGUUUCACUAAAAUUCACAUAUCUUAAAAUAUAAAUUUCCUUUUUCGACACAGUUAUUUUUCUAUGAAAAUAGACUCAACAAUAUUUAAUUCCAUAUAUCAUUCACUCUCUAAUUCAUUUUAUACCAACCUAGGUGAUUUUUCAAAUUCACAUCACUGUGCUGUCUAAAUUCUAUUUCUUUGCAAAAUUUUACCCUUUCAUGAUUUCCAUGCAUAAUUUAUCACCUAGACUUUUAUAACUUAACCGUUUUAAUAACCGUUCAUCAAAAAAUACUUACACAUCAUUAUUUAGCAAAAUCAUAAUUACAAACAAGCAAAAUAACUAAAUCCCUAUACAUGCCAUGACUCAAACGUGUUUCAUCAUAAAAUACCGAGUAGUUGUUCUUGAUAGUGUAGACGAUCUCCGACUUCUUUAGGAUCCCUGAAGUAGCUUUGCAAUACUAUAAGAGAAAGAAAAAUAAAAGAAGUAAUCAUUAAGCUUAGUAAGUUUACUAGCAAAUAAAUAACAACAUUCAACAUAAAUGAUUAUACUCGAAUGUCAAGGUCUCUAAUUUACUCUUUAAUUAAUCUCAUUCUCAUUCUCUUGCUUGUUUACUUAGUUAACUCGUGAUUAUGACUUACUCUUCCCUUGCGGAAACGUUGAGUGUCAAUUGAUAAUAUCAUAAGUUCUUAACUCUUAUAACUUACAUGAGCUUGCCAUUUAUGCUUUUAACUGAAUUUUCAUGAACAUGAUUUGUUUACUAGCCCGUUUAGCUACAUUGGAAUAAUAAGGAUACUCAGGUCUCUUCUGAUAAUAACAUGCCAAAGCCAUGUUCCAGACAUGGUCUUACAUGGGAUGUUUUCAUAUCAGUGCCCAUGCCAUGUCCCAGACAUGGUCUUACGGGGGACCUCUCAUCUCGGUGCCAACGCCAUGUCCCAGACAUGGUCUUACAUGGGACCUCUCAUCUCGGUGCCAAUGCCAUGUCCCAGACAUGGUCUUACAUGGGACCUCUCAUCUCGGUGCCAAUUCCAUGUCCCAGACAUAGUCUUACAUGGGACCUCUCAUGAUCUCAAGGAUGCCAAUGCCAUGUCCCAGACAUGGUCUUCCAUGGGAUCUCUUUACCUAAAUGUCAUAACAUUUGUAUCCAAUACAUUCCUCAUGUUUCAACGGGGCCUUUUAACACUAAUUCUUUGUCAUCUCAUACUUGAUUUAACAUUAGAUAUUUUCAUGAAAUAAAUACAUAAUUUCUGAAAAAUAACAGCAUUAAUUAUAAUUAUCAAAAUGUUGCAUUUAUUUAUCGUAAACUUACCUCGGUACAAAAUAUAGCCCAAUUCACCAACUCAGUCUUCAACUUUAUUCUUCCCUUUGUCUAACCUUGAGUUUCGUUCUUCUUGAUCUAAAAUAGCAAAUUUAACUCAUUUAAUAAUCACAUUUAUCAAAAUAGCCCUCGACUCUAACUUUGUCAAAAUAACAAUUUUGCCCCUAAACUUUUACAUAAUUAUAUUUUUCCCCAAUGCUCGGAAAUUAAACUUCAUCUCUUAUUCUUAUGUUUUAUAAUAUGCUGAACAUUUUUCUCUUCUAUGACAACAUCAAAUUCUCACUCUAACAUGUACUUGUGAACAUUAGGUAUUUUACUGAUUAUGGAGUUUUACUCGUUUUCGCUUAAAAUCGACUAGCAAAAAUUGUUUAACAUAAUUUCUAGCUUCAUAUUUUACCUUAAAACAUCAAAAUAAACACUUUUCACCUACGGGUAUUUUUCCAAAUAUAAACCCUAGGUUAAAUUAUUGCUAGAAUAAGCUAAAUUAAGCUACCGGGAUCUCAAAAACGUAAAGAACAUUAAAAACGGGGCUUGGGAUCACUUACUAUGGAGCUUGGAAGCUUGAAAACCCUAACUAUGGCUUCUCCCCUUGCUAAAUUCGGCCUAAUGAAGAAGAUGAUAAAAAAUUGGCUUUUAAUUUUGUUUUUAAUUCAUUUUAAUAACUAAAUGACUAAAAUGCCCUUAAUGAAAAACUUUGGAAACAUGCCUAACCAUGUCCAUUUUUGUCCACAAACUUAACCGAUGGCCUAAUUAUCAUAUAAAGACCUCCAAUUUAAAAUUUCAUAACAAUUGGACACCUCUAACAUAUAGAACUCAACUUUUGCACUUUUUACAAUUUAGUCAUUUUGACUAAAUUAAGUGCCCAAACGUCAAAAUUUUUGAACGAGAUUUUCACGAAAUCUUUUCGUGAAAUUGUAGGCCAUAAAAAUAUAAUAAAAAUAAUUUUUUUCCUCAUCGGAUUUGUGGUCCCGAAACCACUGUUCUGAUAACCUUAAAUUUGGGCCAUUACAACUCUCAAAUUUAUCUUGUUUCUAUCUAUUUAUUACACUGAAAUUGAAAGAAAAAAGACAACCAUCCUCGUGGGAUCGAUAUCCGGCUGACUCAUAUCUGUCUACUAUACUUGCAUCGACAGUGUACACUUGCACAUUAUUGCUGUGACGUUAAACAGCCGAUCAGGUGCCAAAAUGGGUAAUUUAUUCCCAUCCCCUUAAUUUUUAAAUUUCUUAAAAAAACACCCCAUUUUUUGUAGUGCCGCCCUCACUCUCUAGCCUAUUUACACCCGUAACCCUUUUUAUUUAUUCAAACCUUUAAUUUAAUCCGAAAUUUCAAAAUUAAAGGCAAAUUAUUUGCUACAUCAGUCCUCUGUCUUCCACAAUUUUUAUCUUUUAGUCCCAAAAUCAAGCUCUAUCAUUUUGUUUCCAUCUUGAAUAAGUUAUUUACAUUUAUAUCUUCCAUUUCAUUUACAUUUUUACCUUAUUUAUUUGAUGUCAAUUAUGCACUUUAUUUUAAAUUUUUUUAUAUUUAUUAAAACUUGUAUAAUUUUUAUUUAUUCUUAUUUCAUCUUUAAUUGUUUUCAUGUCUAUUUAUAUUUAUGUUUUUUUACAGAUUCCUCUUACAUACAUUUUAAUAUGAUUCGUUUAUAUUACUUUGAUUCUUUUAUUAUAUUAAGAAUAAGGUGUAUUAUUGUUAUUAUUAUCAUCAUCAUAUCAAAGUCUUAUUUCUUUCAUUUAUUUAAGUGUUCCUUUUAUUAUUUCUCUUUUUGAAAGCUAAAUACAAUAAUUCAUGUGGCAGCUAAAUACAAUACCAAAUGUAUUUGGAUUUUGUUCGCUCCAACUAUAGGGUGUGACUCUGUAGGCUAUUGUAAUGUUGGUAGUAAUACUAGAACAUUUCUAAAAUUACAAGCAAAGAGUGGCAUCUAGCAAUGCAUCAUUGCUACCCAAGUUACAAGAAGUCGUGAUUCGACAUAACCUUUCUGUGAUAAUCUUUUCAUGUAUUAUAUCCUUUUGGGACUCAUGAUGUUGGGACAAUGAUGAUCUCAAGUCUGAGGAUCAUAUACAUAGCUACCACUAUGAAUAAUAUUUGUUACUAUUACGUAAUAAUCCAAGAAACAAACUCAUAGCAGGUUAAUCCAGUAUGUUGUUCUCUAACACAUUAUCAAUGACAACACUUUGUCACCAAUCAACUAAACAUUAGUCUCAAUGCAUUAUCCUUGUCCAAGCCCACAAUAAUACUCGACUAAGGACCUUUUUAAGAAUAAUCAUAUUCUUCUUAGAAAUUAUUAUUAACCAAUUUACUUAUACACACAGAAAAAGAAACUGAAAAAAUAAUGGCAAUGCCUUAUAUUAACAAACAAGGUCAAACGAGUAUGUGAUUACAAUCAUCUCAUGAUUGGUCUUUAUGCAUACACUAACAAGAUAAAGCAAAGAGUCAAUCAUAGACCUAUAUAGCUUUAAAUCAACACAUUUACCUUCCUCAUCUUUGUCAAGCUUUGUAGAAGAGCUCAUUGGAGUAGCUUGUGGUUUGGGAGUGUCCAUCCCAACCUUCUUGAGCAUUUGCUUGGUGUAUUUAGCUUGAUUGAUGAAGAUGUCAUCCUUUACUUGCUUGAUUUGGAGUCCCAAAAAUAAAUUUAGUUCUCCCUCAUCUCAAAUUCACAUUGCAUUAGCUUAGAGAAUUCUGGACAAAGAAGACCAUUAGUAGAACCAAAAAUGAUAUCAUUAACAUAAAUUUGAACUACUAAUAAAUCUGUAUUUUCUUUUGAUAAAAAGUGUUAAGUUAACCUUCUCUUUACAAAAACUUAUUUCAAUGAGGAAUUUUGAUAAUAUUUCAUACCAAGCUCUAGGAGCUUAUUUUAUACCAUAUAAGGCUUUUGAAAGUUUGAAAAUAUGAUUUGGAAAUUUUGAAUCUUAAAUAUUGGGUGGUUGUUCAACAUACACUUAUUCAUUUAUAAAACCAUUUAUAAAAGCAUUUUUAACAUCCAUUUGAUAUAGUUUAAACUCAUUAAAACAUGCAAAAGCUAAAAGCAAUCUAAUGACUUCCAUCCUAGCUAUGGGAGCAUAAGUUUCAUAAUAAUCUAUUCCUUCCUCUUGAGUGUAACUUUCAGCACAAGUCUAGCCUUAUUCCUCACUAUGUUACCACUCCCAUCUAGCUUGUUCCUCAAAAUUUCUUUCAACUAAGGUCCAAAGUUUACUUCUCUCAAAUUGAUUUAACUCUUCUUUAAUAGCAAAUAUCCAAUAUUCAUCAUUUAAUGCUUCUUUGAUAUUUUUAGGCUCAAUGUAUGAGAUAAAUGCAAUAUAGUUACAAGUAUUUCUAAAAGAAGACCUAGUAGUUACCCCUCUGGAUAGAUAUUCUAAAAUCUUACAUCAUUCACAUAGUUGAACUUUCUUAGAUGAGUGACUUCCAUUUCCUCUAUUACAAAAUCCUCUAGAGCAUCUUCUAUUUGUUCUUGAAUCUUCUCACUUGUUGAUUGAUCCACUUAAUCAUUAUUAUUAAAAAAAGUAUGCAUUAUCAUCAUCAAUACAAGAAUCCUUUCUAGGAGGAAGGUUAGAGUCAUAAAAAAUAUCAUGUAUAGACUCUUCUACUACUACAAUUCUUUUGUUAAAUUCCUUCAUCACUUUUUGCUUCAAAUUUACUAAGGUUGUCUUUUCCAUUAUCUACAACGAAACACUUUCAUCCCAAAGGAUGAAAAUAGCUAAUGUUAGGUUUUUUAUUUUUGAAAAGUUCAUGUGGAGUUUUCUUUAAAAUAGGCCUAAUCAUCACUCUAUUAUUAAUGUAACAAGCAGUGUUUGUGGCUUCCACCCAAAAAUAUUUUGGUAAAUUAUUUUCACAAAGCAUGGUUAUAGCCCUUUAUUCUAAAAUUCUAUUUUUCCUCUCAAAAAAUCCAUUUUGUUGUGGGGUUCUAGGUGCAGAAAAAUUAGGCUAAUUUCAUUUGAGUUGCAAAAAUUUUCAAAACCAAGAUUUUGAAAUUUGGUUCAAUGGUCAUUUCUAACACUAGUGAUAGAGUAACCUUUUUCAUUUUGAUUCAUUUUUGAAAAUGUGAUGAACUUUUCUAAAGCUUCAUCUUUAGUGCUUAAAAAGAGAAUCCAAGUAAGUCUAGAAUUGUCAUCAACAAGUACAAAAGCAUAUUGUUUUUCACCCAAGCUAGUUGUCCUAAUAGGACCAAACAAGUCUAUGUGAAUUAGUUGAAGAACUCUACUAGUUGAUACAUCAUUAAUAGGUUUAAAGGAAACUCUUUUAUGUUUACCUUUAACACAUGCAUCUCAAACUUUAUCUAAUUCAAAAUCAAUUUUAGACAAUCAUCUUACUAAGUCAUUUUCAGCUAGUUUACGCAAUAUGCUCAUGCUAGUGUCACGGGGCUAGACCUUUCGUCUCGCAAUCCGUGCGGCCUUAGGCGAUCCGUUCGUCCAAACUCGCCCAAGUUAGCCUUAACUCCCAAAAGAGAGGAUUCUUUUAGAACUCCUCCAAGGCACCAAUUUGUAUAGCGGAAGCGAUUAUGCCAAAAGAAGCCACAAGAGAACAACAGAAAGCUAAAGAAAGAAAGCACACAAAGUGUUUGAGUAAAUGCUCAAGAAUUCUAUUACUCUUAAGAAUUCAAGCUACAAUGGAUGAUUUACAAAUGAGGGGGAGGUUCUCUAUUUAUAGUUGAGCUCCCCCAAAACCGAUGGUCAAGAUACAUGUACAUCGACGGACGAGAUUCACUAUAUCCCUUGAUUUUAGGGAUUUACAAGAUUUACCAUAUCAAAUCUAAUCUAAUCUUACAAGAUAUGAUUCUAUUCUAUCUUCUAAGAUUAGUUACCAAAAUUGCCUAAGCUGCCAUGUCUUCAUCAUUGGGCCAACCAGGCUUCAAUCUGAUAGGCUUCUUUAGUAGCUCUCUGAAUCGGGCCAUUUCUUGUGGGCUAAAUGUCCCCCAUCUAAUCGAUAGACCUCCAUGGGGCACUUCUUGCGGCAUGGUCACGGGCUUUACACUUUGGCCCGUGACAUUCUCCCCCACCCAAUCUCGCAACGCCCUCGUUGCGUUUUCUGGAUGACACUGACUUGAUUCACUGUGAAACUUUCUCGUUGCCUCGGCUUCUUCCCGACUCAUCUUACGAUCAGGUUGUCCCUUCCUUCGGAACUUAUGCCUCGACUUCCCUCGCCUCUUAUCUUGAACCGUUCCACUCGUUGGUACAUUUUGCUGGCAAGAAGUCUCUGCUAUAACUUGCCCCAAUUUUGACUUGUUUCUGUUGGAAUCCCCUCGAUUCUCAUACCUCGGCUUCGUACCACCCACUUUGAAAGGGCUCCUACGACCUUGCCAAGCCAACAAGUCAGAAUUCAAAACACUAUCAGAGUGUUUGCAAUGUACCUUACUCGCAGCAUUUACUCAUCUCGACUGUCCUUGCAUCGCUUCUUUUCCUUUGAAGCCCGAUGCACAACCCACCUUUCCCAAAGGUGUCAGCUCCACAGUCGAUCCCGCAGGCUUCAUAUCGGUCCCUUGUGCCACUAACACUUCCGAAGGGGCUUUCGUAGCAUUCCGUUUCGACGAUUUAAUGUUUCUCCCAUACGAAACAUCUUCAACUAGUUGGAUUGACGAUAACACCUUAGUCCCAACUUUCACAUCCCGAUGCACCGGUACAAUACUCUUUGUUGAUGAAUUUGAUCGGCCCAUGGUUGCAAAGUUGCCUGAAUCCUGACAAGGAAGUUUAAGCCAAGCACAAAAUCGUAAUCAUCUAAUUGGAUUACCUCGAAUUCUUCCUUGCUCUUCCAUUUGCCGAUUUGUAGUUCCACAUCACGAACUACUCCUACAGUUGGGGCUUUCUCAUAAGUAGCUACCUUGAUCUUCUUAUUCGAUUUCUUAAUCGACAGACCAAGCUUCUUCGCAGCCUUUUCCGACAUGAACAAGUCCGAUGCUCUCGUAUCAAUAAGAGCACUCCGCUUCUGACCCGCAAUUUUGAUGUCCACAAACAUCAACCCAUUUUCAUUCCUCUUCCUAGGAAUGAGUACCAUCGAAUUGACUUUUGAUGUGUUUCCCUCGGUAGGCUUCGCCUCCUCCUUCGGCUCAUCCUCCUUUGUCAAAAUCAUCACUUUAUUUGGACAUUUACGCGCCAUGUGUGGUCCUUGACAAAGGAAGCAUUUCAUCUUCUUCCUCUUGUCCCUUGGGUUGUCUAAUCCCCGCUUCGCAUCUCGUGGUUUCCCAUUGCCACUCGUGCUAUCAGUACUGUUGCCCCCAUCGCUAUGUCCCCUUUCAUCUUCUACAUGGUUUCUCUCACCAUUGCCCCUUCCAUUGGGCAUAGAUGCCUCAAGCUUGUCUCCCGCCGGAUCAAGCUCAACAAAGGACUCUGCUACGGCCAUGGCUAUAGUAAGUUCGGUGAUUCCUUGCCUUCGCAACUCAUGCUUUGCCCACGGCUUUAACCCAUCCUCGAACCAAUAGAAAGCUUCUUUCUCACUCAAGUCGGAGAUUUGAAGCAUCAACUCGCUAAAUGCCCGCACAUACUCCCGAACAGUGCCUUGUUGCGUGUGACGACGUAACUUUGCCCGAGCCUCUUUCUCGGCAUACUGAGGGUAAAACUGCUUCUUCAACUCUCUUUGGAAUUGCUCCCAAGUUCCAAUAGCCGUUCCUCCACGUUUCUCAUCUGUGGACCUACGUCGCCACCACAAGAGAGCAAUAUCAGUAAAGUAAAUUGAAGCAGUGUUUACCUUAAUGGCAUCAUCCUCGAUGCCCAUCACUCGGAAUUAUUGCUCCAUUUCCCACAAGAAGUUGUCCACAUCCCUCGCGGAUCGUGCACCCUUAAACUUCUCCGGUUUGGGAACAUCCAUUGCUUGUUGCUUCGACCUUGAAGACAACAUCCCAUUACUCAAAGCGGCUUUGUAGAUCGCGAGCUCCCCCUUAAGCUCCUCCAUUUCCUUUUGCAUGGCUAGCACCAUAUCCUCGAGAGCUUCAUCCCUCUCUGCUAGCUUUACCUCAGUGGACUCGAGUAAUUUCGUUAUCUUUUCCCUAUUUGCACCGAGAGAAUCCAACACAAAAUCUCUAAGUUGCUCCUCCAUUGAGUCCAACCCAUCUGUGCAUCCCUCGACCAACUCAAGCGUCUCUUUCACAUUUCCUACGGAUUCCUCGAGAUUGACCACUCGGUUCUCCAAAGCUGUCAGCAUUUCCCUCGAGCAACUGGCUUUUCUAGCCCUCCCACGGGUCUCCAUUGGCUCACUCUGACCAACGACUUCUUUCGACAACCCAACAGUGCUUUCGAACCACUCGAAUAUAACUUGGUUCAAAACUUGGCUCGGAUACCACUUGUCACGGGGCUAGACCUUUCGUCUCGCAAUCCGUGCGGCCUUAGGCGAUCCGUUCGUCCAAACUCGCCCAAGUCAGCCUUAACUCCCAAAAGAGAGGAUUCUUUUAGAACUCCUCCAAGGCACCAAUUUGUAUAGCAGAAGCGAUUGUGCCAAAAGAAGCCACAAGAGAACAACAGAAAGCUAAAGAAAGAAAGCACACAAAGUGUUUGAGUAAAUACUCAAGAAUUCUAUUACUCUUAAGAAUUCAAGCUACAAUGGAUGAUUUACAAAUGAGGGGGAGGCUCUCUAUUUAUAGUUGAGCUUCCCCAAAACCGACGGUCAAGAUACAUGUACAUCGACGGACGAGAUUCACUAUAUCCCUUAAUUUUAGGGAUUUACAAGAUUUACCAAUCAAAUCUAAUCUAAUCUUACAAGAUAUGAUUCUAUUCUAUCUUCUAAGAUUAGUUACCAAAAUUGCCUAAGCUGCCAUGUCUUCAUCAUUGGGCCAACCAGGCUUCAAUCUGAUAGGCUUCUUUAGUAGCUCUCUGAAUCGGGCCAGUUCUUGUGGGCUAAAUGUCCCCCAUCUAAUCGAUAGACCUCCAUGGGGCACUUCUUGUGGCAUGGUCACGGGCUUUACACUUUGGCCCGUGACACUAGUAUGUUCCAGUUUUCUAUGCCACAAUAGAGAAUUAUUUUCAUUUUUAGCAUCAAGGCAUAUGAUUUAAUCAUGCAAAUCAUCUAAAUACACCAUAUAUGUAGACACUCAUUUUUGUUCGAGCCGAAUUGGAGGCCCAUUUGUUCCCUUUAAAUAUUUGUUCUCUCUUAGGCCCAUUCGAAGCCCACUCGAUUUUGAUCAAAUAGAGGCCUCUGUUUUUCUUUUCUUUUUCUUUCCUUUUUGGGCUUAUCAAGGGCCCAAAUUAUUAUUAUCAUUACUACUGUUAUUAUUAUUAAAUAUUAACAUUAUCUUUUUUUAGGGCCUAAAGCCUAAGCUGUUUCAAUAGUCAACUAGGGUUCCAGCAACCCUAGCCUCUCAUUUGCACCCAUCACAAACAUCAAAAAUAGCUCCAAACCAUUAAUCAACAGAUCAAUAGAAACAUAAAAAAAUUACAGAUAAACAAGAUUGAAAAAUAGUAUAUAUACAUGAAAUGAAAUGAAAGAAAAAAAAAAGGGGGCUUUUCAUAUUCUGGUUUUUUUCAGUAAAAAAAACAACAAUAACAACAGCAAGCAUGGUAUUUCCUUUUUUGUUCUUCUUUUUUUCCAUAUACAUAUCUUAAGGGAUCGGGUUUGGACUCUGAUGAAGGGGACGUCAGCAACACGUCGGUCCUCCACCUUUAGGAGCCCAAAAUCCUGUUUUUUUCUUGAUCUUGGGAAAGUUUUGGUUUUUGUUUUUUUUUUAAAGAGAAAGUUUAGAUUUUUAAAAAUAAAAAUAUUUAUUUUUAGUCAAAUUUCUUUUCAACUAUUUUGAAAUAAAAGCUUUGAUCUUUAAGAAAAGUUGUGAUAUUUUAAAAGAAAACUUUGAUUUUCUAAAAAAAAAAAAGGGAUUCCGGUCACCGUAUGCGCUAGCUCCACCAUCGAAAAAUGAAGAGCCGUUAGGCUCUUCGAUGGUGGAGCCAUGGCCAACACAGAAGGAGGAAAAUAAGGAUGAAGAGUUUUUUUUAAUGAGGUUAAAAAUGAAAUAAUGCAGUUUUUUUCCUAUUUAUAGGUGCCAAAAUGGGUAAUUUAUUGUCAUCCCUCUUACUUUUUAAAUUUAUAAAGAAAACCUCAUUUUUUGCAAUGCUACCCUCACUCUCUGGCCUAUUUACACUUGUAACCCUUUUUUGUUUAUUCAAACUUUCGAUUUAAUUCAAAAUUUCAAAAUUAAAAGCAAAUUAUUCUCUACAUCUGCCUUCUACCUUCCACAUUUUUUAUCUUUUAAUCCAAAAAUCAAGUUAUGUCAUUUUGUUUCCAUCUUUAAUAAGUUAUUUACAUUUAUAUAUUCUCUUUCAUUUGAAUAUUUUCCUUAUAUAUUUGAUGUCAAUUAUGAACUUUAUUUUAAUUUUUUAUAUUUAUUCACACCUAUAAAAUUUUUAUUUAUUCUUAUUUCAUCUUUAUUUAUUUUCAUGUCUAUUUAUAUUUAUGUUUUUUUACACAUUCCUCUUACAUACAUUUUAAUAUUAUUUGUUUAUGUUGAUUUAAUUCUUUAAUUGUAUUAUGAAUAAGGUAUCUUAUUUUAUUAUUAUCAUCAUCAUGUGAAGGUCAUAUUUCUUUCAUUUAUUUAAGUUUACUUUUUGUUGUUGUCCUUUUUGAAAUAGUUUUAACUUUUUCAUUAACUUUAGCCAAUUUAAUAUGUUUUUCCUAUUUUAUUACUAUUCAUUUUAAAAGAGGGAACUUUAGGUUAUUUUUCCAUCCUAUAAAUGUUAACAUGAAGUUAUUUAAGUAAGGGUUGCAUUUUAAUGAAACCAUAAGAUUCUUUUUUUACAUUUGAAUUCAGGUUAGUCUUUAAGAUUUUAUCAACCAUUUAUCCUAGAAAAGUUAUAAAUAAUAUGUAGGAUAUUUUUUUAUUAGGGUUUUAAACUAAUUUUAAAUAUCGUAUAAUAUUCUUCUUUAGAAUCUCAAACUAAUAUGUAAAAAUUCUUUAGGACUUUAUUCAAGAUUAAAACUAAGGAUUUUUGUAGGUGAAUUGUGAAUCAUAAGUAGAUCUUUCUAAGUAUUUUAUUUUAGAAACUCUUUAAGAAAGCUAAUAAAUGUUAUUUAAUAUGUAUUAUUUUAGGAUUUUGAUGAAUUUAAACCUUAGAUCAAGAAUUUUAAAGUAAGAUAAAUUAUAAACCUGGCAUAGGAUACUUUCGUAAGAUCUUGAUAGGUUCAAUGUUAUUAAUUAAAUCUUUUAAGAAAAUAAUAAUAAAAUAUCGAAUAAGUUGUAGAUGGAUUUUAAUAUUUCUCUUAAUUCAUUGGUAAUUUCUAGGUUUUUUUAGCAUUCCAAAAUAGAAUUAAUUUUAGGAAUUGAAUGUAUUUUACUAGAAUUAUUUAGGUAUCCUUUAGAGUUUUCGUUAAAAAUAAAAAUCUCUAAUUUAAGUUUCAAAUUAGAUAAGUUUGGUAAACACAUCUUAAUCGAGUUACAAGUAAACUGGAGGCAUUUUAUUUAGAGUUUUUAUUUAAGAUUUCCAUAAGAUUUUAGUCUAGAUUAAGACAUUAAUAUGCUUAAAUAAAAAACUUAGCUCCCAAAACCCCGUAGGACUAUCCUCGGAUAAGUGUUGUGGGGAUGCUAUAACCUUCCUCACACUUAGUCGUACUCCUGAACCCAAAAUUUGAUGAUGAGAUCGAGUCUAGACUUUUAGGAUUUUUCCGUAGUAUUAAUUCUAAGCUUUUAGACGAUAGGGUGUUACAUCCAUUAGUGAUGACUCUACAUUAAUGUAGGCCCUCCAUGUCUAACUUUGCUUACUAGGCCCCCGUACUCUUAUGUAGGCAACGUUAUGACAAUAUAUAUUUCUUAUCCUAUGUCCUACAUCCAUUAGACUCAAAAAUGACAUUGAGACCACUAUCACACAAUUGGCUAAUACUAAGUAGACUAUGAUUAAGACCAUUGACAUAGACAACAUUUUCAAUAAGAACUGAAAAGCUUGUACCGAUAGAGUCGAUUCCUUCUACUUGUUCUUUAGAGUUAUCACCAAAUGUGACUACUCUAUUUUUUUGCUUCAAAUUGGUGAAGUGGCUCUGGUCACCGAUCAUGUGCUUUGAGCAUCUACUAUUAAGGUACCAUGAGUUUUUGAAUUAAUCCUCCACCUUGAAGCAAUGCUCCUCUUCCUACAAAUAUACAAUUAAGCUUUAAUUUUUGGUACCCAAAUUCUUUUAGGUCUAUAAACAUUAGUUCCUAUAAUUUUAGUCCCUUUAGGUAUCCAUUUUGAAAGAAUGUAUUUAUCUUAAGUACUUAUGAGUCUUUUUGGGACCCAUACACUUUUAAUAAGUUUUCCUUUGUAAAAAUUUUGUUUUGAACUUUCUUCUCUUAAAAAUCUAUGUUCAAACUUUGUUAGAGUGAGUUUUUUCACUCUUAAGCAACUCAAGUUGCUUUUGAUAAUCAUCAUGAACUUUACACAGAAAAUUAUGCAAGUCAAAAUUCUUUUUUCUCAAAAUCAUUUAUACUAGCUUACAUAUUAUUUAUUUUACUUUCAAGUUCCUGUUUGAAUUUGGAGAGUAAAUUAGUUUCCUCUUUUAGUUUUGAAAUAGGUUCUCCAUGUUUUGAACCAUUAAUUCAAAUUCCAAACCCAACUCAUCAUAGGCAUCUUGUAACUCAUCAAAAGAAUAAGAAGUUGAAUUGGAUGAGUCAGAAGUUACCUUAGAGUCGUCGAUGGCCAUAAGACAAAGAUUGGUUACUUCUUGAUCUUCAUUGUCAGAUGAAUCCUCAUCACUCAAAGUAGCAACAUGAUCCUUAAGCUUUUGUUUGCUUAACCCUCUUUUCUUCCAUUGAGGACAAUCAAAAUUAAGGUGUCCUAGCUUCUUGCAUUCAUAGCAUAUGAUGGAGUCCUUCUCCUUGGAAGAUUCAAUCUUAACUCCUUCCUUCUUUUGGAAUUUUCUUCCUUUAUUGGACCUCAUAAACCUCUUGAAUCUUCUUGCAAACAUGAUCAUCUCUAAAUCCUCAUCCACAUCAUCACUAGCAUUUCCUUCUUCUAUUGUGGACUUGAAGGCAAUGCCAACCUUCUUUUUUUCAACUUUUUCUUCUCCUUUAUUCACUCUUUACAACUUGAUUUCAUGAGUGAGCAAAAAACCAAUCAGCUCGUCUAAUGAAAGAGUCUCCAAAUUUUUAGCUUCCUCUAUAGUUGUAACUUUGGAAUCCCACGACAUUCGCAAGCUUCUAAGCAUUUUUCGCACUACUUCUUUAGUGGGAUAGAACUUUGUAAGAACACCGGUACACCUUAUGGCGCACUGAAAAAACAUUAAAUCCGGCGAUCACAUCCAGGGAUCCAUGUGUGAGGAACAAAUUGGGGUGAGAAGGUUAUGAACAAUUACCUUUAAUCGUCUAAAAAACCAAAGAUAACUAUUGUGAAACUGAUUACGCAAUUGUAUGUCGAUUCCAAGCUGUUAGAAAAAGUUUCGGCCUCUACGUAACCCACCCGGUGUGACGACAAACGAUAAGAACUCUCUUAAACUUUUUCAGAAAGAAUUCACUAUAUAAUGGCUGCUAGACCUCACUCUUUUCAUUUCAGGUAUAUUAGGUUCUUAAAAACCUUAUAUUUCCUAAUUCGGGAAUAGUUGAUAUUUUAAUAUGAAUAAAAAUUUAUUAUAAUAAUUAACCGAAUAUAAUAAUUAUAAUCACCAUAAUUAUAAUAAUGUUUGACCGAAAAAUUACACUUACAAUAAUUAGAAUAAUAUUCUAUCAUAAAUUAUAUUUCGAAUAAUUAUAACAAGGAUUUCGGUAAAUUAUGUUUAGUUAAAUUUUAUAUAAAUCAAAUUCAUAUAUAUUAAUUUAACCAUGUUCUCAUUAUGUGUACAACAUACUUGUACAUAUAAUUUGUUUGAUAUUUAACUUCUCAAUUAUUUAACCAUGUUAUAAUUUGUUGUGAGUCGAGCAAGUAAAUUAUUUAAAUAUUAUUAUUACGAUGAUUUAUCGAGCCUAGAUGAACGUAGGAUAGGAUACAAUCGGCAUGCCAAUAGGUUUUACUUCACACGGUACGGGUUUUGACUUGUGAUGAGAUGGUGAUUAUUGAUAUGUUUCUGUCCAUUGAAUAUAUCGAAGUUCAGCAUUUGUUACGGAUUAUUGUGUUAUAUUUACAGUGAUUCUGGUGUAUUACUGGGGGUAGAUGUAUAGCCUACAGGCUUGCUACCUGGUGCCCAAGUUUGUUCUGGAGGGAUGUUAGCCUACAGGCUAGGCACUUGGUGAUUUAAAUGUAGCAUAAUUGUAUUACAUGAUAUGGGAAUGUUUGAUUGAAUGGUACAAAUUAUUGGAAAUAUUAAGUUUAUGUGUGAUUUAAAUGCAUGAAGAAUUUUCUAUGAUGUAUAUUGAAAAUGUUGCUAUUUAUGCACAAUGAAAUUCGUAAAGUAUGUGAAGUUAAACGAAAUUGAUAGAUACAAUCAUAAUGGUAAUUUGAAUGUUUGAACUCUAUUUCCAUUUACUAAAAGUAUGUGAUUAUUGAGGGCAUCUUGAACAUGUCAAAUUAAAUUUGAAAAAUAUUGAAAUAUUAUUAUGAUUUGUAUGACAUAUUGCAUGUGCAUUGGAAUGGGAUUUUGUAGUUGACAGAGGAGUUCCGUGGAGUACCGACGGCAUAUUAAGUCCGCAUAUAUUUGUAGUCAGUGCACUGCAUUGGGAGUACCAAGGGGAUUGGCGAUUAUAUCGCAUUAUUUUUUAUUUGGCAAUUUCACUACAUUAUUGAUUAUUGGUGGUUUUACCACAUCGAGCUCUGUUCAUAUACAUUGGAGUUUGGCAGAUGAAUUUUAGGGAACUCGUGGUGUGUAGCAGAUAGUAUGGGUAGGAUCUCACAUGUGCAUUUGUCACAAUCAUGUGCAUUUGAAAUUACUAUUAAUAAUGUUUGAUUGUGCUAUUGGUAUCUCUAUGAAAUUGUUUGUAUGAAUGCUUAAUACUUGCUUGUUUAGUCUCACACUAAGCUUGUUAAACUCACUCCAUUACCUCAACUUCUCAGGUAAUGAUCGAACUUAGGAUCGGAAUUGGCAUGCGGUCGUAUGGCGGACUUUGAACUUCACUUCAUCAUAUUAUUUUAAUUUAAUUAUAUUUUUAGGUUAUUUUACCUUUAUUGUUCAUUUUUGGAUUGUAAAGUUUCUUUAUAUGGUGGGGGACUAUUAGAGACUUUUGGGGUUUACAUGCAUGCAUGACACUCAUAUUUGGUACAGAUGCACGGUUUCUAUAUAUAUAUAUAGAAAUGGACUAUGCAUGAUAUAUGGCUAAGUUAAUAAUUUGACUAGUAAUGGUACUUUCAGCUGCUAAGAAGAUAACGAACUGAUUUUUCUAAAGCAAUGUUGACAAUUAGGUUUUAUACAAAUUCACAUUUUCGCUAAUUUGACUAAAGUAUAGUUAGACUAAGGUGUCCGAUGUGGCCUUCACGAUUCGGUCGUAAUGUCUAGGCCUAGUUUGGGAGGUUACAUUUAGUGGUAUUAGAGCCUUAGUUCAAAACCUCGAACUCAAUUUUUAAAUCUUUUUAAGUAAGUUUACAUGCAUGCAUGCAUGCGUACAUGAAAAGGGAAAAUUUUGGGGAAAAACAAACCACAGUGAAUUUGAAAAAUGCUUUAUACAGGAAAAGAUGAAGUCCAAAGAUCCGAUGCCAAGUCCAUAGAAAUAGUAUUGAAACUUUAGGUAGAUUAGAAAGACUAUUGCGUAAAAAUUUAAGGAAAAAAUUAUAAACUGUGAGUGCAUAAAAGACUAAACAAAGUACUAAAAGCUCUUACUUGUAAAUUGUAGAUUCAUAAAUCCCAUAAAUGAACACACUUAGAAUGUUAACUCGUGGUAGGAGGGGCCGAAGGGAGCAACCUCUGAGGACUCUGAUUGAGUCAGCUGCAUCAUUAGGGCCAAAACAAGAUAAUGAACAAAAUAAGGUUAACAAUAAACCCAUUAGUGAGGGUGGGAAUAUGGAAAAUGGGAAUAAUAGUGAUGACUAUGUUGAGAAUGAUCCAAUAACUCAAGCUUUAUUGAGGGACUUGAAUAAGCUUGUUGGGGCUCCAAUAUGAGGUGUUAGUCAUGGGAUAAUUUCUAACAGCCCAAUUUUAGUGAAAUCAGAACUAUGGUUUUGGGACUACAAAUUCAAAGAGUAAAAAUUUAUUUUAUUAUUAUUUUAAUAUCUACAGUAUGCUAGUAGUUUUGUAUAAAAAUUUCGUUAAGAAAUUUUGACGUUUGCAUGUUUAAUUAAGUGAAAAAGACUAAAUUGUAAAAGUGCAAAAGUAGGUUUCUAUUAGUUAAAGGUAUCAAAUGGCUAUAGAAUUUUAAAUUUAUAGGACUUAAAUGGUAAUUAGACCAUUAAUGAGGUUAGUGGAUAUAUGUGGCUUCGUAUUAAUAAAAUUUUGGUGUUAAGUAAAGGUUAAAUUUGUAAAUUAAUAAAAUAAGUUAAAGUAAAAAUAAAACAAACAAAAUGUCAUCUUCCUAAAUUAAUUUAUUCCACCAAAAAUACAUGAAGGAAAAAGCCAUGGAUAGGGUUUGAAGCUUCAGUUACUUUGCUAGCUUGCAUGGUUUGUGUUUUGAUCCCGUUUUUAAUUAUUUUUAUGUUUUCGGGAUUGUUGUAGCUUAAUCUAACCAGCCCAUCAACUAAUUUGCAAAACUAUUAAAGGUUUAGGGUUUUUCCAUGAAUUUUCUUACAUGAUUUAUGAAGUUUGAUGAAAGAUUGUGAGUCCUUUUUGCUAAAUAAACAACUUUUGUAAAGUGAUUUUUGAUGAAAUUAUCAUUUAGGGACUUAUUCGUAAAAGUAGUAAAAUAUCAUGAUAAAAUUAUGAAUUGAUGAUUUGUGUCGGUUGAUAUGAGUCCCUAGGUAAAUCGGCAAGCAUGAUAUGUGGGUGAAAUUGCAUAAAUUAUCAUUUACUAGCUUAAGGACUAAAUUGUAAAUAAGUUAAAAUAAUAUGGGAAAGUGUAAUUUUGUAAAAGUAUGAAUUUUGGACUAAAUUGAAUAGAAUAAAUAUUAAAUGGAUUGAAUUUGCUUAUUUAGAUCAAGUUAAGCCUCAUACGGAUCUAGAUCGAGAGAAAGAUAAAGUCCCGGAUUAGUUGAUUCUAUUUUGACAUCUUUAAAAUAGAGUUAAGUUCGUAUGUUUAAAUAAUGUUUUAAUGUUAUUUUAUUUAUAUGCUAUUAUGCUAUUUAUCAUGUCAUGUUAUGAUAGAAAUCUAACGACGUUUCGAUGACUAUCCCAUUUGAACCUAAACAAAUGACAUGUCAUUAGGGUUACCAUGUUUCGGGUGCUGGUCCUGAAUGUCCUACCGAUGGCUGAGUUCUGGCAUUUCUUGCGGAAACUCGUCAGCUUGUGUGAACGGUAUCAUGUAGCUACAUUUCGACCGUUGGCUUGUGUGAGCAGACCCAUUUAUGGCUCGAGUUAGCAUUGAUGUAAAGGAAAAGGAAUGGUUUCGACCAUAUAUUAGCACACUUUGUGUGAGCUUCUCGCAUAUCUGAUAUUAUUCUAAGUGGUUCAACGUGCAUGUAAGGGAAGGAACGGUAAGUCUUCCAAUCAACUCUAUUAUGAACUUAUGGAAAGGUAAGAGUUGAUGUUAAUCAAAGUAUGUAUAACCAUGUUUAUAGAAAAUAUGAAUUCCAAUGUGCUAUACUCAUGAAAUCUAUUUUACCAUGUGAUGAUUUUGGUUAAGUUAUGUGUUUAAGCACUAACUUGUGUUGUUGAUGAUGCAUAGGCUUGUGUCAAGCUACGUUGGAUUGAUUCAUGUCUAUUUUAUAAGAUUUUGCAUUGAAAUGGUAAGCUAUGUUCAUGAUUUACGAACUUACUAAGCACUAUAUGCUUACAUUGUUUUCUUUCUUAUGUUUUAUAGAUUAUCGAAAGCUCGAUCGGUUUGGAAGCUCGCCGUAGAUCUAUCACACUAUCUAGAGAUAAUAUCGAUAGUUUUUUUUUUAUGUUUUAGUCAUGGUUAUAAUGGCAUGUAUAAGUGGACUUGUGUUUAAUGAUCUAGUUGUAUGUUUGGAAUGUAUAUAUGGUAUUAUGGUUGGUGUGCUUUUGGCACUUUGAUGCCUUGAUGGUUGGUGUUGAUAUGGCUAAGUGGAUGUUUGUUUUGAAUGACCAAUUUGGUUGUUAGGAUUUGACUUGGUAUAUGGUCAAUUAUGUUAUGUUUUGGUAUGGAAAUAAGUAGUUGUGUAUGGAUGAUUUAUGGACAAAUAUGCAUAUGCUUAGACAUUUUUUAUGGUUGUGUUGAUGUGCCUAUAUGGCAUAUUGGUUGGAUGAAUAAAUAGCCUUUUGAAUUGGUCUUAUUAUGCAUGUUUUGGGAAUGAUUUAAGGUCUUGUUUAUAUGUGCAAAUGACUUGUAGGUACAUGCUUGAAUUGGGUGAAAAAAAUGGCUUGAUUUUUGCUUAUUUCUUGUCCACACGGCCACAGACACGAAUGUGUCUCUCAGUCGUGUGUGACACACGGCCAUGCGACACGGUCGUGUGUCCCUUAUAUGUUUUAAAAGUUGCAAGUCAGGCAGUUACAUGGCCUAGCACAGGGCCUAGCACACGGGCGUGUGGCUUGGCUGUGUAACCCAAGUCAGAGAGUUACAUUGGCACAGACAUGCCUUGGGACACGACCGUGUGUCCCUAUUUCGAAUGUUACACGGCCUGAGACAGGGGCAUAUGUCUCAGCCGUGUGGGUCACACGGCCAUGAGACCCUUACUACUUGAAUUUUUUCUAACUUUUUCCUUAAUGUUUCAUAUGUUCCCGAUUUAGUCCCAAACUAUUUUUAAAGUGUUUCUAAUGCCUUGAUGGCUUGACUAAAGGACAAUGUGCAUGUGUAUGAAUGGAUUAUACUAUGGUUAUUAUAAUGUUUGGAAUUGACUAUUUUUAAGUUACGUUUAUACGGUAAUACUUCGUAACCUUAUUCCAUCGACGGAUACGGGUUAGGGUGUUACACAAUUGCUGAGAGGCUCUGCUCUAGUGGGCCAGAAUUGUUUAAGGGUAUUGCUGGAGCUACUCCUAUAGUGGUUGAGUACUAGAUGGAGGCAACUGAACAGAUUUUAGAGUAUUUGGAUUGCACUCCUAAGUAGAAACUUAAGGGUGUCUUAUCUCUUUUAAGGGAUAACUCAUAUCAGUGGUGGCAAUUAGUGGUUAGGGGUACGCUGUCAUAGCGUAUUAUUGUGCUUAUUUUCAAGAGACCUUUCAGGGUAAGUAUUUGAGACCUCACUAUGUGGAGGCCGGACGAUUGGAUUUUAUUAAACUUAAAUAGAGAGACAAGAUAGUUUCUCAAUAUGAGGCAAAAUUUCUAAGGUUGAUCCGCUAUGCACCUAAUAUGGUGGCGUCUGAGCAGGAAAAGACUUUCUGUUUUCAGGAGGGUCUAAGGUAUGACCUCAAGGUUCAAGUGGCUCCACAGUAAGAGCAUGUGUUUGAGGCUUUGGUCAAGAAGACCAAGAUUACUAAAGAGAUUAAGGACGUGAAGCACGAGGAGAAUGGGAAACAAGGAGAUCAGCCCAAAAAUGAAACGAGUCUGUAAACCCCCAAAAUUUCUAAUUUCAUUUUUGUGAAAAUAUGACACAAAUAUUUGUCAGAAUUAGUGGUUAUGUGUUCUGGGAGUGUUUGGGAGGUCUCAAGUUCAAGCCUUCGCUUGAGCAAAUUUUGGUAUUUUGAAUGAAUUAGGUCUUACUCUUGUUUAGUAGGCUUUUAUUGGAUUGUUGGGUAAAUUAGAUUAGAAUGGGCCUGCUAGUCUGGUGGUUAAAUAGUGUGUUAUUAUGGUGAAGGUCUUGUGUUCGAAUCCCUAUGCAGUCAAGGGUAUUAUUUUUUGCUCAGAUUUCGGGAUUGAGUUGUGUAAUAGAGGGAUUCUGAGUAGUGGAUGUGUAGUGGGAAUUAGGGGAGAAGAUUAAGGAAUUUUGGGGGUUAUUGGGAUUUCAUUUUAUUUUUUUCCCGUAACCGAAUUUUGACUCUCUUUACCAAAAAAACUUUUGUUGGCUAUUCUUCUCCCUCUUCUCUUGCGAAAAUUCUCUGAGUUUUUCAAUCUUUCUCUUCUUUUUCUUCUUCUUAAUUUUUCCCUAAUCCAUUUAUUUUCCUUUGUUUUCGCACGCGGUUAGUGCUCGCUUAGUUUUGAUAAGUGUUUCUCUUCAUUUCUAUCAUGAAUCUCUUAACGAAAGAAGUGAUAAUGUUUUUCUCUGCGAUUUGGGCAUAAAGGCUUAGGCUGGUGAAUUCAGUGUUCUCGUCCUAACAAUAGUUAAAUGCAAAGUUAUCCUUGGUGGUAAGUUGGGUUUCUCUUCGUUCUUGGUUGUCAAUUCGCUUGUAAAUCCAUUAAAUUGAUGUUGAGUGUCUUAAUUAUAGGUUUUGGAGUGCUCGGGGACUGUUUUAACAUCAAACAAAAUCAGGUGUGUACCCGAAACGCAAAAAAAAAGAUUCAGCGAAAAACCGAAAUUGUUUGCUGUUUGGACAGCAGCAGUAAGCUAAUUUUGAAAAAUCGCCAUAAAUUUUGGAAAUCAAAUUAGAGGAUGAAAAAAAUAUGGAAUUAAAGCUUAUUAAGUUAGUUUCUCAUAGAAGAAACAGUGUAAGCAAAGGAAUUGUAAAUCGUGAGGUAUAACAAAAUUUGUGAGACAAAGUCAGAUUGAAUUUGGGUUCCCCCAUUCUGACUUUGGAAAAUCAUCAAAAAUUGGAGAAAAAUAAUUAGGGGCUAAAAUUUACAUGUUUAAAUUAAUAAUGAGUCUAUUCUCAAUAGAAAUAAAUGGAAACAUCAUUCAAAUUUUGUACUAAGAGAUAAUUAAUUUUUAGCAAAGAAGGGACAAAGUUGUUAGACAGUAGAAUAGAGGUAAAUUUGAAGAUUUUGCUGUACUUAUUGGCUGAACUAAAAAUUCUAAAAAAAAAUUGAUAUGAAGGUAUUUGAGUCUAGUUUCAAAAACAUCAAGUGGAUCGUAAUUCGAAAUUAUGUAGCUCAAGAUAUAAAUAAUUUAGUAACAGCGACUCAAGUAGACAGCUUUGAAGAAACAUAUAAGUAAAUAGUGAAAACAUAUAUGAAUAAUUAGCUAGCACAGGUUACAUUAAAAAUGGAUCACAUGGCCAAGGCCAAUUUGGACCGAGUGGGCCACAUGGGCGUGUGAGCCCAUUUUUCUGAAAAGUUCUGUAAGGUUGCACGGGUCGCCCAAGUCGACUGUGGACCUACUGUAGGGUCGGUAAGCUUUACUUAGACCCCUAUAUGUGUGAUCUAUCUGUCUGAUUUCUAUACCGAGCAUGACUUAGGAUAUCUAAAUGUAUGUACUAUUAAUUGCAUAAUGGCGUGACAUAUUUUGUAUGUUGCAUUGCAUCGAGGAAGGUUGAUGAUAUUUGGAGAAAGUGUCUGAAAGUCUAUUAAGUUUGUUAUCUGGAAACUCAGCUGCAACCUUCUGAUUGUGUGUCGCAUUUUGGUACAACAUGGUGUGUAGGGAUGGGUGGGUUGAUUUAAUCCCCACAUGGUGUGUAGGGUUGAACAGAGAUGGUGUGUAGAGGCUGGUGGGUAGGAUUCUGAUUUACUCUAUAUGUAUUCUUUAUCUGAUAUGGGUCAAGGCCCUAAUGUAUUUCUGAGACUGUAUCUGAAUGGGCUAAGCCCAAACUGAUUCUGUGAUAGGCACGGGCCCCAGACUAUCUCUAACUGGAUUCUGUUAUUUAUCUGUAUGCAUGUUUUAUGUGGGGAUUACACACUGAGUUUACAAAAACGUACCAUUUCUCUGUUUAAUCUGUACAAGUAAUCCCCAGACUUGAUGGGUCAGUGCAGCAGAGGACUCGACGGUGGCCACACGUAAAUUUUAAACUAUUUUCCAUUAAUGCCUAGAAUUUAUUACUUAUUUGGGAUUUUUGAUGUAUCUUCUGGACUAUGGACUGGUUGGCUUUAAAUUUUGGACUUCAUAUUAUUUUUUAUGGAUUUUUUUUUAAAACUGCAAUUCUAAAAAACACGACUUUUUUCUACAAACUAAAUUUUUUUGUUAAUAGAAACGAUUUUCCCUAAAUUAAUUGGUUACAAAAGCUUUCUCUAAGAGACAAGUUUUAAAGCAAAUCAACUAGGUUUUUUUCAAAUUUGAUAAAAGCUAACUUACUGUAACGGUUUUUAAACUCGACAAUCUUAUCUUCAAAUCCCUUUCCAUGUGACAUCACUAGAUUCAGCCAUAACAUCGAGGCUGGGUUUUAGAUGUUACAUUUAGUGGUAUCAGAGCCAAGUUACAAAAAUCGACUGUGGAUUUGGGUUUUAAAACUUGGUUUUAAAGAGAUGAUUUUUAAAUGGUUUGAAAUAUUUUUGACUGAGUAUGUGGUACAUCGAUUCUCUGGCGCCAAUUUUGUAAGUGUUCUAAAACUUCUGGUAAGUUUUUGAAAAUAUGAGUAGCAUAUUCUGAAACUAUUAUAGGUAGUACACUGUAGUGAGAACACUCUAAAUAGUGUAUACUAAAAACAGUAGCGACAUUAAAAUUGUAGUAAGACUACGAUUCGUGAUAACAAACUCUAAACUUCUAAUACUAUUUUGCAUAAAAUAUCUACAAAUAGAUAUCAAAACUGUAACCAAUUCAUAAAACUGUUAACACAGGUAAGCUAUGAAUUCUACGAUGAGUGCACGAGGUAUCCGCGGAUAGGGUACUAAAGGCCACAGUAGAGGCUGUAAAGGGGCUCGAGCUGAGUCCUUGUCGUUAGACAGCAUGCCAAAUCUGGAUACGAGCGAGACACCGGCUUCACCUACUACAGAGACUAGAUCUCAUGAUCACAUGGCCGGGGACGACGCCUUGUCCCAGGCUAUGUUGAGGAUAUUAGAAAGGGUCGCUAGGCCCAACACUGGAUCUGGGGCCAAGGGUCAGUUACGGAACGACUCCGGUCCAAUGGGGCUAAACUAUUCAGGGGUGUCAAUAGAGUCGCCCCUAGCGUGGCCAAGUACUGGAUGGAGGCCACGAAAAGAAUCAUGGACAAUCUGGACUUUACCCCUGAACAGAAAUUAAAAAGGGCUGUUUCAUUGUUUCGCGAUGAAGCAUAUCAAUAGUGGCUGACCGUUAAGGAGGGCACUCAGCCCGAACGGCUGACUUGGGUUUUCUAUAAGUCUACUUUUCAAGGUAAAUAUCUGGGGGAAAGCUGCAUUGACGCUAGAAGAUGUGAGUUUCUGAAUCUAACGCAAGGGAAUCAUUUAGUGGCCGAGUAUGAGGCCGAGUUUCUAAGAUUGAGCUGCUAUGUGUGAGGCAUGGUGGCGACUGAAUAUGAGCAUUGUGUCCGCUUCGAGGAUGGACUCAGGUAUAGUUUGAGAGUUUUGAUAGCUCCGCAAAGGGAGCGUGACUUUUCAGCACUGGUAGAGAAGGUGAAGAUCACCGAGGAGGUGAAGCGCACUAAGUGCCAAAACCAGGAUAAAGAGAGAGGCAAGAAUAAGAGGGAUUCAGAGCCCUUGAGUUCUAUGAUGAGGCCUAAGAAAAAGGUCAGAUCUGAUGGGCCAGUUAGAGUUGGGGCCCUUAUUGUACCUACUGGGAUCACGCUUUGUGGGCAUUGUGGAAGACGUCAUCCGAACGAAUGUUGGAGGACGACUAGGGUUUGUUUAAGAUGUGGGUUUACUAAGCACCGUGUUUGAGAGUGUCAGCUAAGGGCCAAUCAAGUGCAAGCUACGGGUUCUGGUACUGCACAGCCACCAGGGGUAGUUCACCAGCCGCCUACGAGCCGUGGUCAGGAUAGGACUGGUAAUGGUAUAGGUCAGGGGUAGAAAGCACCGAGUAGAGGUGCUAGACAGGUUGAGGUGAGACAGCCAGCCCUAGUUUAUGCUGCUCAUCUCCGAGAGGAUAGAGAUGCUCUGGACGUCAUCACGGGUAUGUUUCUUAUUUUUGAUGUUCCUUACACUGCGUUGGUAGAUAUAGUAUCUACGCAUUCCUAUGUUGCCUAUUCUGUUUCCAAAAACCUAGGGAUUCUGGUUGAAAGUACUUCUAGUGAGGUGACUGUGCUAAGUCCGCUGGGGCAAUCUGUUAGAGUUAGCAAACUGUAUAAGGAUAUACCUUUAGAGGUUCAAGGGAUGGUAUUUCUAGCUGAUUUAAUGGAGCUUCCGUUUAGGGAGUCUGAUAUGAUAUUGGGGAUUGACUAGUUGGUCAAGCAUCAUGUCAGUUUGGACUGUGCGACUAAGAGGGUUGUAUUGAGAACUGAAGGGGGUAAUGAAGUAGUUGUGGUUGGGGAACGUUAGAAUUACUUGGCUAACGUGAUAUCUGCACUGGUAGCUGAGAAACUGAUUCGCAAGGGAUGUGAGGCGUAUUUGGCCUACGUAAGUGUUUUCGCUUCUGGGGACUCUACUGUUAAGGACAUCAGAACUAUGAGGAAUUUUCUAGACGUCUUUCUUGAGAAGCUACUGGGUUUACCUCUGAAUCGGGAAUGGAUUUGGGAUUGAGCUUCUCCCUGGUACAGCUCUGGUGUCUAUCGCUCCCUAUCGAAUGGCAUCGAAGGAGCUUACGGAGCUCAAGGCUCAAAUUCAAGAGUUAUUGGAUCGUGGGUUCAUCCGUCCUAGUGUGUCCCCGUGGGGAGCACCGGUACUGUUUGUUAAGAAAAAGGAUGGAUCCAUGAGGAUAUGUAUCGACUACCGACAACUAAAUAAGUUUAGUAUUAAAAACAAGUAUCCACUUCUGGGGAUUGAUGAUUUGUUUGACUAGUUCCGAGGAGCUUCUAUGUUCUCCCAAAUUGACUUACGUUCUGGGUAUCAUUAGUUGAGGGUUAAGGAGGCUGAUGUGCAUAAGACGACAUUUAAGAGUUGUUAUGGUCACUACGAGUUCCUAGUGAUGCUAUUUGGACUGACUAAUGCACCGGUAGCUUUCAUGGAUCUGAUGAACUGAGUGUUUCAACCCUACCUGGAUCAGUUUGUAGUGGUGUUCAUCGAUGACAUAUUGCUUUAUUCGAGGACUGAGGAUGACCAUGACUAGCACCUUGCGAUUUUUCUUCAGAUUUUGAGGGAAAAGUAGCUCUAUGCUAAGUUCAGCAAGUUCGAGUUCUAGUUACGUGAAGUAACAUUCCUGGAACAUGUGGUGUCUGCUGAGGGGAUUCAAGUCGAUCCUCAAAAAAUUGAGGCUGUAUUGGGCUGGAAGCAGCCUAAGAAUGUGUCUAAAAUCUGCAGCUUUUUAGGGCUGGCAGGUUAUUACUGACGGUUUGUGAAAAGAUUUUCACUGAUCGUAGCACCCUUGACUAAGCUGUUACGUAAAGGUGUACCAUUUGACUAGACUAAUGCACAGCAAGAGAGCUUUAAGAAGCUUAAGACUGUACUGACUGAGGCUCCUGUUUUGGUACAGCCUAAACUUUGAAAGGUGUUCACGAUUUAUAGUGAUGCAUCACAUGUCGGUUUGGGAUGUGUGUUAAUGCAGGAUAGUAAGGUGGUUGCAUAUGCGUCUCGUUAACUUAAGACACACGAGGCAAACUACCCGACACACGAUUUGGAGUUGGUCGUCGUAGUCUUUGCAUUAAAAAUCUAGAGGCAUUAUCUGUACAGUGAGAAGUGUAUUAUCUACACUGAUCAAAAGAGCCUCAAGUAUAUCUUCACUCAGAAGGAGUUAAAUCUUAGGCAGCGUAGAUGGGUUGAGCUACUUAAGGAUUAUGAUUGUACAAUUGAGUACCAUCCCGACAAGGCCAAUGUGGUGGCUGAUGCAUUGAGCUAUAGGGCUAUGAUCGAUCUGAGAGAGAUGUUCGCUCAACUUAGCCUAUUCGACGAUGGAAGUCUAUUGGCAGAACUUUAGGUCAAACUGACAUGGAUUGAACAGAUUCGAGAUAAACAGUUGGGGAUAAGUCUCUCAGGUUGCAUUUUUGUCAAGUUGAGGAUGGUGGCACUACUGAUUUUGGGAUAAACAAUAAUGGGGUACUUUAUUUCCCCGGUCAGAUUUGUGUACCGAAUGAUGAGGACUUAAAGCAGUCGAUUCUGAGAGAGACGCAUGGUAGUCCCUAUACUAUCCAUCGCGACGGGAACAAGAUGUACCGAGGUCUUCAGGAAUUAUACUGGUUGCCAGGGUUGAAGCGUAAGGUUACCGACUUCAUUGCUUUUUGUUUGACUUGUCAGCAGGUUAAGGCUGAGCAUCAGUUACCUUCGGGUUUGCUGCAGCCAGUUAAGAUACCAUUAUGGAAAUGGAAGCAAGUAACGAUGGACUUCGUUAGUGGGUUGCCUCUAACAACCACUAAGAAGGAUUCUGCCUGGGUUAUCAUGGAUCAAUUGACCAAGUCUGCUCACUUCAUCUCGGAAAGGACAGACUUUUCUCUUCAAAAAUUAGCUAAGCUCUACAUAUAAGAAAUAAUGAGACUGCUUGAGGUAUACCUAUCUCGAUCAUUUCCAAUCAGGAUCCUCGUUUCACGUCUCGAUUUUGGAAAAAGCUUCAUAAGGCUCUAGGUUCAAUAUUAGACUUCAUUACUGCUUUCCAUCCUCAGACAAAUGGUUAGCCGGAGAGGGUGAUUCAGAUAUUGAAGAACAUGUUGAUAAGCUAUGUUAUUGAUUUUUGAGGCAGUUGGGAAGAGAACUUGUCGUUAGUGGAGUUUGCCUACAAUAAUAGCUUCCAGCCUAGCAUCCAGAUGGCACCUUACGAGGUACUAUACGGUCGUAAGUGUCGCACUCCUUUAUGUUGGAUUGAGUUGGGCGAGCGACGUGUUCUGGGUCCUGAGUUGGUCUCUGAGACAGAGGAUAAUGUUAGAUUGAUUCGGGAUCGUUUGAAAGCGGCUUCUGAUAGGCAGAAAACGUAUGCAAAUUUAAAGAGGCAUGAGAUCAAGUAUUCUGUGGGGGACUUACUUUUUCUCAAAGUCUCGCCAUGGAAAAAGGUUCUGAGGUUCGGUCACCAGGGCAUGUUGAGCCCUUGAUUUAUUGGACCUUACCGUAUUCUGAAAUAUGUGGGACCUGUCACUUAUCAGUUGGAGCUACCUCCGAAGUUGGACCGUAUUAUUGAUAUUUUUCACGUCUCGAUGUUAAGGCACUACUGCUCUAAUACCAUGCAUGUUGUUUUUGUUGAGAAGAUUGAGGUUAGGCCAAACAUGACCUUCGAGGUGGAACCGGUUCAGAUUCUAGAGCGUGAUAUAAAAGUCCUUCGAAAAAGUACAUUCCCUUAUUGAAGGUUCUGUGGCUUAAUAAUAGCACUGAGGAGGCCACGUGGGAGCCUGAGGAUGUGAUGUAUCAGCAAUAUCCUCAUUUGUUCUGAUCAGGUGAAAUUUCGAUGAUGAAAUUUUCUUUAGGGGGUAAAGUUGUAACGCCCCAAAAUUUCUAAUUUCGUUUUUGUGAAAAUAUGACACAAAUAUCUGUCAGCUUUAGAGGUUAUGUGUCCUUGGAGUGUUUGGGAGGUCCCAAGUUCAAGCAUUCGCGUAGGCAAAUUUUGGUAUUUUGAAUGAAUUAGGCCUUACUCUUGUUUAGUGAGCUUAGAAUGGGUGCUUAUCUGGUGGUUAAAUGGUGUGUUAUUACGGUGAAGGUUUUGUGUUCAAAUCCCUAUGCAGGCAAGGGUAUUAUUUUUUGCUCAGAUUUCGAGAUCAAGUUGUGUAAUAGGGGGAUUCUGAGUAGUGGAUGUGUAGUGAGAAUUAGGGGAGAAGAUUAAGGGAUUUUAGGGGUUAUCGGGAUUUUAUUUUAUUUUUUUCCCAUAGCUGAAUUUUGACUCUCUUUUUUAAAAAAAAUCUGCCGUCUAUUCUUCUCCCUCUCCUCUUGCCAAAAUUCUCUGAGUUUUUCUAUCUUUCUCUUCUAUUUCUUCUUUUUCAUUUUUCCCUAAUCCAUUUAUUUUCCUUCGUUUUGCACGCGAUUAGUGCUCGCUUAGUUUCGGUAAGUGUUUCUCUUAGUUUCUGUCAUGAAUCUCUUAACAAAAGAAGUGAUAAUAUUUUUUCUCUGCGACUUGGGCAUAGGGGGAGGCUCGGACUGGUGAAUUCAGUGCUCUCGUCUUAACAAUAGUUAAAUGCAAAGUUAUCCUUGGUGGUAACUUGGGUUUCUCUUCGUUCUUGGUUGUCAAUUCACUUGUAAAUCCGUUAAAUUGAUUUUGAGUUUCUUGAUUAUAGGCUUUGGAGUGCUCAGGGACUAUUUUAGCAUAAAACAAAAUCAGGUGUGUACCCGAAACGCAAAAAAAAUAGGAUUCAGCAAAAAACUGAAAUUGCUUGCUGUUUGGACAGCAGCAAUAGGCUAACUUUGAAAAAUCGCCAUAAAUUGUGGAUAUCAAAUUAGAGGAUGAAAAAAAUAUAGAAUUAAAUCUUAUUGAGCUUAGUUUCUCAUAGAAGAAACGGUGUAAAUAAUGGAAUUGUAAAUCGUGAGGUAUAAUAAACUUUGUGAGACAAUGUCAGAUUGAAUUUGGGUUCCCCUGUUCUGACUUUGGAAAAUCAUCAAAAAUUAGAGAAAAAUAAUUAGGGGUUAAAAUUUACAUGUUUAAAUUAUUAAUGAGUCUAUUUUCAGUAGAAACAAAUUAAAACAUCAUCCAAAUUUUUUUACUGACAGAUGAUUAAUUUUUAGCAAAGAAGGGACGAAGCUGUUAGAUAGCAGAACAGGGGUAAAUUUGAAGAUUUUACUGUACUUAUUGGCUAAACCAGAAAUUCUAAAAAUUUUAUGGUAGAAAAUUAUUUGAGUCUAGUUUCAAAGACAUCAAGCGGAUCUUAAUUCGGAAUUCUGUAGCUCAAGAUAUAAAUAAUUUAGUAACAGUGACUCAAGUAGACAGCUUUGAAGGAACAUAUAAGUAAAUAGUGAAAACAUAUAUGAAUAAUUAACUAGCAUGGGUUACAUUAGAAAUGGAUCACGUGGCAAAGGUCAAUUUAGGCCGAGUGGGCCACAUAGGCAUGUGAGCCCAUUUUUCUGAAAAGUUCUGUAAGGUUGUACAGGUCGCCCAAGUCGACUGUAGACCUACUGUAGGGUCGGUAAGCUUUACUUAGACCUUUAUAUAUGUGAUCUGUCUGUCUGAUUUCUAUAUCGAGCAUGACUUAUGAUAUCUGAAUGUAUGUACUAUUAAUUGCAUAAUGACAUGACAUAUUUUGUAUGUUGCAGUGCAUCGAGGUGGGUUUAUGAUAUUUGGAGGAAGUGUUUGAAAGGCUAGUAAGCCUGUUAUCUGGCAGCUCAGCUGCAACCUUUUAAUUAUGUGCCGCAUUCUAGUACAACAUGGUGUGUAGGGGGUGGGUUAAUUUAAUCCCCACAUGGUGUGUAGGGUUGGACAGAUAUGGUGUGUACAGGCUGGUGGGUAGGAUUCUGAUUUAUUGUAUAUGUAUUCUAUAUUUGAUAUGGGCCAAGGCCCUAAUGUAUUUUUGAGACUGUAUCUAAAUGCGCUAAGGCCCAAACUGAUUUUGUGAUGGGCACGGGCCCCAAACUGUAUCUAAUUGAAUUUUAUUGAUUAUCUGUAUGCAUCUUUUCUGUGGGGAUUACACACUGAGUUUGUAAAAACUUGCCCUUUCUCUGUUUAAUCUGUAUAGGUAAUCCUUAGACUUGACGGGUCGGUGCAGCGGAGGACUCGACGGUGUCCACACGUAAAUUUUAGACUAUUUUUUGUUAAUUCCUAGAAUUUAUUUCUUAUUUGGGGUUUUUGGUGUAUCUUCUGGGCUAUGGACUGGUUCUAUUUAAAUUUGGGACUUUAUAUUGUUUUUUAUGGAUUUUUUUUAAAACUACAACUCUACAAAACAGGAUUUUUUUCUAAAAACUAUGGUUUUUCGUAAAUAGAAAUGAUUUUCCCUAAAUUAAUUGGUUACAAAAGCUUCCGCUAAGAGACAAGUUUUAAAGCAAAUCAACUAGUUUUUUUUCGAAUUAGAUAAAAGCUAACUUAUUGUAACGGUUUUUAAACUCGACAAUCUUGUCUUCAAAUCCCUUUCCAUAUGACAUCGCCAUAUUCAGCCAUAACGUCGAGGCCAGGUUUGAGGUGUUACAGAGCUCUAUUGGCCCAAACCUGCGACCUAUUAAGUAGGCUAGAAAGGCUAGACCACCACAGUAUAAGGAAGUAGUAGACCCUAAAAAAAGGUAGAUUCAGAUUUGCCAUUAUUUUCAGAGGGGUUAUCCUGGCGAGUGUUGGAGGAGGAUAGUGCUUGUUUGGUACGUGGUUCGAUAAAGCAUAAGGUUAGGGAUUAUCCUCGUCAUCAAGAUCAGGCGUAAGCUCCUGAUCAGAUUCAAAGCCAAGUUGGGGGUCAAAAUCAGAGAGGUAAUCAAGGUGGUCAGAGGGGUCGUAAUCAGGAUUGAAAUGGGAAUGGUAAUCGGGGUCAUAGAGCACCAGCUCAAGGUGCGAAUUGAGUUGAGGCAAGACAACCUACUUUCUUUUAUGUAGCUAAGCGCCGAUAAGAUAGAGGUACCACUGAUUUCAUAGCAGGUACCUUCAAUAUUUACUCCAUACCUUAUUUUGCUUUGAUUGAUAUAGGAUCUACCCAUUCGUAUAUUGCUUGUAAUGUGGAUGUAAAAUUGGGAAUUGAGGUAAAGGAAACUGAAACCACUGUAAUUGUAUUUAGUCUCUUAGGAUCCUCCAAACUUAUGAAUAGAAUUUAUAAAAGAUGCCCUUUAGAGGUUUAAGAAGAGAUUUUUCUUGCCAAUUUGAUGGAACUUCCUUUUAAUGAAUUUGAUUUAAUUUUGGGAAUGGACUAGUUGGUUGAGCAUCAAGUUCGAUUAGAUUAUGCAUUGAAGAGGGUGACUUUGGCAGUUGAGUUUGGGAAAGAAGUUAUUAUGGUGGGGGAACAUCGAAAUUAUUUGUCAAGUGUGAUCUCUACUUUAGUAGCAGAAAAGAUGGUGCGAAAAGGGUGCGAAGCAUUUUUGACUUAUGUCUGAGAUCCAAGCGUCGUUGAUCCUUUAGUUGAAAGUAUUCGUACAGUGAGGGAAUUUCCCAAUGUAUUUCUCGAGGAACUGUCAAGGCUACCUUCAGAAAGGGAAGUGGAAUUCGAAAUUGAGUUGUUGCCAAGAACAACACUGGUGUCCAUCUCUCCCUGUUGCAUGGCACUGGAAAAGCUUAAGGAGUUGAAGAUGCAGCUACAAAAACUAUUGGAUAGGGUUUUUAUUAGACCCAGUGUUUCACCAUGGGGCGCACCGAUUUUAUUUGUAAAAAAGAAAGAUAGAAUGUUACGUUUGUGCAUUGAUUACCGGCAACUGAAUAAAUUAACUAUCAAGAAUAAGUGCCCUUUCCCAAGGAUUGAUGAACUAUUCGAUUAGUUCAGAGGUACAAUUGUCUUUUCCAAAAUUGACUUAAGAUCUGGGUAUUACCAACUCAAAGUGAAAGAAUCUGAUAUCCCAAAGCCGCUUUUAGGACUCGUUAUAGACAUUACGAGUUCCUUUUCAUGCCUUUUGAGUUGACUAAUGUGCUAGUGGCUUUCAUAGACCAUAUGAAUCGUGUUUUUUAGUCUUUCCUUGAUUAGUUCGUCAUGGUACAUCAUUGUGUACUCUAAGAUAGAGGCCGAGCAUGAUGAGCAUUUGAGAGUGGUUUUAUAGAUACUCUAUGAAAAGAAACUUUUUGCUAAACUUAGUAAGUGUGAAUUUUGGUUAAAGGAAGUGGUGUUUUUGGGUCACGUGGUAUUGGUUAAGGGUAUUCACGUCGAUCCCAAAAAGGUUAAAGCCAUCCUAGAUUAGAGGCAACCGAAGAAUAAUUUGGAAAUUCAGAGUUUUCUAGGUCUUGCUAGGUAUUAUCGAAGGUUUGUUGAGGGUUUUUCCUUCAUAGCAGCCCCAUUGACUAAGUUGUUGAGGAAGAAUGCUCCUUUUAAGUAGGGAGACAAAUAGCAGGCCAGUUUUGAAAAGUUGAAAUCCGUGUUAACAGAAGCUCCUAUUUUAAUUCAACCAGAAUCCGGUAAGAAAUAUGUUCUAUAUAGCGAUGCUUCGCAUGUUGGACUUGGUUGCGUCUUGAUGCAUGAUGGUAAAGUGGUAGGCUAUGCUUCGAGGCAACUUAGGCCACAUGAAGGUAAUCACCCCACUCAUGAUUUGGAGUUGGCUGCUGCUGUGUUUGCUCUCAAAAUUUGGAGACAUUACUUGUAUAAUGAGAUGUGUAUUAUUUACACCGAUCACAAGAGUCUCAAAUAUCUCCUCACCUAGAAGGAAAUUAAUUUGAGGCAACAGAGAUGGAUUGAGUUGUUAAAAAACUAUGACUAUACAAUCGAGUAUCAUCCUGGGAAGGCCAAUGUUGUGGUUGAUGCCUUAAGCAGAAAGGCAAUGUCUGACUUGAGGACCAUGUUUGCUCGCUUGAGUCUCUUUGGUGAUGGUGGUAUUUUGGAAGAAUUACAAGUAAAGGUUGCUUGGGUUUAGGAAAUUAAGGAUGAGCAGAGUUUGGAUGGAACUCUAACACCUCAAUUUAAACAGGUUGAGGAUGGAUCGACCGAGGACUUUGGUAUUAACUCUGAUGGAAUCUUGUGCUUUAGAGGGAGGUAUUGUAUGCCUAAUGAUUAGAAUUUGAUACAAUCUAUACUUCAGGAUGCAUAUAGCAGCCCUUAUGCUAUGCAUUUUGGAAGUACUAAGAUGUAUCGAGAUUUGAGGGAAGUGUAUUGGUGGCCAGGUCUUAAACGUGAACUGACUGAAUUCGUAUCUAAAUAUUUUACUUGCCAACAAGUUAAAGCUAAGCAUCAGUAUCCAUCAGUGUUGCUCCAACUGAUUCGAAUACCACAGUGGAAGUGGGAAAGAGUGAUAAUGGAUUUUUUUAGUGGGUUGCCCUUGACACCUACCAAGAAGGAUUCGAUUUGGGUUGUGAUGGAUAGGUUGACUAAGUCCUCCCAUUUUAUUCCUGUUUGCACUGAUUAUUCUCUCCAAAAUUUAGCUAAGCUUUAUGUUUCCAAGAUAGUGAGAUUGCAUGGUGUGCUAGUGUCGGUUGAUUAUUUCAAAUUGGAAUCCUAGAUUCACAUCUCGAUUCUGGAAAAAAUUACACGAGGUUUUAGGUACUCGGUUGGAUUUCAAUACGGUUUUUCAUCCACAAUUCGAUAGUCAAUCGAAAAGGGUCAUUCAGAUAUUGGAGGAUAUGUUGAGGAGUUGUGAAAGCGACUUCCAAGGUAAUUGGGAAGAACAUUUACCUAUGGCUGAGUUCGCCUAUAAUAACAGUUAUCAGUUAAGUCUCCAAAUGGCACCUUACGAAGUUCUUUUUGGUUUUAAGUGUCGUUUGCCUUUAUGUUGGACUAAAGUGGGUGAUAUAAAUUUGAUUGGCCUAGAAUUGGUCAUUGAAGUCGAAGAUAAGAUUCGGGUAAUUGAAAAAAGACUGAAGGUAGCUUCGGAUAAACAAAAUUGGUAUGCCGAUUUGAAGUGCAAGGACAUUGAGUUCAAUGUGGGAGAUUUGGUUUUUCUUAAAGUCUCACCAUAGAAGAAAAUCUUGAGGUUUGGUCGAAAGGGUAAGUUGGGCCCUAGGUUUAUUGGUCCUUAUCGAGUGCUUAAGAGGGUGGGUUUGGUGGCUUACAAACUCGAAUUACCUCUUAAUUUAGAUUGGAUUCACGAUGUAUUUCACGUUUCAAUGUUGAGACGGUAUCAAUCUAAUACCUCGCAUAUUGUUCCACUUGAGGAGAUUAAGGUUAGACUGGAUUUUUCAUUUGAGGAGGAACCAGUUCGAAUAUUAGAGCGUGAGAUCAAAGCGUUAAGACGAAAACAAGUUUCACUAGUUAAGGUACUGUGGAGAAAUCAUGGCAUUGAAGAGGCUACGUGGGAGCCGGAGGACUCAAUUCGGCUUCAAUACCCUCAUCUUUUCAAACCAGGUAAUUUCGAGGACAAAAUUUCUUUAAUGGGGGUAGAGCUAUAACAUCUCAAAAUUUAACUCAAUAAAAAUGUAGAAAAAUAUCAAAAAUAGGGAAUUGACCCAAUGGUUAAUCAUUAAAUGUGAAAGCUUGAAAGUUAGUUAAAGGUCCCAAGUUUAAGUCUUAUCUUUUACAAAAUAAAUAUUUUUUUUUUUGCAAAAAUUCCCUUAUUUUUAAUGUAUUGCCGCCCAAGCCUAGUAAACCUAGGUAUAAAUACAAUUUUUACUCAAAAUAAUCAGUCUCUAACUCUCUUUUCUUCUACCUUAGUCGUCCCUAACCUCUUCUCCCUCCCUUGAUCUUUAUUUUUUUUCUUUUCUCCUUCUCCCACCAUUGUUGCCAUCGUACCUAUCACCACCAUUCACCUUUGAUUUUUCUUUCUAUUGUCUUCACGAUUGAGAAUUAUCUCCAUCCUUAUCUUGCUACCAUUUUUAUUCAAUUAGAACAGCCCAAAAUUGAAAUCUUAAUUCUCCAAGAUCAACUCCAACCUUGCCAAGAAAGUGACAUUGUCGCCCGUCUCCAUUAGCUUGUGUAAGAUCUCUAUUUCUUUUAAUAUCUUGGGUAAUCUUGCAAUUAAAAAUCUAAAUUUUUAGAUAUGGAAUUUGGGGAAUUUUAAAUUUUUUUAAAGUUAUUUUUCCAGCUUUUAAUUAGAUCUCAAAUCGUUUUAAAAUUCAACCCCAAUUCUAGCAACCAGGGGUGGUGGUGCGUGCGCCUAGGUGUGGGAAAAGGGGGUUGUUUUGUUUCUUGAAUUUUUCCCAUUAAAUUCAGCCUUAAUUUGAGUUCUUGAACCCUCCUAAUCAGAUAUUAAACCCAUGUCAAUUAGGGAAAAAUUUUCUUGGUCGAUUGGACAUUCAAAACUCACAAAUUGGGAAGCAUAAGUACAAUUAAACGUAAACUAGUUUAUUGUUUCGGCAUAUUUGUUGGGUAAAGGUUAUGGAUUGAUUAGAUGAAGGAAUUUAAUCAUUAUUAGCUACUAAUUUUUCGGUAUAUUAUUGAAUUAGGUGUUGACCUAAACAUCCCAAAUCAACCGUAAAGCCGAAGAACAAUCGUACGUACGGUUCGCAUCGAUACAGUGUAAGAAAUCUAACUAGUUUGAAUUCGUAAAAUAAUUAUAAAUUCGACGAUUGGUUUGAACCCAUAAGUGGGUAAUUUGGGGCUGGUUAAAAGGUAAAAAAAAAUUUAAUUUAUACUGAAUUUUGGUUUAGGAUCAUACAAAGGUUUAUUAAGGAAAAUUAGAAGUUUCACUAGUGUGUUGUAAGAAAGUGAAAAAUAAAGUGUGGGUCCUAAACUCGUAAAUUUGUUUGAUAUUGAUAAUUGUCAUGUUAUAUUUGAUAAAUUAGGUUGUUGAUUGGAUUGGCUUAAUAGCCAAAAUAUUAGUUUUGUGAGUGGUCAAACCAAGUACAUUUCGAGCCCUAAAAGAUUGAUGUAUUGGUAACAUUUCUAGUUUGACGGUAUGAAUGUGUGAUUGAAAUUGCCAUGCAUAAUUGUAUUAUGUGAUAUGAGAAUUUUUGAUUGAAUGGUAUGAAUAAUUGGAAAUAUUAAGUUUAUGUGUGAUUUAAAUGCAUGAGGAAUUUGCUAUUAUGUAUAUUGGAAAGGUUGCUAUUUAUGCACAAUAAAAUUCGUAAAGUAUGUGAAGUUAAAUGAUAUUGAUAGAUACUAUCAUAAUGGAAAUUUGAAAGUUGGAACUCUAUUUCCAUUUACUAAAAGUAUGUGAUUAUUGAGGGCAUGUUGAACAUGUCAAAUUAAAUUUGAGAAGUAUUGAAAUAUGAUUAUGUGUGAAUUUGUAUGACAUAGUGCAUAUGCAUUAGGAUGGGAUUUUGUGGUUGAUGAAGGAGUCCCGUGGAGUACCGGUGGCAUAUUAAGUCUGCAUAUAUUUGUAGUUAGUGCACUGCAUUUGAAGUAUUGAGGGGAUUUUUUUAUAUAUUACAUUAUUUUUUAUUUGGCAAUUUCACUGCAUUAUUGAUUAUUGGUGGUUUUAUCACAUCGAGCUCUACUCAUAUACGUUGGAGUUUGGCAAACGGGUUCUGAGGAACUCGUGAUGUGUAGUAGAUGGUAUGGGAAGGAUCUCACAUGUUCAUUUGUCACGAUCAUAUGCAUUUGAAAUUAUUAUUGAUAAUGUUUGAUUGUGCUAUUGGUAUCUCUAUGAAAUUACUUGUAUGAAUGUUUAAUACUUGCUUGUUUAGCCUCACAUUGAGCUUGUUAAGCUCACCCUAUUACCUAAACUUCUCAGGUAAUGAUCGAACUUUGGAUAGGAAUUGGCAUGCAGACGUACGGCGAACUCCGGACUUCACUUCGUCAUAUUAUUUUAAUUUAAUUAUAUUUUAGGCUAUUUUACCGUUAUUAUUUGAUUUUGGAUUGUAAAGUUUCUUUAAACUGUGGUGAGACUGUUUGGGACUUUUGGGGUUUUUCAUGCAUGCAUGACACUCAUAUUUGGUAUAGAUACACAGUUUAUAUAUAUAUAUAUAAAUAGACUAUGCAUGAUAUAUGGCUACGUUAAUAAUUUGACUAGUAAUGGUAUAUUUCAGUUGCUAAAAAGAUAACAAACUAAUUUUUCUAAAACAAUGCCGACAAUUGAGUUUUAUAAAAGUUCACCUUAUUUGCUAAUUUGGCUAAAGCAUAGUUGGACUAAGUAAAGGGACGUUUUCCAAAGUUAACAAUAGAAACCAUGAUUUUAUAAAAGAGAGUACUUGAAGGUUUUAAACUAUCGUUAAAGUAGGUUCGACACUAAAGUGCCUAAUGUGGCCUUCACGAUUCGGUUGUAAUGUCUAGGCCGGGUUUGAGAGGUUACAUGUUGGGUAGCCAUACCGCCAUGUUUGAGGCCACACAGGUUGGUCUACCUGGCCACACAACCGUGUGACCCCUAUUUUUAAAAUUUUCAAAAUUUUUCAUGUUUUUUUGUUUUGAUUCAAAUUAGUCCCUGAUUAUUCUCAAACUAUUUUUAGGGCCCCACAAGCUCGUUUUAGGCUCGUAAAUGUUAUUUUGCUAUGAAUGAAAUGCAUAUUUGAAUGUUUUUAUUUAAAUUAAUAAAUGAAUAGUUUAAUGAUGUAAUUUUUUUUAUAUGUGUCGUAAUACUCUAUAACCCUAAUCUGGUGACGGUGAUGGUUAGAGGUGUUACAUUUUCAAAGAAGAAAAAAAUAUUUCUAAUGUAAGUGAUCAAAUCUCUUAUACUUCAUUAAUUGAAGCUACCACGUUAUUGGGGAAAAACAUACGUAUUGUUGGUCUUGAAAUAAGUAAGAGCAUUACCUCCGGAGUGCUAAUUCCAAAAAGUCAGAAAUGGUCAUUCAAGAAAGUGCCCAAAAAUUAUAUCAGACCUUAUCUGAAGUAGAAGGAUUACUUAGGAUAAGCACUUUCAUAUGUUGAGCAAAAUUCCAGAGUAUCCAAUGCAAAUGCUCGUUUUCUUCAAUCCAUCCUCUUCUGCGCGAUUGGAAUGGGUGAGAAGAUUUAUUUCUACCCAUUAAAAAUCAUGGUUGUGUUGAUGGUGUUGAUGAUGUUUUGAUAAUUUUUUGUAUAUGUAAAUAUUUGGAUGGUAUGAUGACACGAGCUGGAAUGGGUAAGAAUGUCACGAAUUGUUGUAACUUUUUUAUGCUAUAGAAUUUAACAUAUAGAUUAUGGCAUAUAAGCUAAUGACAUUAUCCAACUUUUUUAUGCUAUAAAAUUUAACAUAUAGAUUAUAGCAUAUAAGCUAACAACAUCAUGUAACUUUUUGUUAAUGUAUGAACAUUAUGUUUCGAUGUAAAAUACAAUUCUCAAGCUAUUAAUUUUACUUCUAAUCUUUUGCUUUUUAGUUUAGAGGAUAAUUAAAUUAUUUUUUUUGCUAAUGAUAUUCUAUUACAUUAAAUAUGCAUUGAAGUUUAAAAAUAAUAAAGUAGGUUAUAUUUGUUUUUCUAAUAUUAUAUAUUAUUUUUAUUAAUUCAUAUUUUAAUAAUAAUCAUAUUAAGAAUGUUAUUAAAUUAUAUAUUAUUUUUUAAAAAUUAUAUUUAAUAAUAAUUGUAUUAAAUAUAUGAUUAAAUUAUUUAUUUUUAUUAAAUUAUAUUUAAUAAUAAUCCUAUUAAAAUUUAAUAACAAUAACAAUAAGUAUCUAUCUAAACAAAAUUGUACUAAGGGUACUUGGUCAUUUCAUUUUCUUUCUUAUGCUAUUAGAGCUCUAUUCCAUUCAACCGAACACAAGAAAACUAUUAUAGUUCUAUUCCAUCCCAUUCAACUAAACAAUUUAAUUAUUGAUUGUUGUUCUAUUCCAUUACAGCUCUACUCCAUUACAGUGAACCAAACAUGGUGAAAUAGUUUUGAUUUUAUGACGUGACUUAAUAUAAUUAGUUGUAACUAUAGCUUAUGUGGUAGGAAAGGCUUAUAUAAUAUUUUUUUUUCUAUUAGUUAUAGGUACCACAUUGACAAAUAGUGUUAAAGUAUAUUUACUAAAAUAGACUUUUCAAAGAAAAGAUAUCACAUUGGAAGAUUUGAUAAGGUCUGCGAGUCAAAUAUGAAAUUAUCCCCUUUUUUCCCUUUUCUUAUAAUUAGUUGCAUUUAUCAGUUCUUAUAAGACGAGUUUCCUUCAAGAGUUUUCAGGUAGUAAUAGGUUAAGCUUUUAUGGCUAUUGAUGAUGCCAUAACAGCAGUGAGUGAGAACCCAUAAGAUUGGGUUUAUGAAAUAAAGUGCUUGAACUGUAAGUAGAUGAGAGCCCCUUAGAGCACCUAUUUGGAGUCUAGUUGUUGCAAGGCACAUGAACUUGUAAAAAAAUAUAUUUCUGUUUGUUUUCAAUGAAGAUAAUGAUUUUAAAAAAAAGGGUAGAGAAGUUGUAGUGAAUCAUGCACAAUCGCUUGUGCUUGUUGACGAACCCCUGAAGGUAGGUAGGUAGGUAGGUAGGUAGGUAGGUAGGUGUAAUCCGGAUAUGGACAUGGGCAAAACCAAAGGGAAUAUGCUCUUAUAUGUGCCAUCUAACUUUGCUAGUACCAUUGUUAAUGUACCCUGAGCCCUAGGUAAGCAAACAAAUAAAGUUCAGGAGACUAGUGUCUUCAAAAUCGUUCUCAACUUUAGUGGGCCUCUCUCUUUGGGCUUCAAUGGUGUAACCCCUCCUUAUCAACAAAAGAGGUUAGUUGAGGAGCAAAAAAAUGAUAAAGAAACAUCCAAAACAUCAUCGAAAGUUACACUUGGGAUGAAGCAAAUGAAAAUGAUAGUUUAUCAUCAGAGGAAGCUAAGGGAUCAAAUAUUACAGGCAAUUGGGAUACUGAACUGAAAAGCAAAACGAGUGAGAAAAGGAGUUUACCAAGAAUCAAAGGGGUGGCUUGCAUCAAAGCUCGGAAGGAACAUAAGUAUCUAGAGCCGCUCAAAGCCUGCGCCUACCUCACACUAGAAUUGGAGCAGCUCUUGCGGGGAGCAAUCAAAAGGAUACUGCGAGAGCCACUCAAACAUCCAUAUAUUAAGACACUUUGGACUGGGAGGCGCAGUCAGCAUGGGUAACUCUAUUGUUGUUAGAGGUGUGUAGAAAUCGAUUCGAAUAAAUUAAAAAAAUAAAUUAUGUUAAUCAAAUCGAGUUAUUCAAGUUAUUCAAUUUUUCGAGUCAAUUCCAAAAAAUAAUUAGAGUUUUGAAUUCGAGUCAAGUGAAAUUUUACAAUUCAAAUAACUCGAAUAAUUUAAAUAACAUAAGUGAAAAUGUCUCUUUUGUCACUAUCAAUCUUAAAAAUGAGUAAAUUGACCUCUCAACAAAAAUUUGAAAAUCAAAAUAAUUUUUCAAGUUCAAAAUUUUAAAAAAAUUUCAAAUUUUAUUUUUUAAAAAAUAUAAAAUUGUAAAAAAUAAAAAACAUAUAAACUUAAAAAAAUUUUAAAAAUUAAAAUAGUAAUUUUAAAAACUUAAAUAAGAUAAUAAUUUAAAUUUAUCAUACCAAAGUAUUUGUUUCUUAUUUUGCUUUGAUAAAAAAAUACUCGUUAACUUAAUUUUUUUCACUCAACCCUAUUGAAUACUCACCCUUAAUUGCUGCUGUGGACUCAUUUGUGUCUGUUUUGGAGGUUUUUUUUUUUUGGUUUGGCUGUAGCACUGUUCUCUUCUAUAACAAAUACUGAUGCAAACCCUGAUGGAGCAGGAGCCUUACACUGCAGCCAGAUUGUAACAAGUUGACUCCCCAAUCUAUGCUGAAAUCCUUAGCCAGCUGACUCCUAUCUCUUGAUUGUUCACUAGUAUCAUUUUUUCACUAAAAAUGCUUGGACUUAUAUUUUUCAGGUCCUGUUUUUAGCCAAGGGGCUUUAGCAAUUCCUGCAGCACUAACGGCAGUGAAGUUACUUGGCUGGCUAUAAACUCCCAAGGCCCCAUCAACCAUUCGAGGAAGACUCUGGAGCUCCUCAAAUAGUAGGAUUACGAUUAAUGAAUCAAGAAACGCAAAACAAUUAAAAAGUGCAAAGCACACUCAGUUGUAUAUGCAGAGAAUAUUGUUUUAAACUGAAGCAAACAAAAAACCAUGAACACUCAGCGAGAACUAAGGCCGCCCAAGCUUAUUUGAGUCUGAUUUCACAACCUAAAUUCCAUGAGAAGAAACGGUCUGAUUUCACAACCUAAAUUCCAUGAGAAGAAACGGAAACCCUCAAAAACAGCAAUAAACGCCUAUCAUCAAUACAGAAAAUAUCUCUGAUACACAGACCACAAGACUAAAUUCUUAGUAUUUGUAGUCCUUAACAUGAAGGCUCUCUGCAGCACCCUCACUAAUCUUUGCAUCACCCUUGUAUGUACCCAAGGUGGCCUCCGAGUUAGCCUUGCACCUAACAAGGAAAGCAUCUUGUGCUUUCUUCACGUUUUCCUCCUUUCCAGCCCAGGCCUUGAGAGUGCUCUGCUGAAGGGCACGUCCAAAUGAGAAUGAGAGUGACCAUGGUUUCUUGGUCUGGAGCUUGUUCAUGGCAUUAAGGUUAAGGGUAGCCUCCUCCUCACUUUGCCCACCAGACAAGAACACAAUAGCAGGGACUGCAGCAGGGACGGUACGCUGCAAGGCACGGACAGUGUACUCAGCAAUAACCUCUGGGGCAACCUUCAGGGAGUCGGAACCAGGGGUCACCAUGUUAGGCUUCAAAAGAGUACCUUCUAGCAUGACAUGGUGAUCAUUCAAAGCCUUGUAGCAAGCAGCAAGAACACGCUCUGUCACCGCAGCACACUUUUUAAUGUCAUGUGAUCCGUCAACAAGAAUUUCAGGCUCAACAAUGGGGACAAGGCCACAUUGCUGGCAGAUGGCAGCAUACAUAGCUAGCCCAUUGGCAUUUUCUUGGAUUGCAAGCUCGGUUGGCUCAUUAGCACUAAUCUUAAGGACAGCACGCCAUUUAGCAAAGCGGGCACCAGCUUCAUAGUACUUCUGGCAUCGC